rnacentral:lncRNA from 1 species
AGAAGAUGUGUCCCGCGCAGGGAUGAUGAACCCACCCGGGCGCAACUCGCAGGCCACAUGGAAGGGUCUCAAGGGCGUUGCGCCGGCCACUCACUCGCCGACGAUGUCGCCCUGGGGAUACUCGCACUUGCCUGGCUACUCCGACGGCGACGCGCACAGCGGCUUCAAUCGCAACACCACCUUCACGCAUGGCACGCCGCAACGUUCCUCCCCCACCGGUUUCGGGCACAACCCGCACACUAUGUUUAACUACGCCGCCGACAUGGAUGUGAUCAUCAAGAGCGGCUCCGUCGCCGCCGCAUCGCACCCGGAGUUCUGCGCGCAAGAUGAAACAAUGGACACCACCGGCGACAUCGACGACGAGCUCGACGACAUCGAGGAGGGGUGGGGGAGGACGAGGCGGUGGAGGUGGAACCGGAACUGGUGCCGCAGAAGAAGGGGAGGAAGAUAAAGCAGGCAGCGAACGCCAACGAGGUCGAAGAGUUCAGGUUCCUUUACCUGUUCUCUAGGAUCGACUCGUGCGAGAAGUGGGGGGAGGUUCGGCUCGCUCUCGACAAGGCCAAAGAGACCUAUAACCCGGAUGCGCCUGCCCCGACUGUGGCAGAAGGGCGCCUAGAUGGCACCAAAAAGGCCAGGGCGGCGAGAGGCGCGGCGCCCGCUGCCCAACAGUUGCAGGCUUCGAUCGAGCAAUGCAUCGCCGACGUCAAGAGCAGCGCUGCUAGACGGGAGGAGAAAUCCAACACACGGUGGUCGGUGUUGAUGAUCAACGUCGCUGCAAAGAAGGGGAACACCGACCUAGAGUUCAUGAUGAGGGCACACACGUCGACGAUGGACGAGAAGAUGAAGGUGUGGUACAUAGUACAACACGACCUCAUCUUGAAGCAGAUGACAACGCUUAGGCGACCACUGCGACCGCAACGGCGACCACAACCGCGACCGCAACGCCGACCACGACGAGGGCGCCCAGCCACGCAGAACGCACGCCGACCGCGAGCCCGACUACAUUGACGACGGACAGCCCUGCAACACCGGUGAUGAGCCCGUCAAUGCAUGUGGAGGAGCCGCACCGCGCCGAGUCGGCCGUGUGAUCUGUUUUUGUCUAUCCUUUUCUUUUGAUUGCCGAACUAUUGACGUGUUUCACCGUCGAACUAUGACACUGAUCGCCGAACUCGCGGCGUGUUUUGGCAUCGGGAAAGUGGGAAUUUGAAAACAUUGGCGUGUGGUUGUCGAAACCUAAGGGCGCGACUAGAAACUCGCUCGCCCCUAGGCCGAGAAUAGCGCGGGCGAAAUGUUAAAAAGGCUAUCGCCGUGGCGCACUAGAAGCCAAACGGCUGGAGACGCUCUAAGAAAAUACUCAUUUGUUUUUCUAAACACCUCCUCAAAACACUACAAGAUGUAAAAGUGAAAUGAUUCCUUAGUCAAUGUUUUGUAAACUCACACAGAUGAACUAACAUGUUAGUUCGUUAACUUCAAAUAUUGCACACUUUAGUUUACUAAUAAUUGGUGUAAGUGUAUCAGUUUAGUUAAAAAAGAAGUUCGGAGUUUAAUUUAUUGUCAACUAGCAAGAUGGCCCUCGCAAUUGCGAGGGCUAGCACUAUUUUAGUAAAUAGUUUUUGUUAUUCAUACUCUUAGAUGUUUAUUGUAUUUUUUUCAUAGUAGGAUUAAUUCUUCUUACAUUGGAUAUUCAAGAAGCUCGUGGAUAAAAAAGAAAAGGUGUAUGUGAAACUAUUGAAAACAGUAUUGUUCACACCUGAUAUUUUUUGUCACGGGAUACUCGAAUGUUUAAACACUCCAAAAUUUUACAUUAGCAUCAUGCAUUUGAGCAUAUUGCACCACAAGAACAUCAUAUUUUUCAAAUUUUCUGCUUUUUAUUAUUAUUCACAGGGUGUAGAUGUGCCCACGCACUGAAUUGAAUUUUUAGCAAAAUAACUUGCUACAGUAUGGUUGCCGUAAUUCAAGAUGAAAAUGUUUAUAUAUAUGAAAUCAUCUCCCUUAUCAAUUAUAAUUUUAUUCUAAAUCAUGUCUAGAAAGAAGGAAGAUAUUUAUUACUCUUCAAGAACUUGGCCAAUACAUGGAAAAUUGUACAAAUAAAAUAACGUUAUACUCCCUCUGUUUCAAAAUAUAAGACCUUUUAGAGAUUUUACUAGAAAACUACAUACGGAGCAAAAUGAGUGAAUCUACACUCUAGAAUAUGUCUAUGUACAUCCGUAUGUAGUUUAUAAUGCAAUCUCUAAAAUGUCUUAUAUUUAGGAACGGAGGGAGUAGCAAACUUGUUCAGGAUUGUACCGUAUACUGUCACAUGCGCAAGUAUAGCAUAUAUGUAUCUUGUACUCUAAAAUUAAGUUCUUAGUAAACGUGAAGCAUAUCUAUAUAUAUAUACUAAUAUAAAUUAAUUCAAAAACUAUGAAUUGAAAUAGGUAUAAAAUCCCAGGUGUUCGCAUGAUUAAAAAUACAUCUGGGCACUAUAUUAUUAUUGAACGACAAUGAAGACUAAUACUGUAUUUUUAUUAGUACUUAUGUGAACAGGGUGUAUUUUAAGAAUUAUUUAUUGUUAUGAGAUCUGAUAUGCAAUACGAUAAUUUUUCGUAAAUGGCAUGCUGGUUUAUGCCACGAGAGAGUACAUAUCAAAUUCAAUAACAAUUUUAUAAAAUCUGCAUGUACAAAACAAGAAAAUUACGGAGAAUCUAUCAUGUGUCACCUAGACCUCAUCAAUACUCUUGUCGACCCAUACAUGGCAUUUUACUUAUGUGUACUGUGUACACAAAACAUAUACACGUGAAUUAGCCAUCUAAUGGUAUAUGGGUAACCUUCAGAAGUGGAGACUUUAGUUGGAGUUUUUUUCAAAACUACAACCCAAUUUACCAUAAAUUAAAAAAGAACCUGUCAAAAAAAUAUAUAUAGCAAAAGUAAUACCCCAUCGGCCAGCCGGAGGAUGAAGUGCUGCCUGUCGGUCAGCGAGAGGCUGAAGAGCCGCUGUCGGCCACCAGGAGGCCGAAGAGGCUGCUGUCGGUCAGGGGGAGGCCGAAGAGUGCCUGUCGGCCAUCAGGAGGACGAAGAGCCCCUGGAUAAGUGCCCCCCUCCUUUCUCCUCUGACCCCUCUUUUCGUCCUUCCCGUCCUCCAGGCUCCCCACCUCCACCUCCCACUCCCGUUGCUCUCUGGUGCUUCCACCCCCACGUCGAUCUCUUCACUCGUCCACCCAUUUUCGUAUCAAACCGACGUAAACAAUAGAUCAGGGCUCUCUCCAGAGGCUUACGAUUUUUUUUCCUUCCAACUCAAUGAAAUCUCAACUUUCAACUCAGUUGUCGAUUCAGUUUUUAUUGGUCACCGUUAGUUUGCAGCUAAAUGGCUUGCCCAUUUUGUCGAGCUCCAGGUGGCCCUUGUUCUUCCUUUGAUUUCGGUGUGUCUGUAUUCACUGUUGUGCUAGAUCGUCGAUGUUCAAGGCAUGUUGUAAGAUUCUAUAUCUUGUUUAUCUGACUGUGCCAUAUGGUUGAUGUUGUUUUGGUUGGAAUGUAUGUGAAUGCCUUUGUUUAUAUGAUUAUGAUGUUUGCUUCCAUUCUUGUUGUAGUAUGUUCCGUGCAGUGUUAGAUCACAUCUUGCUCGGUACAUUAAGGAGUGCAGAGCUUUAGCUAUUCGCAGGGGUGACACAGAUAUUGAUCUUGCUCUUCACAACGGUGAGGGUAACCUAUACCAUGUUCUGUUUAGACAUGGUCGGAAAAGUACUGCGUGGAGCAGAGGGCUUUUCUUGAUGAGAUGAUCAGGCAAAGCGAAGAAGAGAAACUUCGACUGGCUGAGGUUUACAGACAGCGGCAGGAGGCCCGUGAUGCUGAGAGGGAGAGAAAGAAAGAAAGAGCUCGUGCGGUCAAGGCACCAGAAGAAGCUGGUGAUGAAAAAGGAAAAUAUCCAUGUUGACUUAGUAGAUUUAUUUUAUUGUAUCCUAAAUUUGUUGAACCUUAAUUUCAGCAAGUUGUAUCUUAAUUUCAGCAAGUUGUAUCAGCACGUUGUAUCUUAAUUUCAGCAAGUUGUAUUUUAAUUUCAACAAGUUGUAUCAUCACGUUGUAUCUUAAUUUCAGCAUGUCGUAUCUUACUUUGAACAUGUUAAUUUUUCCGGCCAUAUCUUUCCGACCAUAUCUUUUCUGUCAUUUCUUUCCCACCAUUUCAAUAGAACAUGAAAUAGAACAUACAUGAAUAUGUUAAGUUUUCAAUAGAACAUGAAAUAGAACAUACAUGAACAUGAAAUAGAACAUACAUGAAUAUGUCUCAUACAUGAAAUAUGUCUCAUACAUGAAUAUGUAUCAUACAUAAUUAGAUAGUCAUAUCUCAUACAUAGAUAACUAUAUCACUCCUGGCGACGGCGAUGAAUCUUGGGCUUCCUCGGAUGCGGACCGGUAGGCGAUAAGCGCUUAGUCGAUGGACGAUGACCACGACCAUAUACCACCUCGUCCGUCAGUGUCUGUGUCUCCUGCGUCGAUGGUGGUGGUGGAGUGAUAAGAACCGACUCCACGAAAUCAUACAUGUUUGCACCUCGGUCAUCGUCGUCGCCGUCACCGGGUAAGUACGAACCAGCAAACACAGGUGACUGGACUGAAUCCAUGAACGGUUGCGACUGGCUGCCCACUGCGGUAAAGUAAAACAUGUAAAAUUGAUUUACGAGCAUACAAUUUUUAAAAGAAUGUGCAAAGUAGUGUUACCUAUGUCCAUAUGAUUAAGCCAAGUAGAUCCCCAAGGUUGUGAACGAGGUGGCUGCUGGAAGAAAUAGCUCUCUGGUUGUGAAGGAGGUGUUUGCUGCCAGGGUUGUGAAGUAGGUGUCUGCUGCCAGGAGGAGCUCCCUGGUUGCGAAGGAGGUGUCUGCUGCCAGGAGGAGCUCCCUGGGUGUGAAUGAGCUGUCUGCUGCCAGGAGAAGGUCCCUGGUGUGAGGUUCGAGGUUCUGAACGGUGCACAGAGGUUCGAGGUUCUGAACGCUGCAGAGAGGGGCGUGGCAGACGAUGGGAUGCAUGAGUGUUAACAACAUCCGAAGAUCGUCUACAUGUAACAGCUGCGUAAAUCCCGCGCAGCUUAGCAAGAUGACACUACUAGGAAAAACUUUAUAGGUAGGACCUCAGUAGUAGCGCUAGAAAACAUAAAACGCUGCUGCUAAUUAGCAGUAGCCCCAUUCUUCACAAUGGUAAAUGACCUCUGAUCUUUUCGAUGAUCCCCUCCAAGUGCUUCUUUUGUUAUCUCCUUGGUCUGGAAAGGUAGGGUAUGUUUGAUUAUGGCCAAUGUGCACCCUACCAAAAUGUUGGUCAUGACCAAAAAAUGUUCUUUAUUUGGAUAGUUGUCAAUUUUUUGGCAUGACAUUGCACUUUAGUGAACUCUAAUUCCUUUUUCUUGCCAAUGUUGACCAUGGUCAGUCAAUACCUUAACCGAAACACUGGUCAACCUUGGACAUAAACAAAACACACUCAUAGUCCCAAAUAUUUGAUUCACAGCUUGGUCACCUGACAAUUAAGAAGUUCUCCAAUUUCACUGAUAUAAACUCUUCCUCACAAAGAUCGGAGAGUUAGAACUAUUAGCAAGGUUGCAAUUAAGACUAGAUGUCCCAAAGGAACCUAGUGGUAGAAAGAUCUUGUGUACUUGCUUUCAUGAAGAUGAGUACAUCGUCGACGGAAAUAGAUACUCUAUGAGACAUGUCAUAAUUUGCCACAAAGGGCUCUAGAAGACCACAACUUUCAACUUUCUCGAACCAGGCCGAUAUGACAUCCUUGACCAAAAUAAAAAGGAGAUGCGAGUGAGCAUCUCCUGCCUAAGAACGCGAACAUGCCGUAUAUUAGGGCCAGGAGUAUCAUUUGGUAAAAUCAGCGUGGAUGUCAUGGACAACAACGUAGCGAUCCAACAUCUCCAAUUAUGCCUGAACUCUGUAAUCAUAAGCACCUCCAAUGAAAGUUACCACGCAACCAAGUCAAAGGUCUUGGCAAUAUUCACUUAAUACAACAAACUCUUGCAAAUUAGUUUUCCCUUUGAGCAAUCUUGCCGAAUCUCCUGACCAACUUGAAUGCAGUGAACGACCUUCAAGAAAAAAAACUUUGAUUGUUAUCGACGAUACGAGGCUUCUAGCUAAAAUGCUAGAGAUUUUUUUGUUUGCCUAGGUAUGGGCAAGGCAAAUAGGCCUGAAAUCAUUUGUAUCACAUAGAAGGAGAAGCAUGUGUGCAACAUUUAUUUUUUGGAACCCCCAUCGAUCAAGAGAAAAAUAAUUAAAAGCUUCCACGAUCUCCUCCCUGAUAACACACCAUUAUUUUUGGUAAAAUAUCCAUGGUAUAACCAUCUGGUCCCAGGGUUUUCUCUGUUGGCACUGCUUCCCAUAUUUCAUUCUCCGGAAAAAAAGCAGAAGAAAUCGAUACAUAAGGAAUCUAAAUGGUUAUUUAUCAUCGGUGUUCGCUUUCAAAAUCGUUCAUAACACAUCACCAUUUGUUGCACUUUAAAAAUCCUUAUCCGCUUAUCUAGUAUCUAUAAGUGCAGAAUUAGACAAGUACACAAGCGUAAUCAUGAGUUUCGUGAUAUUAUAGAUUGUCAGGUGGCCAAGGUUCACUUGUCAGCUCAGCUGCCCUUUUGCUUCGGAGCCGAGACGAAUAACUGUCCGAUCGCCUCCAAUGCAGAGACGUCCCAACUCUCUGCGUGCCUAACGACCUGAAACGUAGUGCGACCUUCUAAAUCUGAAUGAUGGUGUGAAAGAAGGGGUGAACGAAUGAUUUUAAAUUGAUUUAAACGGUUUUAUAUUAGUUUACAGAGGGAGUACCUUAUAUUCUUCAUCUAAAUCGUAGGUUGUGUUCCCUCUUAUGGCGAUGAGGGGCCUCCAUGGGAGCCUCAGAUAUGUCCUGAAUAUAAUACAGAAACAUUAGUAGAAACAGAGACAUAUCUAGCAGUGUAUUCAGUGAUGGAUCAUAAAUCAUAAUGCCGAUGAGGCACCUUAACGUCCAUGAUGCUAUGAUAAACUUCGUGUCGACCCUCAAGCCCUGCAUGCAUGUUUUCAGAAGUUGCAGCGAGCAGCCAAAAAGCGCGGGCUAAACAAACAUUGGUACAAGCCACAUACCAUGAGAAACUUCAGAAAUGACAACAUUUUAACUAGACAAGAAGCUGAUUUUUUGUUCGUAGCUUAGCACAAAUGAGAACAACUUCGAAAACGUGACACAUAUAUGCGGUGCAGAUACAUCACCUUUUUUUUUGCAGUUCAGUAAAUAGUAGUAUAAUGAAGCAAAGCAGAUAACUGCACGGGAAGGCACAAAAACUCUUACCUUGUCUAUAUUUUCAAGUUGGAGCGAAGGGCUGUCGAAGAAGGGUACUAGCAAAUCUAGAUUCUGGGAGUAUCUAGACCUUCCUACAGAGUACAAGAGGAUGAAAGUUAGUCGUUGGCAGAUAAGGAUGCAUCGAUCUAGGUAUUACUCUGGUAGUAUUGUUUGCAUUUGUUGCGCACCACGGAACUUUAUCGUCGGAUCUUCAAACAAGCAAUCUUCAGCAUAUAUGCCCAAAGUGAAGUUCCCUGAAAUCGAUAGUCUUGAGCACAUUAGCUACUCAAAUGCCAUCAAAAAUCCAAAGACAGUUGCCCGGAAUGUACAGAAGUGCAAAUUAACUUCCUUCAGUUUCUUUUGACCCGUCACAUGAACGGAAUCUGCUAAUGCACAUACCAGUAAGGAAAUAAGCACGCCGGUAGUCGGCUUCAAGAACGGCAACCACGUCGUCGACGCUGCGAGGCGACUCCGACUCUGCGUCGACGGCUUCAACAGCUGGGCUUGGCUUCUUGGGAGAGAAGGCCCUGAGGAGCUCGGUGACGGCGCUAACCGCCGCCCUGACGACCGGCGGUGAGCCGUCGUCGCCACUUCCGGGCGAGCCGGAGCCGCACCUCACGCCGAGGAGGGGGCGAUGGCUCUGCAGGAAGAUGGAGUGGGGGGGCGGCAGGAGAUCAAGAAAAAGAUGGAGAACGAUUGCUUGAGAGAGGUUCAGAGCUAAUCACCUUCGGGACGGAGAGGCGAGGAGAGGGAAGGGGGGACGGCCUGGCAGUUAGGCUGGGCGCCAUUAGCGGUUUGCCUCGCUUCCAUGCGGCUCAGAAGGCUGCCAUUGUCGCAUGAUCACAUCCGGGUGUGUGAGGCCUUCCAGCUGACACGCCACCUGCAUUCUCAGUUCGUUGUCUCAGUCACUGUUACAUUUCCUGGUAAACAGCUGCCGCACACGUCUUUUUUGAAGGUAUGAUGCGAAAAGUCUCAUUUGAAAACUCAUUCAAAACAUCCGGUUGUAGUUUUCUCGCUCUUCAGCCGUCUCUCCUUUCUUUUAUCUUUUCUUUGAAAGCAUCUUCAACGAACGCGUUAAACAAGCGUUGCGUUAAAAAAUUAAUCUUUUUGCGCGUGCGUUACCAUUCCGGAUGCUUCAGCGAAGGCGUAAAAACCGCACGCGCGGCAUAACCAGUUCAACACGCGGACGAAAACGUCAUCGCGCGCCGUUUAUUUGUUGUGCCCGAUCCCCAACGCUACAUACUCGAGCGCCCAUUUGCAACACCACCUAUCCCAUCAAGCCGCGGAGCCGCCGCCGCCCGCGCCACCCCAUUUCUUUCGACGACCGUUCCACCGCUUCCCCGACCUAUCUCCCGCGCACUGCAUUUUAGUGUGACUGUUGAAGCUACGCGCGCGCUGCAUUUUACAGCGGAUGCUGGAGCUAACGCUGGUCGCCGCGUCAAAACAGACGAAGGACGCGCCGCAAACUGAUUUUUAACGCGCCGCGCGUUGGGCGGCUGUUGGAGAUGCUCUAAGCCACACGUUCUCCACAGCCUGAUCAAACCGUCUUCUCCCCAUCUAUCUUGACCAUCCUAUGAAGAUCUCAACUGUCAUGGAUGGCCUCCAUGAAAUUGUUAUCUCAAGUGUUGCGAGGGGUGCUGCAAGGGUGUUGUCUGGCUGCUGCGAGGGUGGUGGUUCGGCUGCGACGACAACCCUAGCUCCGACGAUGUUGCGAUGGUGCCGUCGUGUUGCGAGCUGGUGUUGUGACGGCACCGCCGUGCUUUGAAGCAGAGUUGUGACGGCGUCGUCGUGUUGUGACGGCGCCACCGUGCUUCGAGGCGGUGCUGUGAACGUGUUGUCGUGCUACGAGCUGAUGCCGCGAAGGCGUCACCAUGCUGCGACGGCGCCGUCGUGCUGCAAGCCGGUGUUGUGACGGUGUUAUGCGAAUUGGGUUGCCAAUGCUGCGCCGAGGUCAUCAUGUUGUGAGUCGCUGCAAUGAGGUCAUCGUGUUGCGCGCUGCUGCGAACGAGCCGUCGUGCCGCGCGGCACUGCAACGGUGUUUUGCGACGGGCCAUCGGUGCUACGACGCGAUGAUGCGAGCCCCUGCUGCAAGGCCGCAAGAGUUGUUACCGGAGCUACGUGCUUCGAGCGGUGCGGCGUCAGGUUGGGCAGACUAGCGCGCCAAGAAGCAUAUUAGCAAAGGGAAGAUUAGACGGUUAAAAGUUGAGCAUCUGAGGACUGCCAACACACGGAUGAUAUUUGGCCAGCGACAUCCAGAUGACGCCUAGCAUCAACCUUUUCAUUUUGCGUUAUACUGUAACUCUGUAUGUAUCUCUUCAGCCAGCAUGCUGACAAAUGGGAACCAUGCACAUGUAUACUAGCAUGGCAGUCGAUAAUUUGGUUAGAGUAGUGCUUAAAAAGGUUAAAGUGGCCUUCUGGUGCUACAUCACUAAAUCCAUUCCAAAAAUAGUCUUAAGGUUAAAAACAGUCGGGAUCAUAGAGUACAAGGUAUAAAUUUUAGGGAUUUAACACCGAGGGUUUAUUUCUAACUAACUCUACAAUCUCAAGGUUUAAAUCAAACUUUACAUCUUUUUAGAAAGGAGGUCAUCAUCGAGCUUUAAAUUAGUGAAGCAUUACAACGACCGAUACAACAUGACACCACACAAACAACAACGGAAGUAAAACAAACAAAAUAAAACAAAAGCGGCUAGAUACAAUGGUGUUGAGGACCAGAAAUUAAACCCCAAAAGACUACAAGCAAAACAUUAGGUGGGACAAUGAAGCACUGCUUGAAAUCAUCGAGGCCCUCAUCCUCAAUCAAGCCAACAGAAGCAAGAACGAGGAUAACUCGAGAAGGGGACUGGUCGUCUAGAGAAGCCAUGCCGCCACCAUCACCUAGGAACCAAGCAACAAUGUCGUCCAACUACAUCGCCGAAAGGAGCCCCUGCCUCCUCGCCCUGGCUCGAAGGGUGUCGUACCGCCGGACAAUGAGAAGCUCACCAAGCUUCUCGAUGGACACUGUCGCUGAAACCACAUGGGAGGAUUCCGAACACCGCUGCUCUCUAAACUAACACCUCUUGAAAUAACCAUCGGAGAAGCCAUAGAAUCAUCAAGACGAAGAGGAAAUUGGCGUCCACUACGUGACCAACGACCACAACACAUGACCUUGCUCAUGAGACGGUGCCUCCAAGAAGAGAAUGACAUGACAGUGCCACCACCGCCCAGUUCGUCAUCCGGAACAAUGCCUUUCACCCAGAGCACAAAGUGAAGGAGAACAACCCACGCAUACGCCACCAAGGAGGGAAAUGACACUCGAAAGCGCCGUUGUCACUAGCAACGACAUCGUUAUGCAGAGUUUUCUCCCAAGAGCAUGAGAUAUAGUCCCCAACCACAAAAGGUUCUAUAUCAACACCUCACCGACUGCCAGGCACAUCGGAGAGGCGAGGUGGCCAAAUGGUGAAGUUAGCAACACAAAGAUCUCGUCAGAGCGGUGCGGAGACUACACCCAAACCAUAAAACGCCACACGAUCGGGCCAUCGUGUCGCCCACGCGGCCACGGCACCACACGAGCACCGCACAAUGGCACCCGCCUCAAGGAUGCCUCCGUGCCAGGUGCUCGGAGUCGCCACACGACCUCUUUCUCAUUUCAAUGAAUCUGACCAACAUUUUCGAUUAUCUCAUAAUCCUCAUCACAUCGACAUGCUUAUCCAGGUCGGAUCACCCGAGGGGUCGAGAGCAUAUCUCUCCUGAUCGGAGGGGAAAAUCCCAUCUUGCUUGACCUUGUGUUGUAUUAUGCAUCUGUACAAGCCCGAAACCUAGCUUUGUAACUACCGAGUCACGGAGUAGCGUUUGGUCGUCCCAAAGCAAAUCUGUCACCAUCCCGAGUACAUGCGCGAGCUCAGAUCUUAGGACGCAAAACAUAUGUUGUAUUAGAGACUCACAAAUGACCUAUUGUUGCAUCUCAUAGUUGGGUCUAUCCAACUCAGAUCUUAUUUUAACUCGGAUCUGACUACAUCGAAUCCGAUCAGAUCUUUCUGAGUCCUUAUUAUUCGGCUAGCAUCCAAUGUUGCAUGAUCAGUGAGACCGGACCAUCCACCGUGUCAUAUGCUUGUCGGAUUGGUUGCGCGUCCAUGCAACCCUUUCAACUAUGGACCAUUUAGGAUACUCAUCAUAUAAUACAUAGUCUCACAAACAAGUCACGUACUUGUUGAUACACAUCAUUGAUAAUGUCCAAGGACUAUCUUUAUUCAUAAAUGAAAGCGCAACUUCUCCCUAAGGUGAUUUUUGUAAUUAAUAACAACAUAUGUGUCAUUGAUCUAAUGAUUCCAUCUAGUAUAUUUAAGGAAAAUUUAAAUGAUGCUUUGGCUAAGGAUUGUGAGGAGAACCCCUAGAUGCAAGGAACAUCUAUUGGAAACAAGCUUGAAGACUCUACAUUUUAUAUUUUAUGAGAAAUCACUUUUGAGUCCAUAGGAAAGCCAAUAUUAUUAAAAGGGGAUGAGGUGACUAUGAUGAUCUGGUUGCAUAGCCACCAAAAAUACUCAUGAAAUUCUCCCACAAAUAUUUUGUCAAAAUCCACAAAGUCCAAAAUUCGGUGCGACCAAGUUUUUCCAUUCGUCCCUGUCGAGUUUUACCUUAGAUAGAUCCCAUGCCAAACUAUAGCAUCUCGGUGUCACCAAGUGCCAUUUUGGUGCAACCGAAAUCAGUGCCCCCGGCUCGGGUAACCAACUUCUUAGAAUUGAAAUUUCUGAGUUUUGAGAAUCGGUCUUACCGAGUUGUUGAAACUCACUAGGCUAGCAAAAAUCGGUACCACCGAGAUUCAUAUAUCGGUCUCACCGAAAAGACAAAAGUUGCCACAUUUUGCACUAGUCGUUGCCACCGAGUUUCACUUUGGUUUCACCGAGUUGUGAAAUAAUGUUGUAACGGUUGGAUUUUUGGAGAUGCCUAUAUAUACCCCUCCACCACCUCUCAUUCGCAGAGGAAGCACUCAGAAUGACCCAACACUUGUCAUAUCCAUUUUUCUGAGAGAGACACACCUACUCAUGUGUUGAGAUCAAGAUAUUCUAAUCCUACCAUUUGAAUAUUGAUUUCUAGCCUCACCAAGUUGCUUUCCAUCCAAUCAAUUUCUUCUACCCAAGCCGAAUUUGUGAGAGAGUGAUUGAGUGUUGAAGAGACUAUCUUUUGAAGCAAGAGCAAGGAGUUCAUUGUACUACCGCAUCUAUUACCUUUUGGAGAGUGGUGUCUUCUAGAUUGGUUAGGUAUCGCUUGGGAGCCUCCUACUUCAUGUUGUGGAGUUGAACCAAGAAGUUUGUAAGGGCAAGGAGAUCGCCUAUUUCAUUCUACCCCGAGUGAGGCUAGUCCUUCGUGGACAUAAGUCGUGACGAAAUUGACAAGGUUUCUUCUCCAUGGACCCUUAGUAGAUUAAGCCCUUGGUGGACUCGUGUGGUCGUUACCCUCUAUGGGUCGAACUCUCCAUCAACGUGGACGUGAUGAUAGCACCACCUAUCAGAACCACGCCAAAAAUCGUUGUGUCAAUACUUGUAUUUGAUAUACCUAUCCCUAUCCUCUAUUUACGUGUGCAUGUCUUUACUUUCCGCUUCUAUACUCUUAGACUUGCAGGUGUUGGGUGUGCUUGACUCGCUAAAAUUGCUAAAACUUGGCCACAACUAAAAUUGGGAAAGGAUUAACUUUUUAUUUGGUCAAGUAGUCUAAUAAUGUGACAGCCCGAUGCCGACGUUCCAGAAGAUUCCCCUUUCUUUCCGUUUUCGUCGUGUGUUUAUUUCCUUUUGUCGCGUCAUCAUCGCAUCAUGCGCAUCAUCCGCAUUGCAUCGGCAUUCUGUUGCCGCCAAUUUUCGAAACUUGCAUCCGUUGUUAGUUGCCGGUUCUCGUCGUUGUCCGUUCUGAGCCCGACUGCACUCGCACGCCCCCGCGGAAUCGCUUGAAUCUUGUUUUUAAAAGUGUGCAUAAAACUUUCUCUGAUCGGGGUGAAACUUGACAUGCGGUCGUAAUUAGUUAUAGCUAGGCCAUGUGUCAAGUUUCGUCGCAAUCGGAGUCCGUCUGGUACCCGAACAGUCGACCGUAGCGGCACCGUAUUCGGUCUACCGUCGGAUGGUUAUCGGUGUUUCAAAUCGCGUUGCCGCGCCGACUGUUUCCCUCCCGUCUUCGGAUAACCGCUCUACACAGCCCACUAGUUCCACCUAGCCACUUCCUCCGUUCGUGGUCCUCGGAUCGCGAUCGGACGGACGAGGUCCACCCCACCAGAGACCAACCCUAUAUAAGUAACACCCCCCUAGAGAGAGCCCUCUCACUUCACUAGGGUUUCCCCUAGUCAUUUUUGCAGCCACCCCCCUUAAAAAAUCCACCUGCUAGCCCACACCCUUCAAAUCACGCAGCCCUAAGCUCCUUAGCCUUUCCCAGCCUUCGGAUAUGAGAUCUGGGGCUCAGAUUCGCCCAAAACCCCACCUACCGGACAUGUCCGUGGUCAAAUCGGACAUGUCCGGGCGACCACAGCUCCUCCCGAGCCCUCCCCGAGCAGCUCGCAUCCGGCCGGAGGUCCCCAUCGCCGCAGCCGCUUGUUCUCCCGUGCCGCCGCCCGUACCUCGUCGGUCACGCCUCCGGUCGCCGCUCGCCGGAACCGCCGCCGGAGUUUCCCCGCGCCUCGGACCUCGACAUCUCGCCGGAGCCCCGCGCCAUCCUCUGCCAUGGUCGCCUGCUACAAGGUCGCCAGCCCCGCCGCCUGCGUCCUCUGCCGCCGCGCCAGAUCCAUUUCCCCGGCGCCGCCCCGCCUGCUCGCCACCCUGCCGCCGAGCGGCCGGGCUCCCGCCGCCGCCAGCCCCUGCUCCUCGAUCCAGCGGGAUCGGGAGCGCCGCCAGUUCCUCCUCGCCUGGAACCGACGCAAGCGCAGCGCUUGCAUCUCCCUCGCGUGGGCCGCGCCAGCUGCCUGGGCCCCGAGCAGGCCCAGCUGGCAGCUCCUCCAGGCUGAGGCAGCACCAGCAGCCCCAGGCCCAGCUGGCCCAAGCCAGGCUGUGGCCUCUUCCUAGGUGCACCCAACCGGCCGAAGUGGCGGCCCAAGGUGAGCCUGAGCCACCCCCUCACUCGCGUGCAUUUUUUUAUGUAACACCCAUGGCCUGUAGCCCAUUGACCUUUAGAUUAGGCCCGAUAGAUAUUUUUUCCCCUUUUAGGGAUUUUUCGGAAUAAUAUAAUUCCAGAAAAAUAGACGGUUAUUAAAACGCGCGUAUCUUUUAAACCGUUAGUCGGAUCGGAGCGUGUUGUAUAUGGUUUUCGCGUAGUUUUGCGUGUAGAAUAUGUUGGUGCAACUUGCAUAUUUGUUUGAUGUAGUUUUGCAUGCCGAAUGACUAGAUAUGUGUGCUGUUUAUAUUGUCUUGGUUCCGUGUUAUUUUUUUCUUGCGGUCCGGAUUGCUCGAGUGCCUUAGGUAAAAUGCCCAUGUUUUAGGAACCAUUUUCCCAUGCAUUUUAGAGCGGUCAUUUAUAUUUUUGCGUGUAGGGAAUUGCCUCUAUUUUAUUUUCCCGUAUAUAGGUUAUUUUCCCGCAUUUAUGUGUGGCUUUAUUUUGUGUUGCAACCCCACAUAUUUUAUGUGUUUCCGGGGUAGAAAAAUUCCAUGGAUUUUUCUGUGCAAUUAGUUUUAGCUUUUGAGUAAGUUAGUUCACGUGAUAUUUUGCCGUGAUGCCCUUUUGUUUAAUUCGUAGGAUUUAUUCCGUGCUUCGUUUGAAGGAGUUGUCAACUAGAGAGUUGUUCUUGGGUGUUUAGCCUAGCCCCUGGUAUUUUUGGUUGCAAUAGAAAUGCAUGUUUAGGUGUGUUUUGAUUGCCCUCAAGUUGCUAGAAAUAGUGCUGAUUUUGAGGAGCUGAAAUAUUUCUAAGUCUGGAACUGUUACUUUUUGUUGCUGUUUUGUUUUGCUUCUAUCUUGUGAUCUGUAGCUCUUUUGAGGUUGGUCUAAUGGAGUUAGUUGUACCCCUUGUGUUUUUCUAGCAUGCUGUAAAUUUUCAUGCCAUUUGGACUCCUGUAGCUAUAUGUUUUGCUGCUGUCAAUAUUGCUUCAGAUCGAAAACUGCACUUUCAUGAGGUAUAAUUUUCACUAAGUCUGAAAUAGUGUGUGAGAUGCCAUUUUGUGUCUUCUUUUCCUAGUGCUCCUUGCUGCCAUGCUAGUUGUUGUUAGUUGUUUAUAGUAGUGCGUCUUGCCUUCUAUCGUGCCAUGCCUUGCUUGAGUUUAUCGUAGUUGUAUAGCUCGUAGUUGUGGGGCGUAGAAAAUGCUAUGUGGCUGAUUUUGGCAAAUUGUAGUGAUUUCUUGUUUUGCUCAUAGUUGUUGAUCCGUAGCUCCGAUUUGAUCGUGUCCUACAUGAAACUUGCUUAGAAUCUCAUGUAGUUUCAUUAUCUCUUUCUGGUUGUAUGAUUUGAAGUGCUAGUGACCGUCGUUGCACACAUAUUGCAUUCAUGUCAUCAUAUCUUGCGGUGUCCGUAUCUUUUGAUCCGUAGCUCCGUUGGAGAUGUUCUUUAUGUGUAGAUUGCUUGAAAUGACGCGUAGAAUCACGUGAACCUAUUUGUUUUGCUUUUUAACAACCAAUUAAAUGUGUUAGUUCAGAUCUGGACAGAAUUGUAAAUUAACAUGUGAGGUCGUUUCGGAGGUGCUAUAUGUCAUUUCCGACCUCAUUUAAAAUGCCUAGAUAGGUAGUUUAAUUGUGCUUCACCUCUUGCCAUGUUUAACCACAUUUAAUAUUGUCGUGUAUCUAAUCGGGAUAGAACUAAAUAAAUAAACGUGGAGUUUCGUCAAUAUGCAACUCGUUGCAUAUUGAACUUCACUUAAUGUGUAGUGUUUGAUUGUGUGAAUUGUCAUGCCGUGACUUGAAUGUAUUCAGCUGUUCAUGCAUCAUUUGUGUUGUGCAUCGUGCGGUGAAUUCCGUGUGUUGAUCUGUGUUUCCGGUUUGCUUCGUCUCGAUAGAGUUCCGCAAGCGUGUCGGAUGUGAGGACCCGUUCGACUACGUCGGUUCGUCUGCUUCACGGAUGCAUUCUUCUUCCAAGCGGGAUCUCAGGCAAGAUGACCAUUUCCCCAGAUACCAUUACUAUCAUUGCCAUGCUAGUUUAUCGCUUCUAUCGUUUAUGUCUCGUUGCCUACCACAUGUUAAAUAUCAGAAUCUCAACAAUGCCAUGAAUACCUUCAACCUAUUCGACCUAGCAAACCACUGAUUGGCUAUGUUACUGCUUGCUUAAACCCCAUUGAUAGCGUUGCUAGUUGCAGGUGCAGUUGCUUCCAUGUGAUAACAUGGGUUCCUUGUUAUAUCACCAUAUUUAAAUGCUAUUUAAUUUAAUGCACCUACAUACUUGGUAAAAGGUGGAAGGCUCGGCCCUUUUCUAGCCUGGUGUUUUGUUCCACCUUUGCCCCCUUAGUUUCCGGCUACCGGUGUUAUGUUCCAUAAAUGAGCGCUCCUAACACGAUCGGGGUUGUUAUGGGGACCCCCUUGAUAAUUCGUUUUAGAUUAAGGCUGGUCUGGCAAGGCCCAACAUUGGUACUACAUUUGCCUAAUCACCUAAUAAAAUUGCAUAGGGACUUUCCGGACCCUGAGGAUAAUUUAAUCAACCCCCGGGCCAGUGCUCCGCAUGAGUGUUGGUCCACCCACCUAGCAGUCGGCGGUGCCACCUCGGGGCAACUCGAGGUUUGGCUACCGUCCACUUUGCAUAGACGGUGUGUCCUGAGAACGAGAUACGCGGCUCCUAUCGGGUUCGUCAACACACCGGGUGGCCUUGCUGGAUUAGUUUUACCUUUGACGAGAUAUCUUGUGCAUCGGGAUUCCGGUGAUGCUUUGGGUAAUCUCAGAGUUCAGGUUUUCCACUAGGGAAUCCGAUGAGAUCGCGAGCUUCGUGAUUGAGGAUUUCUAUGCGGCUUGUGGUAAUUUGUGAUGGACUAGUUGGAGCACCCAUGCAGGGUUAAAUCUUUCGGAAAGCCGUUCCCGCGGUUAUGUGGCAACGUGGAAGCUUUGUUUAACACUGGUUCUAGAUAACUUGAAGUUAACUUAAUUAAAACUUGCCAACUGUGUGCGCAACCGUGACUGUCUCUUUCAUGAGUUCCUUCUCCGAUCGAGGACACGGUGGGGUUAUGUCUGACGUAGGUAGGUGUUCAGGAUCAUUCAUUUGAUCAUCCGUAGUUUCCGUCCGCUAUGUGUAGAUCUUCCCCCUCUUAUUUCUUUUACUCGUAAGUUUAGCCACCAAAUAUGUGCUUAGCCGCUGCUGCAACCUCACCACUUAACCAUACCUCACCCAUUAAGCUUUGCUAGUCUUGAUACCUUUGGAAAUGAGAUUGCUGAGUCCCCUAUGGCUCACAGAUUACUACAACACCAGUUACAGGUACAGGUAAAGGUUACUUGACGCGAGCACGUUGAUUGUUCAUUUGGAGUUGCCUCUUCUUCUUCUUCAUCAUCGAUCUAGGAUGGGUUCCACGCCGGCAGCCUGGGAUAGCAAGGAUGGACGUCGUUCUUCUUUUGUCGUUUGUUUUCGUCCGUAGUCAGACCCUGCUCUUACUCUUGAUGAUCAUGUAAUGUACUGAUGUGACUCUGAUGUAGCUUGUGGCGAGUGUAAGCCAAUUCUAUAUAUCUCUUCUUUUCAGUACAUGUACUUGUAACGAUAUCCAUUCUUGCGACACGACGAGAUGCGCUUCUAUCCCUGACGAGUCCCUCGUGCCAAAUUGAGGAUAGGGUCGCAUCUUGGGCGUGACAAAUAACCCCCCCCCCUCUAGACAUAUAUACUUCGGAUCAUACAAUAAACAUAUAGGAAAUAUCAUCAUACAUGAUUGCCUCUAGGGCAUAUCUCCAACAUGGAGGCACAACCCGACAAACGUUGAUGGUGGACUACCAGCACCUUGCCCAAAUUAGGAGCCACGAGGGCAACCAUGAGAGAAAAAAGCCUUGUUUGGCGCAGGCCCAACGACGACGAGCUAGGACAGGCAGAGGCCUCCAGGCCCGGCCUAUGGUCAAUAGCGGUUGAGAAUGGAGACCGUGACCAAGCCAUCCCGCACCCCCUCUGGGCAUACCCCCACGGCUCAGAUAUGGAGCAAGCACUGUUAUUACCCCGACACCACAGACGGCUGGGCAUGAAGAUGAAGGGGCCCACCCAUCCUACGUCGGCAACCUGCUGCGAGAGAGGCCAGGAAGGUGCAUCGUCAUGUGGCCAGAUCUGGGGCAUCGUGUCGGCGAUCCACAACAUGAGCGGACUAGGGUGAGGGGGGAGAAGAAGUGGAGGGGACGCCAUGUCGCUGCCAGCUGCCCGCAUUCAUGCCGAUGUAGAGCGACCGCUCCACAUUGAAGACGAGCCAAAGCAGACACGAACUCCCACUCGCUCCGCCAUUGAAGCGGCACAUCACCCGAGGGCCCCAUUCGCAACGCAAGGUGAGAGACGAAGUUUGACAGGUGGGUCCCACCUGCCAACAAGUGAACUACAAAUAAAGCGAGGGGCUGAGACUAUGCACGGGGGCUAGGCCUCUGAUGGGUUCUAACAGAGAGAGAGAGAGAGAGAGGGGGAGAGAAGGGUUGGACGAACUAUUCUCGCCUAGUUAGGUCAGGGCUUCUCUGGUUUUUCAUUCCACUCCUUUUUUAAUUCCUAAAUCAAAAAAAGGAUUUGGUUAAACAUCAAAACUUUCCUAAAGGCCUAAUAAAUCUACAAAAUAAUUGUUUGGGGCCAAGGAAAUUAUUUACCAGCCCAAAGUAAAUUUUAUAAAUGAUUUUUUGUAAAUAGCUCAUUUAGGCAUUUAUAAAUUCCCUAAUAUUAGUUCUAGAGCUUUAUAAUAUCAAAAUGGUCUUGAAAAUACUCCAAAUGCAAAGAGGUCUAUUUAAUUAAUUCCACUUUUAUUUUGGAAAUUCAUAUUGUCUCCACUCCUUUCUUUUUAUUGAACAUUAGACAUUAUUUCAAAUAGUCUCCAAACUCAGCAUGUCUCCAAAUUCAAAUAAAACUCCAAACACUACAGGAAUCAGCUUCUUUACGUUUGCAAAUGGGCCACUCCACGGACAGCAAAGCCCUUUGUCGUUCACCGGCGGUCGACAAAACUUCUAUGACUCCUUGCGCCGGUAAAGGGCCUUCUUUGCCGUCUGCCGGUAGGCAACGGACGGCAAAGGCCUUUGCCAUCUAUGUAUCAUGACAAGCAGACGACAAAUUAUUUGGACGACAGCUCCACGUACCUACUCUAUUAGGUGGCUAACAGAGUAUUUGCCAUCUGAGAGGGUCACCCAUGUGCCGUCUGCGAGGGGUCACACCUUUACCGUCUAUGUGGCACCCCUCCUUUGUCAUCUGCCUGGCGCCCCCCUUGCCGUCUGCCUGGGUCACUCCUUUGCCGUCUACUAGGUGACCCCCCUUUACUGUCUUCCAUCUGCCAGGUGACCCAGAGGUGCCCCUCCUUUGUCGUUUGUUGUCUGCCAGGUGACCCCCUUUGCCGUCUGCAACGGAUGGCAAAGUGACCAUAUGGUCCAACCGGUUGCCCCAGGUUGCACACAUGGGUGACACAUGGCUCCUUUGUCGUCCGCUACCCGAUGGCAACGCCCUUUGACGUUCGUUGGUAGAUGGCAAAACACCAGCACUGCCAUUGUUUUGUUUCAUUUUAGUGAUUUCCCUGCAUUUUAAAAAUACACGUAUGAUAUAUAUAUAUAAUUUCUAACACCCACAUAUAGUUUCAAAAUACACAUAUCAUAUAAGCAACAUAUAGGGCAUGUAUCGAACAUCAUAUAAGAGCAACACAACAAAUAGGCUACGUUCCAAUACAUACACAUAGUUUCAAUCAUCAUACAUACACAUACUUAUCGUAUCUCCAUAGAUACACAUAGUUUCACACUGUUUAUCAAUACAAAUCGAAACAGAAAGUAAAUAGUAGCAGUCCAUCAAUGCUGGCUUCCAUGAAUGCCAGCUUCCAUGAAGUGAAUCAAAUCUGCAAAAUGAAAACAAGAAAGUUAGAGGAAGAAGAAGAAGAANAAGAAGAAGAAGAAGAAACUAGAAGAAGAAGAAGANNAAGAAGAAGAAGAAGAAAAAGAAAACUAGAAGAAUAAGAACAAGAAGAAAACUAAAACAACAACAACAAGAAGAAGAAAACUAGAAGAAGAAGAAGACUAGAAGAAGGAGAAAAACAAGAAGAAGGAGAAGGAGAAGGAGAAGAUGAUUAUUUAUCUUAUUUUGAGCUUAUUAUGUUAUUUUGGAGGGAGAUACGCUAAGUUAUGAGAUAACCGUGGUUCUUGUGCUAUUUUUGCCUUAACUAAGCUAAUUAUGUUAUAAAUGAACUAAAUAAGCUAAUUAUGUCAUUUUGGAGGAUAAUUAGCGAAGUAUGUCAUUUUGGAGAAUAAAACUACAAGAAGAAGAAGGAGGAGAAGAACAAGACUAGAAGAAGAAGAAGAAGAAGAAGAAGAAGAAGGAGAUGAAGGAGAAGAAGGAGGAGGAGGAGGAGAAGAAGGAGAAGAAGGAGGAGAAGGAUAAGAAGGAUGCGAGAAAGAAGAAGAAGGAGAAGAUGAUUACUUAUCUUAUUUUGAGCUUAUUAUGUUAUUUUGGAGGGAGAUACGCUAAGUUAUGAGCUAACCAAGGUUCUGGUGCUAUUUUUGACCUAACUAAGCGAAUUAUAUCAUAAAUGAACUAAAUAAGCUAAGUAUGUCGUUUUGGAGGAUAAUUAGCUAAGUAUGUCAUUUUGGAGAAUAAAACUAGAAGAAGAAGAAGAAGAUCAAGACUAGAAGAAGAAGGAGGAGGAGGAGGAGGAGGAGGAGGAGAAGGAGAAGGAGAAGAAGGAGGAGAAGGAGAAUAAAGUUGAGAAAAAGAAGGAGCAGAACAAGGAGAAGAUGAUUACUUAUCUCAUUUUGAGAUUAUUAUGACAUUUUGGAGGGGGGUACGCUAAGCUAUGGGAUAACCAAGGUUCUUGUGCUAUUUUUGACCUAACUAAGCUAAUUAUGUCAUAAAUGAACUAAAUAAGCUAAGUAUGUCAUUUUGGAGGAUAAUUAGCUAAGUAUGUCAUUUUUGGAGAAUAAAACGAGAAGAAGGAGAAGAACAAGACUAGAAGAAGAAGAAGAAGAAGAAGAAGGUGAAGAUGAUUACUUAUCUUAUUUUGAGCUUAUUAUGUCAUUUUGGAGGAGGAUACGCUUAGUUAUGAGCUAACCAAGGUUCUUGUGCUAUUUUUGACCUAACUAAGCUAAUUAUGUCAUUUUGGAGGAUAAUUAUCUAAGUAUGUCAUUUUGGAGGAUAAUUAGCUAAGUAUGUCAUUUUGGAGAAUAAAACUAGAAGAAGAAGAAGACUACAAGAAGAAGGAGAAAAAGAAGAAGGAGAAGAAGAAAGUGAACAUGAUUGCUUAUCUUAUUUUGAGCUUAUUAUGUCAUUUUGGAGGAAGAUGCGCUACGUUAUGAGCUAACCAAGGUUCUUGUGCUAUUUUUGACCUAACUAAGCUAAUUACGUCAUUUUGGAGGAUAAUUAUCUAAGUAUGUCAUUUUGGAGGGUAAUUAGCUAAUUAUGUCAUUUUGGAGAAUAAAACUAGAAUAAGAAGGAGAAGGAGAAGAAGAAGACUAGAAGAAGGAGAAAAAGAAGAAGAAGGAGAAGAAGAAGAAGAAGAAGGUGAAGAUGACUACUGUCGUGGUUUUGUCACGGCAGAUGUCCUCGUGAAAGGACUUAGUACGGGAGCCAUCGCACCUUGGUGGCGACUCAAAAGGGGUUAAACGGGAGGAACACGGCGGUUUACCCAGGUUCGGCCCCUCGAGAGGAGGUAAUAGCCUACGUCCUGCUUUGUGCGUAUUGAUGUGGAUUCGAUUACAAGGGAGGCGUAACUCGCCUAACCUAGCGCUCGAUGAUUUUCUAACCCCCCCAAUCCUCCUUCAGACUCGCCUUUAUAUAUAGGUCGAGCUUUAGGGUUUACAAGAGUCCCUUCAUCCUUACAAACCGUGACCACCGUAUUCUCUAAGUCGCCGUUCUGCAGAACUCAGAGAUCUUCCAUAAAUCAUAACCGUCACGCGGCCUUGAACCGCCCAGGCUGAAGCCCAAGUAUCCCAAAGGAUGAAUCGCCUUACUAGUAACCCGGCCCAUCUUGGGCGGGUCACUUAAUAAGCAAUAUCCCCAACAACUACUUAUCUUAUUUAGAGCUUAUUAUGUCAUUUUGGAGGAAGAUACGCUAAGUUAUGAGCUAAGAAGGUUCUUGUGCUAUUUUUGACCUAACUAAGCUAAUUAUGUCAUUUUGGAGGAUAAUUAGUUAAGUAUGUCAUUUGGGAGGAUAAUUAGCUAAGUAUGUCAUUUUGGAGAAUAAAACUAGAAGAAGAAGAAGAUUAUGUCAUAUUGGAGAAAAUAAGCUAAGUAUGCCGGAGAACACUAGGGAAAACUUACCGUCGUCGUCAUCAAGGAUGUGAAUCAUGGGGGUUGCUAGGGGCGGGUUCACUUGGAGAAGGUUGCCCUAGAGAAGGGUUGUGCGAUGCGGCUCGGGAGUUAUUAUGCACCAAAGAUAUUUUGCAAUGUCUCGUUGGCAUGAUGACAGUCAAAUGUUAAUACUACUAACUAAUGGCCAUUGAAAUGAAACUCACCCUUCCAACCCCAGAAAUAUCCGGCAUCGGCGGAGGGGUCUGACAGUUCUGGAGGCACAUAGACUGCACAUUUAUUUUUGAAGGGUUAGUCAUAUCAGUUAGUAAUGAAACGAACAUUACAUGCAUGAUUUGGCUAAUGUGAACAAGAAACUUACCACAAGGAGAUCGUACAUGGUCCGGUUAGCCGCCUUAUUUCGUGCCCUCUUCUCCUCCAAGAACCAAGUCGUGUUCUCCUUCGUGGCUCGGUCCCUCUCCUCCAGAAGCACCUGGGUUGGCGCUCUCUCUUUCUAAAGAGUAGCCUGCAACACUACUCCUCAUUAGCAUUGUAUCAUCGAUGGCCACACACACAAUGUAAUGGAUGAAAGGUUUUUGAGUCCGUAUAACUAACCUCGAUGGCAAGAUCGACUGGCGUGGACGAGGCCUUAUCCCAGGACAGGAGCUCGUCUGGCGCGCCUUGAUCUCCGGGAGAGUGAGAGGACAACAUAUCAGCCCAUCUCACAUGGCUAUCGAGCCAUAGGGCCUCCCGCCACCAAAUAUCAUCACGAGCUCUUGAUCCAAAGGUUCUUGGCUUGGGUUAAAGUCCUCCCCUCUCCUAUUAUUCCCCUCGUCGUUGUAUAUGACGAGCUUGUUGUGGGGGGAGAUGUUGGUGAACUUCUCUGGAUGAUCAAGGUCAGACUCAGAGAAUGCCUUUGCCUUCUUGUAGGAGGCAGUAUGGGCCAUGCCAUAGAGGUCGUACAACUCUCGCACCUCCAUCUUAUUGUGAUGCGCCUAAAAGAGAGGAACAAAGUAUUAGUAAAGGGCUCAAGCUAGCAUGAAGAAUGAAUUGCAUGAAUUAUGAAGAAAACCACAUACCCAGUUCCGUCGAGACUGAAAUAAGUUGGGGCUGCCUUGAUGGUGUGGCACACCAACCAUUUGGCCACGCCGGUCCUUCACAUUGUCAUGGACGGCUCGCCAUUGGCCUAUGCACCAGUCAUCCACCAACGCCUCCCAACAAUCCAUUUGAUCUACACACCAUCUCGGGGGCACCUAUAAGUUAGUAAGGAGAAAUUUGAGUGCUAUGCCUAUGAAUUAAAUUAAGAAUAGGUAACUAACUUCAUGUACUACUCCUUCUUCACAUACUUUCCGCGGCACAACUUCGUGUCCUUCUUAAUACCACACAUGGCGUAGUAGUCUCGAACAGCCUGCGGUCGAGCCAUGUGGCAUAAGUUCUGGAAUAGCCGCUUGCACUCGACCUCGAUAACAUUGGUCGCGGCCUCUGCUUAUCCCUCCUCACACCUGUAGAAGGUCUCCAAUCAAAUGAGACAACACUGAUUAGUACAAUAACUAGCUAUAUUGUUAACUUUAGUUGUGUAAAACGAGAAAUUACCCAAAAUCUGUUGAUCACCAUCUCGGCCCUUGUAUGGCACAAGACACCAUCGAUAAUCUCCUCUGGCGGGGCCUGGGCAGCCUUGUAGUGCUACCACCUCAAUCCUAGUGUAGGAAGCUCACCCUCACCGGGCAACGUGACAAACCCCGAGAAAUUUUCCCCGCAAAGCACACCAAGGACGGUGUUCUCCUUGUGGACCCCAAGGGGGUGACUCCAACCCCUGCAGUAUGACAAGGUCAACACAUUAGAUAUUUGAAGAAACUUGAAGGCAAAAGGUACAAAAGGAGUAAAUGCACUUACUUCUCCCCUUCAGGCCUAAUCAUCGGCCUCUGCUCACGGGUCGCCGGCAUGACCGAGAGAUGUGUACUACCACGCUGGUACACGGUGAACCCCUCAACCACCUUGCCCUCACUAUCAGUAAACUCAUCACCGACCUCCCUGCCACCAUCAGAAUGGCCACUCGGCCCCUCGGUCUGAGACGGCCAGGUAUCCCAUCCGAACGUCUCUGUGUUGGCUGAAGCCUCUAGGGUGUGAUCCUCCUGGGACGUAGCCCCUGGUACAAGAGUCUCCUGGGUCAAAGCCUCAGGAACGGGAGUCUCAUGGGUCGAAUGCCCUUCGACCCAAGGCUCCUAGACUAAAGUCCCCGUAGCCUCCACCUCAAAUGGGUCCACCAUAGUAGUCAUGUGCUCAUCUGAAUUAGCUGGGGGUGGCGAGGAGGGCAUAGCAGUCCGCCUACCUCUCCCAUGGCCACGUCAUGUACCCUUUACCUUCUUCCCUUUCUGACCUCCUCUCCCGGUGGGCAACGACACCGACGAGGAAGCACCCCUGGGUGUCCCCACACUAUCUGAGAAGACUCUAUGGAGAGAAUGGGGUGGAAUGGAAGUACCACUCGUGCGGGCCGCCGAGCGAUGUGGACUCGUGCCCACCAUCUUUCAACACCUGCCAUGCUAAAGAGUAAAAUAAAUUAGUACAACAUAAAAAUUGAAUACCUGACGUGAAUAAUAAUAUGUAUACAUAUAUAAUUUAAGUUGGGAUGCAUACAAACUAAUAGUAGUCUGGAUCAACAAAUGCAUCAUCAUCAUCACUAUCACGCGUGUCUUCAUGAAUGACAUGCUCAUCGGGUUCACCGACAUCAACUUGUGGAAGGCCUUUAUGUAAUCGGUCAAGCAUUGACAGGUCAUCUGCAGCAGUAACCUCUUCUAGUUCUGGCUCUGCUAGUUCUGGCUCAGGGGUGAAGUCAGAUUCACUAUCGCUGUCUACUUCCAUGUUCUGGGGUGAAGUACAACGGUUCUUGAAACGUUUCUUUGAAAUACGUGUUUCUUGGAAGAAUUCUCCGUCAUAUGUGUGUGGGUUAAUAUGAGGUUCAUAAUUGUCGGGGGAAUAACCCCGGGGUAGGCUCAUCGAGCCUGUUCCUUCAUUUCCGGCCCAAUGGGCAUGAAGGCGCGGAGAUUCUCAAGGCCCAAGUCUUCUAACCGGCUAGGCAUCUCCUGCCGGCUGGAAAACGAGGCGGCCACCUUUCUUGGUCGGCCAGGCAACCCCUGCCGGCUAUAAUCCAGGCGGCCUCCCAUUCAGACCCUGCCCGGUCCCGCCAGCCGGACUAAGGAGGAGGUGGCCACCCUCAAGCCGGUUGACCAAGCAGGCUAGCCGGCCGAGGAUCACCAGUCACAUCAGAUCGUAGGUCAGGAAAGAACUUCACAAUUAAAGGUAGCUACGCGUCAGCAAAGGUACUGAAUCAGGGCGCCCGACACGUACGAGCGUCGGCGGCCACGCCGCUGACCUACCCCGGCUCUGAUCCAUCACCUAGCAUGAUGUCGGACCGUCACACUCCCACUCCAUUACUGCACUCGGCGUGGGGAACAGUGGAGGCGGUCGUACUGCCUGCCCAUGAAGAAUCUCGCGGGGCGACGCUCGAUGUACAGCGCGUGCUCAGCGUCAACCUUACGCGAGAGCCCCAUUGGCCAGUCGGUGGGUCCCACCAGCAAUCGAGACCAUGCAGCCGGCGGGCCCCUCAUCGACAAGACAAGACCCUUAUGGGCCCCUCAUCGACAAGACAAGACCCUUGUGGGCCCCUGGCCAGCCGGCGAAGCAGCCAGCCGGGUCCCACGCAUGUACCCUUGAUUCGUCUAUAAAACCCCUCGGCCGCCCCCCAUGCCAGGGGGCCGAUCACUUGCCAGUCAUUCAGCACUACACACUCACCAACCAAUAGAGAGCAAGGGAGAUCGAGUCGGCUGCUCCCCUCUUCCUCCUCCCAACACAGCUUCAGGAGCAACAUUGUACUAUGUUCCCAUACAUCAAACACACCAGCAGGAUUAGGGGUAUUAUCUCUACGGAGAGCCCUGAACCUGGGUACAUCGUGCAUCCCAUGCGUGUACCAANNNNNNNNNNNNNNNNNNNNNNNNNNNNNNNNNNNNNNNNNNNNNNNNNNNNNNNNNNNNNNNNNNNNNNNNNNNNNNNNNNNNNNNNNNNNNNNNNNNNNNNNNNNNNNNNNNNNNNNNNNNNNNNNNNNNNNNNNNNNNNNNNNNNNNNNNNNNNNNNNNNNNNNNNNNNNNNNNNNNNNNNNNNNNNNNNNNNNNNNNNNNNNNNNNNNNNNNNNNNNNNNNNNNNNNNNNNNNNNNNNNNNNNNNNNNNNNNNNNNNNNNNNNNNNNNNNNNNNNNNNNNNNNNNNNNNNNNNNNNNNNNNNNNUCCCAUGCGUGUACCAACCUCGUUCCCAGCGCCCACCUUUGUCCCUUCGGUUCUCACCGACUUUAGCCUACCUAUGGCAUAUGUUGUGAGUAUUCACCGACAUUUGGCGCCCACCGUGGGGCCGAUCGCGGCAUCGGCUGGCUUCACGCGUUGGGCGGGGCCCCACACCUACACCACCGGAUGCAUCGCGUCCGGAUCAGUCUGCAUGCCCGUGGAGCUCGCUUUUGACGAGGCGACGCCCAUGAUGAUUGACGUCCCCGUCCGUCAUGCGGAUUCGGACGAAGAUUCUGAUGACGAGGCGCUCCCUAGCGUCGUCGUCGCUGCUAUGGAGAACCUCAGCGUUCUCUUCAGCGACCUUCGCCUCAACGACGGCCCGCGCUACUUCGGCGAGGACUACGACGUUGAGGCGCUCUGCGCCAGCUUCAACAGGCUCUCUAUCGCUGAGAUGCCUGCCCACGACGUUUACCCCAGUAACAUCCUCAUCUUUGACGGCCCUCCGCUGUCGGUAGGGUUCUUCACCCCAUACCACGUUGUUGCCAUCUCCAACACCGUGGAGGUGAUGGUUAUCGGCGCUGGCACCAGCACGGCUCCCGGCAAGGCCUCCGCAGGCGCCGACGAACCCGCUGCGGCCGCCGCUGAUACCCUUCGGGACACCAUCGCCAGCCUGAAGACACCGGUCACCGCUUCCGCCGAUCCUGCAGACGCUCGGGCCUCACUAGAGGAGGCUCGCAAGCAUAUCUUGGAGGAGGGCAUCGCCGUGGCCUCGGCGAAACGUCGGUUGGAGGCUACACAUCAUGAGUAUAACUCUGCGUACGGUCUUAAUCCGAUUUCCAAGGCCCCCAGCCGGCUUGGAUCGGUCCGCAGCCGCGGACGGUUCGUCGCCGAGGUUCUAGGCGGGGACCUGCCCACCUACGAGACUCCCGCGGCGAACAUGCGGGCAGCGCAGGCGGCCAUGGAGGAGAUGGCAAGCCUGGAAGGCGAGGAGCGCGCCUUCCAUGAGAAGCGUGUCAAGGAUCUCCUUGACGCUGCUAACCAGCAGCAUGCUCGGUUCGACCCCGGCCAGGCUGAUUCAGAGUCCCCGGGACCGAACUCGGGAGCUCGCCGCAACCCUAGAGGCCAGCACCACGCCGAAGGAUCUUCCUCGCAUCGCCUUCCGGCUGGAGAGGCGAGGGAAGCCAAGGCCGGCGCUCGCAGCACCAGAGCGAGCACACUUCGGGCUUACGACGCGGAGGCGACGAGGUCGACUCGGAGUACGGGGAUCUUCCCCCGCGAAGAACUCACGCCUCUGGCUCCCGAGGAGCCAACCCUCUCGCCACCGGGGCUGGCGCCCCCGCCUCCGAAGACGAGCGGGACGCCCGCCGGUGUAUCAUCGCCCUGGCCCAUUCGGCCCUCCUAGAGGAAGAUGGACCCGUCGGUCCAGCUUGCUUCGGCCCUCGGAUCCGAGGGGAGCCGUUCCCCCGAGGUUUCACCCUGCCUCGGGAUACGCUGAAAUACAACGGCACGGCCAAGCCAGAAGACUGGCUGAUCGACUACACCACGGCCGUAGGCAUCGCCAGGGGCAACAAGCGCGUAGCGGUUCGCUACGUGCCACUCAUGCUGGCCGGCUCGGCCCGGACCUGGCUUAACAGCCUCCCGGCCGGCAGCGUCAACUCCUGGGUGGACUUCGAGGAGGCGUUCGUCCGCAACUUCACCGGCACCUACAAGCGCCCUGGCCGGCCCCGCGAGCUGGCCAUGUGUGUCCAGAAGGCCGACGAACCCCUCCGCGACUACGUCACCCGGUGGACUGAGCUUCGCAACUCCUAUGAGGGGGUGCAUGAGGUACAAGCCAUCCAGUACUUCAUCGACGGAUGCCGAGAUGGCACCCUACUCAAGCACAAGCUCAUGUGCGCCGAGCCCACCUCUUUGGCGGUGCUCAUGGCCAAGGCGGACAAGUACGCCACGGCCGACUCUGAAAUGCGCAUCAAGGUGACCGCCUUGGACAAGGUUGUGCCUGCGCCGGCUACUCCCAAGCCGGCUGGGGACAACCGAGGCGGCCAGAACAACGACAAGCGCAAGGCGGAUCAGAUGGUUCCCCGCUCCAACAACAAGCUAGUGGCCAACGUGGAGGGCGAGGCCCCGGCUUCCCAAGCCGGCACUCCACGAAAGCGACGCAAUCAGGGCAACCCCAACUGGCUUCCCAAGCAGUCUCUCGAGCAGCUGCUCGACGACCCCUGCAAGAUACAUUCGGGGGCGACGCCGUCUACCCAUACCCUUCGACAGUGCAACAUCGCACAUCGGCUGUCGCAAGGGGAGGGCCUGCCGGCUCUUCCGGGUGCGCAGGCGGCGCCCCGUGCACCGGCUCCCCAUCACGCUCUGCUUCCGCCGCCGCCGCCUCGCGACGAUGGCCCACACCCUGACGACUAUCCACAUAAAGACGGAGCAUUCGUCGUCUUCACCAGCGAAGGUGACGACAAGCACAGCCUGCGCCAAAGGCGGCGCGAGGUGAACGCCACUGUUCCCCCGGUUCCCCAGUACAUGCAUUGGUCUGACAAACCAAUCACAUGGAGCCGGGCGGACCAUCCUGCGGUGAUGCCCAACCCGGGGUCAUACACACUCGUCCUCGACCCCACCUUGGCCUCCAAAAGGCUCACCUGCCGAUUCUCCCGGGUGCUGGUCGAUGGCGGCAGCAGCAUCAACAUCUACUACCUCGACACUCUCCGCAAGCUCGGGCUCAAGGAGACGGACAUCCUGCCAACCAGCACUGUCUUCCAUGGCAUCGUGCGUGGGUAGUCAUGCUCGCCCAUCGGCAAGAUCCAGCUGGACGUCCUCUUCGGCGACAAGGCCCACUUCCGCCGAGAGUCCAUAUGGCUCGAGGUGGUGGACCUCAGUAGCCCGUACCACGCGCAGCUGGGGAGACCGGCUCUGGCCAAGUUCAUGGCUAUUCCGCACUACGCCUACCUGAAGAUGAAGAUGCCGGGUCCCAAGGGCAUCAUCACUGUAGUUGGCGACUACAAGAAGUCGCUCGAGUGCACCCAAGAUAGCAGCCACCUCGCCGACGCCUUGGUGAUUGCUGAGGAGAAGCGGCAGAUUGACCGGCUCGUGGCCCAGGCUACCGAGCAGCCGGCGAUUCCUUCUCCUCCGUCCCAAUCGACCGGCGAGGGCUCUUUCAAGCCGGCUAAAGAGACCAAGCAGGUCCCACUCGACCCUGCCAACCCAAAGCAGUGCAUCACCAUCGGGGCUAGCCUCAGCCCCAAAUAGGAAGGCGAGCUCGUCGACUUCCUCCGUGAGAAUCGGGACAUCUUUGCAUGGUCCCCCAAGGACAUGCGUGGUGUUCCGAGGAAGUACGUCGAGCACAAACUUCACGUGCGACCGGAUGCAAAGCCGGUGAAACAACCUUUGCGCCGCUUCGCCGAGGGGAAGCGGCGCACAAUCAGAGAAGAGAUCACCCGGCUCCUUGCAGCCGGCUUCAUCAUGGAGGUUUUCCACGCGGACUGGCUGGCGAACCCAGUCCUGGUGCUGAAGAAGAACAACACCUGGCGAAUGUGUAUCGACCACACUAGCCUGAAUAAGGCAUGUCCGAAAGACCCUUUCGUGUUGCCUAGGAUAGAUCAAGUGAUCGACUCCACUGCAGGCUACGAACUGCUGUCAUUUCUGGAUGCUUAUUCGGGCUACCAUCAAAUCAAGCUGGAUCCAGCUGAUCGCCUGAAGACCUCCUUCAUCACGCCCUUCGGGGCCUACUGCUACACCACCAUGACGUUCGGUCUGAAGAACGCAGGUGUGACGUUCCAACGCUGCAUUCAGCAGUGCCUGCUGCCACAGAUUGGCAGAAACAUCCACGUCUAUGUGGAUGACAUCGUCGUCAAGACGAGCAGCACUUCAGCCUCCUCGACGACCUGCGGGAGACAUUCGCCAAUCUGCGCGAAUUAAAGAUCCGUCUCAACCCUGAGAAGUGCGUCUUCGGGGUCCCAGGCGGCAAACUCUUGGGGUUCUUCGUAUCCACCCGCGGCAUCGAUGCGAACCCUGAGAAGAUCAGCACCAUCGAGCAGAUGGUGCGGCCGGCUCGGAUCCUCGACGUCCAGAAGUUCGCUGGCUGCUUGGCGUCCCUCAGCCGGUUCGUCAGCCGGCUUGGCGAGACGGCCCUUCCACUCUACCAGCUCAUGAAGAAGACGACGAAGUUCGAGUGGAACGACCAGGCGGACGAAGACUUCCGCGACCUCAAGCGGUUAAUCUCAAGCCUACCAAUCUUGGCAGCCCCAUCUGAAAGGGAACCCAUACUCAUAUACAUCGCGGCGACCCCUCGCGUGGUCAGUGUACUGUUGGUAGUUCAGCGCAAAGAGGAGGGCAAGGCCCUGCCAGUACAGCGCCCUGUCUACUACCUUAGCGAGUUCUUGUCCGCCUCUAAGCAGAACUACCCUCAUUAUGAGAAAAUGUGUUAUGGCGUUUACCUUGCUGCAAAGAAAUUAAAACAAUACUUCCAAGAGCAUGCCAUCACUGUGGUGAGCACUGCUCCUCUCUCAGAGAUCAUGGGAAACCGUGAUGCCUCGGGCAGAAUUGCCAAAUGGUCCAUCGCCAUGGCACACCAUGAUAUUCGGUACGAGCCUCGCACCGCCAUCAAAUCACAGGUGGUGGAUGACUUCUUAGUCGACUGGGCCGAGACCCAGUUCGAGCCACCGCCUCCAGACUCCACGCAUCGGCGGAUGCACUUCGACGGCUCGAAGAUGCGGACAGGGCUGGGAGCCGGCAUUAUCUUGACGUCUCCGAAAGGGGACCAGCUCAAGUACGCUCUCGAUAUCCAUUUCACCGCCUCCAACAAUGUCGCCGAGUACGAAGCGCUGGCUCACGGCCUCCGGCUUGCCAAGGAGAUCGGCAUCCGGCGGCUCAUAUGCUUCGGCAAUUCAGACUUGAUGGUGCAGCAGGUUUCUGGCGAAUGGGACGCCAGGGACGCCAACAUGACGAUCUACCGCUUCCUCAUCCAGCAGCUCAGCGGCCACUUCGAGGGUUGUGAGUUCCACCAUGUUCCCAGGGCGGAAAAUGAGGCGGCCGAUACGCUGGCAAAGAUCGGCUCCACAAGGCAGGCCAUCCCAGCCGGCGUCUCCCUCGAGCAACUCCACAAGCCGUCUAUCAAGUCGUCUCCUGGGUCGGCAUCAAUCUUCGUACCGGCCGACUCUACGAUACAAGCGCCGCCGGCUCCGCCAGUUAUGCCGGCUGUGGACCCCACGCCGGCUGCACUGACGGCACCGGCUCCAAAUACGGCACCGACUGAGUCUACGGUGCAAGCGCCAUCGGCUCCACCAACUACGCCGGGUUCGGAUCCUGAUCCGGCUCCAUUGGUCCACCCGACUCCAACCACGGCACCAGCUACAAAAACAACCCCGGCUCUGCCCGGGCUCGAAUCCUCCCAGUGGGUGGACAUCAUGGAGAUAGACAAUGAGCCGGCUGCAGCAAUAGCACCAGAGACGCCAUCAAGCUCGGGGGUUGCAGAAGUCCCCAACAGUCUAGACGAAGCGGAGGCGACCCUUGUGUCGGCUCCAUCAUCGGCUCAGGCCAUUCUGGCCUUCCUUCUUCGCGGCGAACUUCCUCAGAACGAGGCGCAGGCGAGACAGACACACCGCAGGUCCGCCGCCUACGCCAUCAUCAAUCGCGAGCUGGUGCGACGCAGCACGACCAGUGUGUUCCAAUGCUGCGUCGAAUCAGAAAAAGGGCAGGAGAUCCUCAGAGACAUCUACCAGGGGGAGUGUGGGCAUCAUGCCGCCUCCAGAACCCUGGUGGCCAAAGCAUUCCGCCAUGGAUUCUAAUGGCCCACAGCCCUCGAGGAGGCUGUGGAUCUGGUGGACAAAUGCGAAGGGUGCCAACGCUUUAGUGCACAAAGCUAUAUGCCGCCCUCAGCACUGAAAACCAUUCCCUUAUCAUGGCCAUUCGCCGUCUGGGGCUGGACAUGGUUGGGGCCUUCAAGACGGCUCGCGGAGGGAUGACACAUCUUUUGGUAGCUGUCGACAAGUUCACCAAAUGGAUCAAAGCCAGGCCUAUCAAGAAGCUUGACGGCCCCACUGCUGUCAGGUUCAUCACAGGCAUCUUUGUCCGAUAUGGCAUUCCCCACAGCAUCAUCACCGACAACGGCACCAACUUCGCCAAGGGCCCCCUGGCGCUCUACUGUUCCAAGGUAGGCAUCCGGCUCGACUUGGCCUCAGUGGCACACCCUCAGUCAAACGGCCAAGCGGAGAGGGCCAACGGCCUGAUCCUAGCCGGCAUCACGCCAAGACUGCUGGCACCACUGGUCAAGUCAGCCGGCUGCUGGAUUGAAGAACUGCCGGUUGUACUAUGGAGCCUCCGCACCACGCCCAACCGGUCGACCGGCUUCACUCCAUUCUUUCUGGUAUAUGGAUCCGAGGCUAUUAUCCCCACGGAUGUCGAGUUCGACUCGCCUCGGGUCACCCUAUACACAGAAACAGAGGCGAAGGAGGCUAGAGAAGACGGUGUGGAUCUCCUCGAAGAAGCAAGGGACUUGGCUUUGCGCCGGACGGCCAUCUACCAACAGAAGCUGAGAUACUACCACAGCAAAAAGAUCAGGCCUCUCUCUUUCAGGGAGGGAGACUUGGUCCUCAGAAGAAUCCAGCGCACUGCCAGCCAGCACAAGCUCUCACCCCCCUGGGAGGGACCCUUCAUCAUCAGUAGGGCGCUACACAACAACGCUUACUACCUGAUUGACGCCCAGAAGCCAAGGAAGCGCAAGAGGGACGACUCCGGCCAAGAAACGGAGCGCCCAUGGAAUGCGGCGUUGCUUCGCCCGUUCUAUUGCUAAAAGGCAAAAGACAAGCAAAAGAAAGAACAUGCACAUGUAUCUUCCUCCGUCUUCAGGGAACAAAGAAGGCAAUAAAAAGGACAUGCUCCAUGUUUCUUUUUAUCAAGACUUUUCACUCAAGUGUACGGGCUACACAGCGUACCACCUCUUGCCGGCUUAACCAAGCUCGGAGGCUACAUAGCGCGGCCCCUUGCUAGCUUAAAACAAGCUCGGGGGCUCACCAGCCGCCUGAACGAUCCACCCUUAUAACGGACACAUAGUGUACCGGCUAACCCCUGGUCCGUCGCUUGAGCCUGCGGGCUGACUCCGGUCGCUCGGUUCGCGAUAUGACGCCAGGUAAGGUCGAAUACAUGCAAAGUCUGGCUAUACUUGGGACGACCGGCUCGGGCUGGCUCGAUCGUAUAUACGAUCUCAAUCAAGACUCAAGACGGCCUCUGACUGCCGGGAACAACAAAUAUCAUGCAAAAAGCAGGCUCCAUGCUUUCUCUUGCUAAAAGAGUUUUCACUUAGUGUACGGGCUACACCGUGUACCACCUCUUGCUGGCUUAAUCAAGCUCGGAGGCUACACAGCGCGGCCCCUUUCUAGCUUUAAACAAGCUCAGGGGCUCGCCAGCCGCUCGAACGGUCAAUCCUUGUAGUCGGGCACAUAGUGUACCGGUUGACUCCCGGUCCUUCGCUUGAACCUGCGGGCUGGCUCCGGUCGCUCGGUUCGCGAUAUGACACCGGGUCAGGUCGAAUACAUGCACAGUCCAGCUAUACUAGUGACGACCGGCUCGAGUUGGUUCAUUCAAGCCGGCCUCUGAUUGGCUUAUGUCUUGUUCUUUAUGUCUUGAUGGCUUCGGAUAAGAGAAGUCAACCAGGAAUCAAAAGACGGGAUCAUAAGACAACACGCUUGGUGACGAAUAUAAUGUUGAAUAUAUACAUUCAUAAAAAGCAUUGGCCCACGGCCCACGUUCGUUACAUCCCUCCGGGGGUAGAACCAAAAGCACAAAAGGACACCAGUUACGGGACAACGGCCUCAAGGGUCGUCUCGGCUGCUGCUCCUGAUGUGGUAGCGUCGCCGCCUCCGGCCCCUCCCAAGGUGGAUGCGCCGUCUCCCCCGUUGCGGCCCCCGGCUCCGCUGAUCCCGGAGUCGGCAUACGCCCCACCGCUGGAGGCGGCUGCAGAUUCCGCAGCCCGGACCGCCUCGUCGGAGCUGCCGUCAGCGUCAUAGGGCUGAAGGCCGUGCAGAUCUUCAGCGAUCACGCCGCCGUCUUCACCCCGCUCCAAGACGAAGUCAUCCCAGGCGGCGUACUCGGCGACGGCGCUGGCUCUCACCCGGAGCUCCUCCUCCAUGCCUUGCAGCUCCGCUUUCGAGCCGUCGCGCUGGGCCGCCAGCUUGCCCAAGUUCAGGUUACGAUACCAGGACUUGGCCAGGCGCAGGGCCAUAUAAGCCCCCGACCGCGCUGCGGAGGCUCGCCAGGCGUAUAGGUGCUCUCCACCAGUUGCGAGCUAGUAGGCGAGCCGGCUCAUGGUCGUCGGCUCCACGCCCUCCAGCCACAGGGCCGCCACCAUCGACGAACCUGCAACCUGGAGCUGAGUCACAGACUCGCCCAGGGCGUGCAGACGGGCCCGAAGGCCCACUCCAAUAUCCUCUACGCUCUAGCCGGAGGUAGUAUCUACCUCCUACCCGGUCGCACGGCACACCUCAACGGCGGUGUCGGCUGCGACCUGGGUCUCGGGGAAGAGAUCUGGGGAAAAGGCAACCAGGACGUAAGAACACAACAAGAGGAGGAGACGGCAAAAAGACCAAACCCAAAACAAGGAAGAGAGACACCCACGCUGGAAGGCGUCGUCGAUCUCAUGAAAGGCCUCGAGGACCUCGCGCUCCCGCACCUCACUCGCAUGAGUGAGGCGGGCGAUUUCCUCCUCGAGGGUCGCGGCGGACUCCAGCGCCUUAGCCAGCUGCGCUUGCUUCUGGGUAAGGGCUUCGUCCUUCGCCCUCAAGGCGGCGUCCUUGAGGUUCGCCUCCUCAAGAUGAAGCGACGCGAGGCGGUCCACGUCGACAGAGUAGGAGGCCUCCUUCUCCUGCAGCAUGGCCCGCAGCCGCUCCAACUCGACUCGGACGGCCGCCUCGAGCUCCUUCUUCUCCGUCUGAAGAAGGUCCAGCUGCUCUUGGAGCCGGCCGCCAGCUUCACGCAGGGCAUCACGCUCCGCGGCAGCCUUGCCCAUGCGGGCUUCAAGCUCGGCGAUCCGGCUAUCAGCCCACAGGUGCUGCUCCCGAAGCUCGUUGUACGCCUCUACUUGAGCAUCAUAAAGCGCCUGCAAAAGGGGAGAGAAAGGGAGCAGGAUUAAGAUUCGACCUGGUUAAAAGCAUAACCAGCCCGAUUCUCGGGGGCUACACCGAGUGGGUGCGUUUGCGCACCCCCACUGAAGAAAAAUAUGCACAGAAAAAGGCCUCCAAGAGAUUCGGACCGGUUGGCAAUCAACCCGCCCGAUUCUCGGGGGCUACACCCAGUGGGUGCGCUGUCGCGCCCCCACGGACGUCAAGAGAAAAAAGCGCAAAGAAAAACCAAAAAAGGCAAGGCCUACCUGGGUGCGGGCUUCCAGGCGCUCCAUGUCGCCGCAUACCACGCGGGCCGCCUGCUCCACCUUCGACCGGCCGCUAGUAAACAGCGUCACCAGCUCCGGCACGCCGGAAAGAACGGUGUCGGCGGGCAUUCGCAGGCGGGCCAAGUUCACCGCCCUCCAUGACUUCAUGGGCCGGCUCCCAGGCCGGCCCCCUGCCCUUGGCGCAAUAGGGCCCUGCAGGGGUACGACGAUGGCGCCGGCUCCUGGUGCCGGCUCGAAGGCCGGCUCGGGCGCCGUCCCAACCGGCGCUACCUCCUCCGCAGGAGGCGGAUGAGCCACGUCCGGUGCAUCCAUGGUCGCCCCUGGAGCAUCAGGGGCUCCGUCCGGCGCGGUCAGAUCCAGCACCAGCGCGUCAGGAGAUGCUUCGGCCCGGGGAGAAACCGGGAUCGUCUCCAGGUCCACCUGCUCCGGGGCUGCCGGCUCAGGCGGCUGGGCCCCUCGGUCCUUGGGGCCGGCCUGGAGGCGGCCUCGCUAGUUGGCUCCUCCACACGGGCGUGUGCGGAGGGAUCCUGUCUAGCUUUCACACGCUUCUCCGCCGGCCUCUCGACCCAGCUGGGGCGAGGCUGACCCACGGCGGUUUUCCCCGCAGCCGUUUCCCACCGGCGCUGGGAUUCUAUCUCGAGCUCCCUCUCGACAGCAUCAGCUGGUGCCCAGCCGGCCCGCUCCGCUGCGGAGGUGGUGUCUUCAUCCGCAUCCCCCGCCUCCCUGUCAAGCCAAGCUUCUCAGGAACAAAGCUCAUCUCAAGAUAUGGAAGGGAGAAGAGGAGGAAACCAUACCCUGCAACCACCGGGACCUACCUCCGGCCACCGCCACGGCGCCUCUUGGCGUCGUCUGCUCGCUGCCCGGCUAGGGGACCCGGCGCCGGUCGCUUAGAGGCCGGCCGGGAAGCUGUGGCACCCUUUCCCUUCUUCCCGGCUGCCUCAUCAGCAGCGGUCGCUCCGCCACCUUGACGCCGGUCGCGCGACGGUAGUGGGCCGGUGACCUCCUCCACCUCGUCGGAGUCUCCCUCGAAGGCUGCAUCAGAACAGAAUGAGGCUUCCUCAUCGUCGUCCGUCCAGUCUGCUAGGGCGUCCCGCGGGUACUCACCGGACGGCUCGGUCCCUUCUGACUUCAGGGGAUCUUCCGAGCCGGUGGAGGAGUCUGAGCGGGGCUCCAUCGCAUCCUCGUCCUCCAUCUCGGAGGCGCCGGACGCCUCCACGUCGGGAGCAGGCGGACGGAGGGACCCCCACAGGGUCUUGAACAUCUACAAGAAAGGAAUUCAACCAGGCUCAGCAAACGCCACCAGCUUCAAAACAAAACGACAGAAAAGAAGGGAGUAAGGCUACCAUCGGAGGCGGAUGAGCCCGGUUGAACGGGGACAUCCCCCAUGUCCAUUCCCCGCCCUCAUCCAUGCGGGCGGUGGAGAUCAGGUUCACCCUUCGCGCUACAGCACCUGGGGUGAACCUCUUGAUGGACAGCCGGCAUGGAUCAAGCCGGCCGCUCAUCUGGCAGACCAGGUGCAGCCGCCUCUGCAGAGGCAGUAUCCGGCAGACCACCAUGGUGGCGAGAAGGUCGCGACCGAGGAGGCCGCUCUCCCUCAAGAUAUCAAGGUGGGCGCGAAUAAGCGCCACCUCAGGAUGUGGCUUGGGAGUCUUCGCGUCCCAGUUCUGCCGCGUCGGAGGGGCGAUGGCUAACGGGGGCAUGUUGAGGGUGUCUUGGGCCAGGCCAGUGCUCCUCACGUAGAAGAACCCCUUCUGCCAAUGCUUGAUGGAGUCUUGCAAAGGCAUCUGGGGGAAGCCGGACUUCGGGCUGUGAUGCACCAACGCGGCCCCGCACGGCAUCAUGGGGCGCGGCCCCUUGAGCUUCUCCACCUCGGAUUUCUCCAUGGUGAUGGAUUGCUGCUUAAAGAAGAACAGGCUGCGCCACAGAUCGACGCGAGGCUCGAUCCCCAUGAAGCCCUCGCACAGGACCACGAAGGAGGCCAGCUGCAGUAUGGCGUUCGGCGCCAGAUGAUGCGGCUGCGGGCCGAAGAACUAGAGCCACUCGGCGAAGAAAGAGCUAGCCGGGAGCCCGAAACCCCGGUAGAAGUGCUCGGCGAAGACCACAACCUCUCCCGCGACAAGUGCGGGAGAGGCCUCGGAGCCAGGAAGGCGUACCGACACCUGGGAGGCCGGGGGCAGCAGCCGAUGAUGACGGAGCGCAUCGAUGAGCUCCUCGUUGACAUCGCUGCCCAGCCAGGCCCCCUGCAAGGACGCCUGCUGCGCCGACAACUUCUUCGAAGAAGAUCCACCGGCCAUGGCUGCGGGUGGCGAGAGCUCGAAGCGGUCGGCGGAGGUCUCGGCGGCGAAGAAGGAGACGAAGGGCGCGAGCUCUUCUUCUCAGGACGCAAGGAGGAACAAAGCACGGAGCAGGGCGAGAAGAGGGGGCGAAUGGCCUCCUCGAAACCCUCGCGUCCCAUUUAAACCCCACGAAGCAUCGUGGGGAGGGGAUCCGGUGCGCGCCGGGCCCCAUUAAUUCCGUGUAUUACGGGCGGUAACGCCCCCCUAAGCCCAACCGUCGCGGAGUAAAUCCGCAGAGGAUCUCCCGCGCGGAGGCCGAGGGGGCAUCGUGGCGGGACCCAGGGCCCAGGCCCGGUCCCGUCAGCAGUAAUCGCCAUCAUUACGCUAGGCGGGGCCUGGCACGUGGCGUUCUCUGGGCCAGUUACGACCGGACCGAGGCGUCGCUUUGAAGCUACCCGGCUCGGAAGCCGUCGUCCUUCGCAGCAAACAACAACCAAAAUAUCAAGACAAAUCAACAAGCCGGUGAGGCCGCCCGCCAGCAGGCGGCAGACCUCGCCAGCUUCGGGGACUACUGUCGGGGGAAUAACCCCGGGGUAGGCUCAUCGAGCCUGUUCCUUCAUUUCCGGCCCAAUGGGCAUGAAGGCCCGGAGAUUCUCAAGGCCCAAGUCUUAUGACCGGCUAGGCAUCACCUGCCGGCUCGAAGACGAGGUGGCCACCUUUGUGGCCGGCCAGGCAACCCCUGCCGGCUAUAAUCCAGGCGGCCUCCCAUUCAGACCCGGCCCGGUCCCGCCAGCCGGACUAAGGAGGAGGUGGCCACCCUCAAGCCGGCUGACCAAGUAGGCUAGCCGGCCGAGGAUCACCAGUCACAUCAGAUCGUAGGUCAGGAAAGGACCUCAUGAUUAAAGGUAGCUACGCAUCAGCAAAGGUAGUGAAUCAGGGCGCCCGGCAGGUACGAGCGUCGGCGACCACGCCGCUGACCUACCCCGGCUCUGAUCCAUCACCUAGCAUGAUGUCGGUCCGUCACACUCCCACUCCAUUACUGCACUCAGCGUGGGGAACAGUGGAGGCGGUCGUACUGCAUUCCCAUGAAGAAUCUCGCGGGGCGACGCUCGACGUACAACGCGUGCUCAGCAUCAACCUUACGCGGGAGCCCCAUUGGCCAGCCGGUGGGUCCCACCAGCAAUCGAGACCAUGCAGCCGGCGGGCCCCUCAUCCACAAGACAAGACCCUUGUGGGCCCCUGCCCAGCAGGCGAAGCAGCCAGCCGGGUCCCACGCAUGUACCCUUUAUCAAUAUUGUAGGCCGGCGAGUUCGUCUAUAAAACCCCCCGGCCGCCCCCCAUGUAAGGGGGCCGAUCACUUGCCAGUCAUUCAGUACUACACACUCAACAACCAACAGAGAGCAAGGGAGAGUCGAGCCGGCUGCUCCCCUCUUCCUCCUCCCAACACAGCUCCAGGAGCAACAUUGUACUCUGUUCCCAUACAUCAAACACACCAGCAGGAUUAGGGGUAUUAUCUCUACGGAGAGCCCUGAACCUGGGUACAUCGUGCGUCCCAUGCGUGUACCAACCUCGUUCCCAGCGCCCACCUUUGUCCCUUCGGUUCUCACCGACUUUAGCCUACCUAUGGCAUAUGUUGUGAGUAUUCACCGACAAUAAUCCUCUUCAUCUGUGGGAGGUGGUCUAGCAUGUGGCGGCACUUCAUAAACAACAUCCCAACCAUUCAGAUUCUUAUUAGUUUGGCAAGCCUACGGUAGAUAGAAAACUCGGGUCGCCUGUUGAGUCAUAAUAUAGACAUCGGGAACAUCUAAAUGGGUGAUUUGUUUGAUUUCGACUAGCCCUAUAUGUUCGUGAGUCCUUCUAGUCUCCUUCACCUGGAACCAAUAACAUUUAAAGACUACGACGUUCGAUGGGUUUUCACCAAAGAAUUGAAGUUCAUAAAUUUCUUCAACUCUUUCAUAAUACUCGGUACCUCCUUCGUUGGUAGCAGAGACACCACAAUUUUUAGAUUUCCUAUUGGGCAUAGAUAGCUCUUUGCCAAAGGUACGAAAGCGAUACCCGUUGAUGUUGUAUUUCUCAAAUGAACGAACCUUAUAGUCAAAACCAUUAGCGGCUUGUCUUAAUUCAGCGUCGAUAGACUCUGAAUUAACCCACAAUAAUACAAAAUGAUUGUUGCAUUAGCCGCAAAUUAGACAAGAAAUGAAAUGGUCCAUUAUUGAUAAUUACCGUUUGUUUGAACCAAGAGAUGAAACCGGGAUAGCCGCCUCCAUGCUUUGCCAGAAGCUCAUACUCUUUGACGGAAUCAAUUUAGAUGACCUCUCCAUCCGAGAAUUUGGCGACAUAUCGACUAUAUCAAAUAUCCGGGAAUAAUAGGAGUUCAAAGGAAUUAGAAGUUGUGGAAAAAUGUACUGAGAACUUACUCAAUGUACGGCCACACUUCUCUUAGGUUGUUGAAGAUAUACAACGAAAUGGACUGCCAUUUUUUGACAUCCAACGUUAUUGGUUUUGAAGCACCGGCUCGUGCAAGCUUCGCUUUGAAUAGGCUGAGGUUGGAUCCACCUUUUUUAGGGUCGCCAUCAUUAUACCAAGGCUUCGGAUUAAGCAAAUGACGAUUUUUGGCUUUGUAGUGUGCUAUCAUGAAGUUUGCCAACUCUUCGGUAAUGAAUGCCUCGGCCAUCGAUAUUUCAAUUCUACGUUUAUUUUUAAAUUUAUCUCGAAGCGUCUUCUACAUCCUCUCAGUUGCAAAGCACCAAUGAUUUUGCAUGGGCCCACCCAAUCUUGCCUCGGUCGGGAGAUGUAAAAUCAAAUGUUGCAUUGGAUUAAAGAAGCAUGGUGGAAAGAUCUUCUCUAACUUGCAGAUCAACUCCAGCGCCAAUUCCUCCAUGUCAUCUACCACGUCAGGCGACAGUUCUUUUGCACAAAUAACACGAGAGAAGUAGCUCAACUCUGCUAGUACUAGCCAUUCAUCCUUAGGUAUAAAGCCACGUAACAUCAUUGACAUUGCCCGCUCAAGCCAUAUGUGCCAAUCAUGACUCUUGAGACCAAAUAUUUUCAAUUUUUCAAGACUCACUCCCCUCUUUGGAUUCGCUACAUACCCAUCGGGGAACAUCAAGUGCAUUUUGACCCACAAGAUAAUUUCCUUUUAUCAGAUCUUCCAAGAUUGAACCAGACCUUUAGCUUCGACCAGUUCUGCUUUCCUUUCGAUUGUCGCAUGUUUUGUAAGGUCUAUGACAUAGAGUCUCUUGAUCGACUCUAGCCUUAGGAUUAUCCUUUGACUUCCCCUCUAUGUCGAACAAUGUAUCAAAAAUGGCCUCUCUAGUAUUCUUUUGAGUGUGCAUCAUGUCGAUGUUGUGUGGAAGAAGGAGGUCUUUGAAGUAAGACGGAUCCUGCAAGCAUGGCUUGUGAGUCCAGGCGUUUUCUGAAUUAUACUCGUUGAAAUACCCUCGAUGCUGUGGAUUGGGCUCGAGAGCAUUUAACUGAUCUAGGAUCUGUUGGCCUGUCAAGCAGGUGGUGCCAAGGUUUCGGUAAAGUUCUGCUUGUCCUUUCUAAACUGAUGGUGAGGAUCCAGGAACUGUCAAUUGAUACGUCUCAAACGUAUCUAUAAUUUUUGAUGGUUUCAUGCUUUUAUCUUGUCAUCUUUGGAUGUUUUAUGUACCUUUUAUAUCUUUUUUUGGACUAACUUAUUGAUUCAGUGCCAAGUGUCAGUUCCUGUUUUUUCUGUGUUUUUGGCUCUUUACAGAUCUGAUUUUGGAACGGAGUCCAAACGGAAUAAAAUCCCCGAAAUGAUUUUUUCCCGAACAAAAUAAGAUCAGGGGGCCUGUGGGCCAAGCCAGGAGGGCUCCUGGGAGCCCACAAGCCCCCACUCCGCCACCAGGGGGAGGCGGCGGUGGCAGGGCUUGUGGCCUCCCUAGCCGCCCCCUGACCUAGAUCUUUGGCCUAUAUAUUCCCUAAAAUACAUCAAAAAAUCAGGGGAGCCUCGAAAAAACUUUUCCGCCGCUGCAAGCUUCCGUUUCCGCGAGAUCUCAUCUGGAGACCCCUCCUGGCGCCCUGCCGGAGGGGACUUUGGAGUUGGAGGGCUACUUCAUCAUCAUCAUCACCCCUCCAAUGACUCGUGAGUAAUUCACUUCAGACCUACGGGUCCGUAGCUAGUAUCUAGAUGGCUUCUUCUCUCUCUUGGAUCUUCAAUACAAAGUUCUCAUUGAUCUUCAUGGAGAUCUAUCCGAUGUAAUCUUCUUUGGCGGUGUGUUUGUCGAGAUCCGAUGAAUUGUGGAUUGUGAUCAGAUUAUCUAUGAUAUAUAUGUGAGUCUUUGCUGAUUUCUUAUAUGCAUGAUUUGAUAUCCUUGUAAGUCUCUCCAAGUCUUGGGUUUUGUUUGGCCAACUAGAUCUAUGAUUCUUGCAAUGGGAGAAGUGCUUGGUUUUGGGUUCUACCAUGUGGUGACCUUUCCCAUGAUAGUAGGGGAAGCAAGGCACACAUUAAGUAGUUUCCAUCAAGGGUAACAAGAUGGGCUCUGUCGUUGAUAUGAGAUUGUCCAUCUACAUCAUGUCAUCUUGCUUAAGGUGUUACUCUGUUCUUUUGGACUUAAUACACUAGAUGCAUGGUGGAUAGCGGUCGACGUGUGGAGUAAUAGUAGUAGAUGCAGACAGUAUCGGUCUACUUGUUUCGGACGUGAUGCCUAUAGAUAUAAUCAUUGCCAUAGAUAUCGUCACGACUUUGCACGGUUCUAUCAAUUGCUCGACGGUAAUUUGUUCACCCACCGUCUACUUCCUUUCAUGAGAGAAGCCACUAGUAAACACUACGGCCCCCGGGUCUAUUCACAUCAAUCGUUUACACCUCCGCUUUUACUUUGCUUUGUUACUUUGUUGCUUUCAGUUCUCACUUGGCGGACAAUCUAUAAGGGAUUGACAACCCCUUCAUAGAGUUGGGAGCAAGCUUUUUGUGUUUGUGCAGGAUCUUGUGAUACUCCUCCACUGGAUUGAUACCUUGGUUCUCAAACUGAGGGAAAUACUUACCACCGCUGUGCUACAUCACCCUUUCCGCUUCGAGGGAACACCAACGCAAGGCUCCAUAGCCGUAGCAGAAGGAUUCCUGGUGUCGUCGACACGACUAUUCCUGUUGCCGUUGCCGGGGAAGCACAGCUGACAUCAUCUAUGCAAGUCAAAGCAAGAAUACUUCCGACCUCCUGCGGCCAAUGAAACUGAAGAGUUGCCUUGCACAUGGGGCACGAGAACCUUCCAUGCACACACAAGCCAGAGAAUAGUGCAUACGCUGGCAAGUCAUGCAUCGAUUACAUGUACCAGACAUGCAUUUUGAAGUUUUCUUUUCUAGCGGUGUUGUAUGUCUUGACCCCAUUAUCACAAGCUUCUUGCAAUUCUUCCUUAAGCAGCUUCAUGUACACAUUCAUAUUCUUCCCCGAAUAGUUGGGCCUUGGAAUUAUCAACGUCAGGAAUAUGUUAUUUGCAUAAUCUUUCUGGGGGAGAUUGAGUGGAAUGACAAAUACAGGCGAACAACUGCAUUGGGUUGCCGUCAUACCAAAGAGAUUUAACCCAUCCAUGCCAACGCAGACUCGAGGAUGCCUUGGAUCUGCCGCUUUAUCCGGAUGUAAUGCAUCGAAGUCCCCCACGCUUCCCCCAUCCAUGUGUGUACCGCUAUCUUAUUCCCAUCUGCAUCUAGUUCGGUUGUUUUUCCCAAUUUGUGUCAUGUCAUAUGUCUGGCCGUCUCUUCGACCAUGAAAAGACGUUGAAGCCUUGUUAUGAUUGACAGAUACCGAAGAACAUUAACUUGGACUUGGGUCUGGCUCUUCUCACCAUACUGUUAUCUACCACAACAUACGUGGAAGACUUGCAAAUGGGACAAUAGUUCAAGUCCGCAUACUCAAGCCUAAAUAAGGCAAAUCCUUUCUCACAUGCAUGUAUAUUCUCAUAGGGCAUCUUAAGUACACGAAGUAUUUUGUCCGACUGGUACAGGUUUGCAAGCAUGACAUAGCAAGUGGGUAGAAAGCGUCCAAAUAGUGUCAUCAUCACGUCGUAGCAUUCCCUUCCCAAGUUGAAGUGAGCCUUUAGAGCGAUUACUUGUGCGAUGGCAUCCAGCUGAGAAAGCUCAGUGUGCUCGUGGAGAGGACGUUUUGAAGACUCCAACAUUUCAUAGAAGGCCUUUGAAGAUUCGACCAUCUCAUCGUCCGAAUCCCGAGCAUCAGCAAAGUCUUGCACCAUGUCUUCGAUCCCAGUACCAUGCUCAUCGGUGCGACUGAAAGCACAAUUGCUCCCUAGGGUGGUUUUGAUAAUUGAUCACAACAUAUGCAUCAUUGGACUAAUAGUUUAUCCAAGUAUAUUUCAGAAAAGUUCAAAAGAUGCAUUGGCUAAAGGCUUAUGUGGAUAUGCCCCUUGAUGCAAGAAAGGAAUAAAAUUGGCCCAAGUUUCAAGCUAGAAGCCUCUCAUUUUAUAUUUGUGAGAAAUCACUUUUGAGUCCAUAGGAAAGCCAAUACUAUUAAAAGGGGUGGGGUAUUAAAAUGAACUGUUUGCUCAAGUGCUCAGAGAUAGCCACCAAAAAAUACUCAUACAUUUUCCCACAUAACCAUUCUAUCCAAACCACACACUCAAAAUCGGUGCCACCAAGUUUUCCAUUUCGGCACUACCGAAUUUCAUCACAGACAGAACCCUAGCCAUAGCCACCAAAUCGGUGCAACCGAAACCAUAUCGGUGCUAACGAGUUUAGGUGACCAACUUUAUGUUGCCUCGAUACACAAAAUCGAAAUUUUCCGAGUUUGAGUAUCGGUGUCACCGAGUUGUAUCAUCUAACCGAUAGCUGCCUUUUCGGUGCCACCGAGUUGUGUAUAUCGAUUCCACCAAGAUUCAAAAGUUGAUACCUUUAGUGCAAAUUGGUACCGCUGAGUUUUUGACUUCGGUGUCACUCGCCACUUCAUGUGUAACGGUUGGAUUUUGGCUGCUGCCUAUAUAUACCCUUCCACCCAUCUCUCAUUCGUGGGAGAAGCACUCAGACCACACACUUCAUUGCCAGAUUCAAUUUUCUGAGAGGGAGCCACCUGCUCAUGUGUUGACACCAAGAUAUUCAAAUCCAAUCAUUUGAAACUUGAUCUCUAGCCUGCCCACACUACUUUCCACCAAAUCAAUCUCUCCUACCCAUGCCUAUUAUGUGAGAGAGUGAUUUUGUGUUGAGGAGACUAUCUUUAGAAGCACAAGAGCAAGGAGUUCAUUGUUCUACCACAUCUAUUACCUUUUGGAGAGUGGUGCCUCCUAGAUUGGUUAGCUGUUGCUUGGGAGCCUCCUACUUCAUGUUGUGGAGUUUAACCAAGAUGUUUGUAAGGGCAAGGAGAUCGCCUACUUCGUGAAGAUCUAUUGUGAGUAAGGCUAGUCCUGUGUGGACGGAAGCCGUGGUGGAAUAGACAAGGCCGCUUCUUUAUGGACCCCUUGUGGGUGGAGCCCUCCAUGGACUCUCGCAGUUGUUACCCUCCGUGGGUUGAAGACUCCACUAACAUGGACGUACGAUAGCGCCACCUAUCGGAACCAUGCCAAAAAUCAUUGUGUCAACCUCAUGCGUUUGAUCGCCCUGCCUUACUCCUUUACUUUACACUUGCAUGUUUUACUUUCCCCUGCUAUACUCUUAAAACUACAUGUGUAGGGUGUACUUAACUUGCAAAAAAGGUCAAAACUGGCCCUCAACUAAAACUAGGAAAAGGAUAAGGUUUUAUCUUGUCAAGUAGUCUAAUAACCCCCCCCCCCACCCCUCUAGACAUACUUUCGAUCCUACAGCAAUGACGAACCACCUCAGCUCCGAUGCAUUGUCUAGACUCACCAUGAAAUGUCUGCACCGUAUAAUUAGGCUUAAAACCACUCCUCUGCAGGUGUUUAAACAUUAUAGACUCUAUCCUCUUUUUAUAGUUGUUGCACCUAGGACAUUUGCAAAUGCGGCUUUCUCAAAAUCCUUGGUUUUUACAAACCAUUAUUUGGUCAUCUCUUUCUGACUAGUGUGACCGGUGUACAUCCACGCACGAUCACUCAUCUUGCCUAACUGCUACCAAGGAGAUGAAAUAGCACAAAUCCUGUAAAUUUUACCGAGUGAAAAAAAUUAGGACAUCACAUCACAUAAAGCACUCUGAGUUCAAACUAUGAAAAAAAUCAUAUUGCUAAUUACAUCUCCUCUUAUUCUUCUUCUUCUUCUUUCCUUCUCUUCUUCUUCUUCCUCUUCUUCUUCUUCUUCCUCUUUCCUUCUCUUCUUCUUCUUCUUCNNNNNNNNNNNNNNCUUCUUCUUCUUCUUCCUUCUUUUCCUUUUUCCUCUUCUUUCUUCUCCUCUUCCUCCUCCUCUUCGUCUUCUUCUUCUUCUUCCUUCUUCUACUUAUUCUUCUUUUGUUCUUCUUGUUUUUUCUUCUUUCUCUACUUCUUUUAAUUAUGACUAAUUAACUAAAACCUAUCACUAAUCUAGCACUAAACUACAUAUAUAUACCUAAUACUAAAGCGGCUACUGCUUCUGUCGAAAAACCCGUCACGGCGUUUUUCGCAAAAAAAAUCCCCUGAUGUUUUGUGUAUUCAACAUGCACUCCCUUUUUAAGUGAAAAAACGUUUCAUUUUAGAAUUUUUCGUUAGAAACCUUGUAGUUUUUUGUAUUCACCCCGCGUUCAUCCUCCUCUGCCCAAACUGCUGCUGCUUGAUGCCAUGCGAAGCAGCAAGGGAGGCCGACGGGAUCGACUGGCUCGGGGGUUGGGGACGUGGGGCUCCAGCGACUCCUCGUCACUGGCGACGGCUGGUUGUCCUGCCGCCGAUGCGCGAGAGAGGGGGGUCCGACGUGGCCGUCCAUUGCUCCAUGCAGGAGCAGCUCCUGAAGGUAAGAAAGAGAGAUGGGCGGUGAGGAGGAGAAGAGAGAAAGCGCACGGAAAGGAGAGGGAGAGGGCACGAUGGGGCUGACCUGCAUCUAGGCCGAGCAGAGGUGGCGCUCCUACACUACAGGGCGCGGCGGCGGGGCUGCAUCGGGAGGCAUAGGAGGGGCAUGGCGUUGCGGCUGGAGGAACUUGGAUCCUCUUGAUCCAUCGAGCGGGGCGCUCAGACUGGCUGUAGUUAGCGAGGGAAAGCACAAAGGCACGAGGAUCGAGGAGAGGAAACGAGGAGGGGAUCUGGAGGAGAUGUUGCGGUUGCCCGAUGGGAAAAAUUAGGUGGGAUGUGCAUGCUUAUGUUUUUACUUUUAUUUUAUUUUCAACUAAACGAAACUUGAAGAAAAGAAAAGACAGGGAAGAAGGAAUUUAGACCAACAAUAGAAAUUUUUAUGGGAUCUAAAAAAUAUGAGGAAAAAUGAAGUGAUUUGGGGAAUCUUAUCGACUUUAAAUUUAAAGAAAUUUAAUUUAAUACAAAAUUAUUUGAAUUUAAAGUCUAACUAAACCAAACCCAAAUGGCUCAAAAUUUAGGAAGCGGCGUUUUGAUGGAACAUCAACCUUACUUUUUCCCGUUGCAACGCACGGGCAUAUGUGCUAGUAUAAUCUAAGCUAACAAUUAAACACCAAAAAAUAAGAAGAAACAAAAGCAAAAGGCUCACUGGAGGGCGGUGGGGCGCCGGAGCGGCACGAUCAACACGAGGCCGAAGAGGUGUCCGGGGUUGGGGUGAGUGGCGUCGAGGGCGGUGUAUUAACAGUUGUGCGGGGAAUUAUAAUAGUGAUCUAUCAAUGACAUCUUCCCACCGCCACACGCAAGUGCAGGUGCCUGGUUUCGUGCCGGGGUGUCAUGUCGUGGUGUUGUCAGGGUGUCGUGUCGGGGUGUCGUGAAGGGGCUCACGAAAGGGGCAUCGUGUCGGGAUGUUGUGUCGGGGGUGUCGUGCAGGGGGCUCACCGGAGGGGCGUCGCCGGGGUGUCGUGUCGGGGUGUCAGGGCGUCGUGUCGUGCUGUCAGGGUGUUGUGUCAGGGUGUCGGGGUGUCAUUUUCUUACUAUUCCUAUCCUUCUUUUUUCCUCUUCUUCCUUUUCUUCUUCUUCCUCUUCUUCCUUUUCUUCCUUUUCUUCCUCUUCUUCCUCUUCUUCCUCUUCUUCUUCUUCUUCUUCUUCCUCUUCCUAGUCUUCCUUUUCUUCAUUUUCUCCUUCUUAUUCCUCUUCUUCCUUUUCUUCCUUUUCUUCUUCUUCUUCUNNUUCUUCUUCUUCUUCUUUUCUUCUCCUUCUUCUUCUUCUUCUUCUUCUUCUUCCUCUUCUUCCUUUUUUUCCUUUAUCCUCUUCUUCUACUUAAUUAUUCUUCUUUUCUUCCUUUUUUUGCACUAAGCUAAUUAACCUAAACUAACAAUAACCUGUUUAACACUAACAGUGACCUAAAUUAACACUAACAGUGGCCUAAACUAACCCGAUAACCUAAACUAACAGAUGCAAUGAAAUGAAAAAAAUUCAAAAAAUAUAUAAACAGGAUGAACUCACCGAUACGGGAGGUGGGGCGCCGCCCGAUGGAGGAGGACCGCAGGAAGGGAGAGGGGUGGCGCCACUAGUUGGCUCCGGGAAGGGGGCUCACCACGGGGAGGGGCGCCACGGUGGGGCCAGGGGCGGUGGCUCCGACGAUGGGGGAAGGGGGGUGGCGCCGGUGGUGGGGAAGGGGGUGGCACCGCGGGAGGGGGCGCCAUGGUGGGGGAAGGGGGAAGGGGCGGUGGCACCGACGAUGGGGAAGGGGGUGGCGCCACAACGAUUGUGGUGUGUGGGGGCGGGAUAGAGACACGGGAGGGAGAGAAAGAGAGGGGUCGGGUGAGGAAUGAUGACCGUUAGAUAGGAAAGGCUUUGUCGUCUGCCAACGGAUGGCAAAGCCCCUAAAGGCAGACGACAAAGCCACAGAGGGGGAGAGAAAGAGAGGGGGCAAGGUGGGGCUUGACGGCCGUUAGAUAGGAAGAGCUCUGUCUUCUGGCAGCGGAUGGCAAAGCCCCUAAAGGCAGACGGCAAAAGCCACAACUCUUUGUCGUCUGCCAUUAUGGGCUUUGCCGUCUGCUGGGUGACAGCAAAGAAAGGACUGAUGGCAAAGAGUAUAUUUGCCAUUGGUUACGCAAGCACACGGCAAAGAGUUGACUGACAGCAUAUUCUCUGAUUCUAGUAGUAAAAUUUCAAAAUAACCUCUAAAUACAAUAUUCAUCCACCAUAUUUGAAAAAAUCAUUUUUUUCUCACUCAACAUGAUUGAAAUGGUUUCACAAAUACUUCAAAACGAGUUCUGGAAGAAAUAAAUCCUUUUGAGUUUGAGUGAACCUUUCAUAAGCAAGAUUUAUAUUUCUCGGAUAAUUGAUUAUCCACUGUCAUGACACGGUUUGAAUAGUUUAAGCAAGUAUCAGAAGGUUUUGAUCCGGUGUGGAAUUCAAAUAAAAGCCAAUACAACUCACAUAAUAUGGCUUAUUUAUUUAGUGAUUAACGUUCCAAAAUAAGAGGAGGGAAAUGAGUAAAACAGGUGUAUACACAACCCACAUAGAACAGGAAAUGUGGUUCAUGCGGGUAUUUCCCGUGUGGCCUCGUCGGAAACCAUACAACAAUGAGAAUGGUCAAAAUAGUCAAUGAAAAAAAAAGGGUCCCACUAGUGAUUAAUUCCUUGUAGCCGCAGCAUGAACCACUAUCUAGACAACACUUAAAGUCCAAAUUCAUCAACAACGACGCAUGCAAGAAGAAAAUAGUGCACAAGCACCAUCAUCGUCGAUACUAGAUCUUAAGUUUUCAUGCACCAUCAUCGUCGAUACUAGAUCUUAAGUUUUCACUCUGAAGAAGAUCCACACUCUCAAAAACAAUGCUUUCAGCAAGAACACUGUAAAACACAAUCAAUAAAUGGCAGGCCUUGAAUUUUCAGCCGGAAAGCUAAGAACCUGAAAACUACAUAUAGGCAUUAAUUAUCCAGAGUUGAUAGGCACUGAAAACUAUGCAAUCAAGCAGCAUCCACCAAAGGUUUGUUGAAUAACCCAUAGUUGCAGGACACUGCUACUCAGCUUGCCUAGCAGCGCCAACUUGAAUCAAUGGAUGGACAAGCAGCACCCGCUACAUUGACAAAUUCGGACGUUUCACUCGCCAAUGAUUCAACAUUACAUUACUACCUGUGUUAGUGAUCUAAACGCUCUCAUAUUUCUUUACGGACGGAGUACCUCUGUACCGGUCUCUGCUGGGUGGCCGUCCUUGGCGUCGAGCAUACGGCGUUCUGGACUGGCCCCUGCAGCAGGGGGAUCAUCAGUGCACAUCUCCCCGCUCUGUUCUCCCUGCGCUGGACCCCCAUGUCUGUGUGAAAAACCACCUAGAGGCUGGGGAGAGGGCAGCGCUGGUGCCACGUCUGAUCCGUGCUGGAGGGCGCGAUCUGCGGGUGCCGCUUGGUACUCUGGUGGGUGUGGAGCUGCGUCAGGGGCAUGACUCCUGGGAGCUCGCAAGGUGCAGGUGUGAGGAGGGGGUGCUAGACACGGGUGCCCUCUAUCGUGUGGCUGCUGGAGGGCAUGUUUGGUCCUCAGCCACACUUUGCCAAACCAAAAUUUGACAGCCACAGUUUAGUUUUUGCCACACUUUGGCUUGCCACAUUUUAUUGUCGCUAUGGCUCAUUUGUCGUAGAGUCAAUUUUUUUGUCAACUUUUGCCAAAGUUUGACGUUCGUUUUUUCAGCCACACUUUGUGGCUUGCCACACUUUAAUGGCUUGCCACAUUUUGACUUGGCAAAAUUAGUCUCCAAACAAAGAGGCCCUAGUCGCCUGCGGCUCUCCUGUCACUUUGCGAGAUCAUUCCGGGACUCGAUCCGUGGAGGCCCUCUGAUGUCGUUCCGGGACUCGAUCCGUAGAGCCCCUCUGAUGCCUCUGUUCGUGAGCUGCCGCUCCUCCAGUUCCUUGCUAACAUCCCCUCCACCAGAGGACCGCGUCUCGCCCUCUUGUCCUGUUCACCUGUGAAAAAAAUCGAAAUGGCGUGGCCUUGGUAACCUGCGCCCAGACUUGUCCUCUCUCCGACGAGUGCGCCGGGAGGCGGCGAUGUGGUUCCACCCGCGCAUGCUGCCUGCUGGGUGACGCGGACGGUAUGUAUGUACUGUUCUUGAGUAGUCUUCAAAAAAAAUUAGAAGCAAGACAAAUGCAGUAUCUAGUGCGCAAAGCCUGACUGUCUGUGUUCCUAAAUAAAAUGAACAGGAGGUGAUGAAGGGACACAGCUUGUGUCUAGAGGGUUUUUCACCUGACCGUAUUAUAGUCCUCGGUUGAAGCUUCAGUUCCAUCAGACACAUUGUUGUGCGUUUGUCCCCUCACUUAAGUUAGCACAUCAAUAAGGCCUUUGGAGAUGCGUUACCUGACGUCCAUGCCUAUCCCCUCACUGCAGUUAUCCCAUCAUCCAACCGAAACGCAAUCAUUGCUCUUUCUAGAGAAUGUAUUGUUCAACAACACUACACGAGGACAUUCCCUCACAUUCAAGUAUCUUGUGCAACUUCAGUAAGCAAUCAAGUAAGUUCUGGGAUUCUACAAUUGAAGUUGCCUAGAUUUUUUAUUGGACUCGUCAUAGCAAGGAUGCAUUUCAAAGAUUGAAUCAUAUGCUUACCAGAGUAUGCUACAAGUCACUGUUUGAUUAUAGGACAUUAAGGACAGUAACUCUGUAACUUCUACACACUUCAUUCCCUGUCCACUCAAAUUAAAAUAUUUAGAGACCAUGCAAGUUCUAGUGGAAACGAUGCAGUUCCCUCCACAUUUUCUCAUCCGGGCUUGGGACCGGCAAAGGCAGUGUUAAACUACAAAACUACUAAGCACAUAAACUAGCAAACACUACAACUAAUUAUUCAGCUAAGCAUACAAGCCACACCAUCAACCAAAGGCAGCGUUGUCACGACACACGAAUUGACCAAAGGCAAUAAAUAUUCACACAACGUUUGCACAAGAUCAUAAGACAGAAACAUAGGGGCACAAACAAGGAAAGCUAUAAAUUCCAGAACCUACUAAUUUCUCUAAUGGGGCAAGGUGAUUCAAAUCUUCAAUCUUGAAUAUCUUCAUCAGCAGGCACAGAGAAAGCUUUCACACUUUUAGCCCAUAAUAGAGUCCUUGGGCCAUAAGAUGUGUCAACAGAUACUUGUGUGUCUUAAAAAUCCAGUAUAUGUAUAAGCUUGAUUUAAGAGUGUGCAAUUGGCAGGAAUCAUCAAAUUAGUAUUUUUGCUAGUUAACUAAAUUAAAACUAGGAAGCUCCGGGAAAACCAAUAAUAUGUAAUUGAAGAUUUGAGAAUAUGUAAUUGAAGAUUCCAUAAUCCAGAUCAAAUUAACCAUUAGAGGACCGUAAGAUGUGUGGAGGCUUUGUAUCUUCAAAUCCAUGACGAAUGCAGAACGAAACAAACUGACAUGUGUACAAGCUACUUGAGUUGAAAGUAUACAAUCAGCAGUAAAACCAUCAAACUUAGCCCAACUAUUUUACAAAGUUGUCAAAUUAAAAUAGGAAGUUCCCCAGCAAACCAAGAAGAUGCAUUGAAGAUUCGUAAUCCAGAUCCCACUGGAGAACCACCAAUGGUAAGAACAUCACUUCUGAAAAUCAAUUCCAUACCAAUAAGUCGGGAUCAUCGGAAUCAUAUUCAGUGGAAAUGACACUAAUCAAAGACAUGAUGAGUAGUAGUGUCCAUGCCAAACUGUUUGUUCAAGCUUCUUCAAGAGAUCAAAUAGAGAGCACUGGGUUUUUUCGGCUGUAGGAUGGUCCGUCUAGAUUGAUGCCCUGUAGCAACCUUCAAACCUUCUACAUCCAGCAAUUCAAUCUGAAUGUUUAAAUUUUGUCUCCAUAAGAUAAAUUAUAUGUUCAAAAAAUUACGACGAAUUGGAAAGGUGCAGGGUUUAGAAUAUCUUCGAACAUACUCAUCAUCAGGUUGGACCUAAAUCGUCAGUUAGGACCUGCAAUGACCAAGAAACCUUCGUUUCAACUUCUGCUUUGGGGAAACGAAGCUGCCUAUGAACAGCUAAAUGAUGCAUCAAACAUUGAGGGGAUAGGAUAAGCCUGCUUGGCUGGGAGAUAUCAGUUAGGGAAACACCAGUUCCAGAUAGCAAACUAUAUUAUCUCUCGUCCAUGUAAAUAUCUGCAAGGACAUGUAGUUACCAAGGCCAUAGAAAACAAUGUCUAGGAAGUGCAAUGUUCAAAGCAAAUCAGGAAAGAUGAAGUCAAGAGAAGAAACCCCAUCCAACAGUCAAAGCCCUUCCAGAAAGCCCCAUAAGUCCAAUAGCUGGAGAACCAACAGUUCCAUAUGAGAGAUGCUGUAAGCUAAAUUCGACUGUGCAAACAAAGAAACUAAAUUGAGGAUCAAUUAUCCAAACGCAGUUCGCAAAUUCUCUGAUCUCCAUUCCAUGUUUAAUGAUCCAAUCCGACUUCAAUCCAAAACAAAAACUUCAGCACACAAGAUGCUAUCUUAUAUCAUGCAAGGCAUUGAGCCAUAACCAAUCCAAAUAACCAUGAACAUUAAAACAAACCUCCACCCUCUGAUUCAUCACUCAGCAACCAUCACCCUCCGGCAUCUGAAGGAGAACAAACACAUACCCCACAAGCGGAGAUCAGCUGUAACAACGAGAACCAACGAGAAUGCACCUUGUACCGAGGGAUAAUGGUACUCAUGUUGAGCCAUCAGACGAAAAUAAAUCAAAGAACUUAAGGUAUAUCCACUCAAAUCUGGCGUCACCAAGAUCGAUGUGACCAAACAUGGUAAACUGACCUGCCUCAAGUCCACUUCAACAUACUGUUCAUACACCACACUGAGCUUCAUUUCCAGACCAGAUCCAGAUCCAUCCUGCAAGCCAACUCACGGAGGCGGCGAUAACAAAUGAAACAAACAGACCGUCUACGAGACACUGACCUGAUUUAUGUACAUAGGUUUGGGCAUAAAAUCCUAACUGUUAUAUCCUGCAACCCACACUUGCAGAAGACCAAAAGAACACAGGGAUCAAGAGUACGGAUAACUAGUAGGAUCAUGGAGAGCAAGAUCACAAACCAAAAUAUUUAACAGAUUCCAUGUCAUUACCGGCUAAAGAAUAAUCUGCAACCACAAGAAGGGCAGGAGCAAAAACCUAUAUCAAAGACAUGGCCAAGUAGCUAAACGAAAUGAAAAAAUAGGAGGGCUAGAGCCUUUCGGUUGUAGGAUGUGCCAUUAGUUGAAAGCUUCGGAUUGUCCUUCGAUUCAUGCACCUUUGCAUUUGAAUCUGUAUUAUAAAUAUUGCCUAGUAAGAUAAUUUGUAGGUUAUAUAAGUUUGUGAUGAAUUGAAACAAUACUCGUAGAUUUCAAAGAUCUGCAAACAAAUUCAUCAUCAGGUUGGACUCGAGGUCAUCAACUACAACCUGCAACGAGCAAGAGACCUUUCUAUAAAUUUUCAGUUCGGGGAAAACGUUACUUUUAAAUAGCUAAAGCAUGGAUCAAAGAUGGACGGGGAACAAGUAAAAGCCUGUCUCAGCUAGGAAGUUCGGCUAUGGUUGACGGAGGACAACAACACCGGUUCCAAACUGCAGUUAUAUCAUUUUCAAGUCAGUAUCUACAAGAGCUGAGAAUUACCGACUAAGGCGGAGAAGACAUGUACCUCAAUGAAAUAAAAAUAAGAGGAUAAGAGAUUAGGUUUUUUCCGGUUGUAGGAUGUGCCACUAGUUUUGAAGCUUCAUUAUUGCACCUUUACAGUUAAAUCUGAAUUUAAGAUAUUACCUAGUAAGAUAUCUUAUUAUUAUUAUCUAAGUCAAGGAAUUGAGAAGAUAGUAGAUUUAGAAGAACUGCAAACUCAAUAUCAGGUUGGUGGACUUGAGUUCGUAAACUACGACCUGCAACGAGUAAGAUACGUUUCUAUAAAUAUUUCAGUCAUGGGAAAACUAGGAUUAGGAAAGUAGGUAAAAACGAAUGAGGAGGUAAAGGAUGAGUAAGUCUGUCUCCACUGUGAAGCUAGGUCAGGUAGACACAUGGCUUUCAAUUAUAUCCCUUGCAAGACACUAUCUGCAAGAGCUGAAAAUGACUAAGGCAGGGAAAACUAAUGUCUGCUGAGUUCUAAUUAAUACUGUAUUGAAUAAAGAAGGUCCAAAAAGUUUAGCCACAGAAAAAGAACCGCCAUGCUGAGCCAAAAUAAGAGCACCCGCUAGGCCUGUGCAAUUCCAGAUUCUGGAUAACCAGCAAACAAUCCAAAUCAGAAUUGUUGGGAGAAUAAUUGAACCGUGGAGAAGAACAAAUUGAACAGAAUUUUGAUCAUCCAAACACAGGUCGGUCAGCAAGAAGAUAGUACGCCGCUCCCACUAAGCCGAGUAAUCUCAAUUUGUGACAACGAGCAAUGAAUCCAAAUUAAAGUUAGGCUAGAACUGAACGAAUCCAAAUGAAAUGAAGUGAAAUUCAGAGGAUCAUCUGAACACGGAUCUCAAGUUCCAGGUUGAUGUGCGAUCCAAAACUUCAGUCCAACACCAAACAUCAUCCCUGGAGACCUCUGACCAUAUGAAACCAAACCACCAUCCUUUCGGUUCAUCUAUGCGGAACCACUUCCUGCUUCUGCUGCAUCUGAAGGAGCACAAACACAAACCAAAAGCGAGAUCAACUGCUACAAUAAGAAUCCACCAAUACCUCUAAUCCACCUUAUAUUGAUUAUGAUGGAACUCGUGAUGAGAACUAGAAGACCACACGGGCAAUAGGCAUGUUAUCUGACCUACCUAAAAUCCCCUUGAACAUACACCAUCAUAGUGAUCUCCACAUAUCAGAUCCCAUCCGGCAUGGGAACACAAACGAACCAACAGUUACUGACCUGACACCGCAACAGACACACAGCAAAGGUUUGCAUAUGUAGGCACAGACUUCCUAAAUAAAUCCUGCAGUGCAACCCACACACUUAUAGGAAGACCAACACAGGGAUCAAGAGUACAGAUAUAACCAAUCAAACAACAAAGAGAUAGAUAGCAAACCAGAAGAUUUUUGACUCGCUACAAGCAUUGUCUUAGGCAAAACAGAUCUGCAACGACAUGGAGGGCAUAAGCACAAAUCAAAGACAUGAAAAUGUAGCUGAAUGAAAUAAAAAUAGGAGGGUAGGAGAUUAUUAUUUUUCCGGUUGUAGGAUAUGCCACUAGUUUGAAGCUUCAUUCUUGCACCAUUCGCAGCUAAAUCUGAAUUUAAAAUACUGCCUAGUAAGAGAUCUUAUUAACAUUAUCUCAGUUAAGGAAUUGAGUAGAUAGUGGUUUUAGAAGAACUGCAAAGUCAGCAUCAGGUUGGUGGCCUUGAGUUCGUAAACUACGACCUGCAACAAGCAAGAUACAUUUCCAUAAAUGCUUCAGUUAGGGAAAACUAGGAUGAAACGAUGAGGAGGUAGGAUAAGUAAGCCUGUCUCGACUGGGAAGGUCAGGUAGACAACACCGGUUCCAAUUAUAUAUCCUUUGCAAGACACUAUCUGCAAGAGCUGAGAAUGACUAAGACAGGGAAAACUAAUGUCUGCUGAGUUCUAAUUAAUAUUGAGUAAGAAAGUUCCAGAAAGUUCGAGCCAGGAAAGAAGAAGCGUCAUGCUGAGGCCACAUAGGAGCACCCGCUAGGCCCGUGUAAUUCCAGUUUCUGGACAACCAGCAACCAUUCCAAAUCAGAAUUGUUGAGAGAAUAAUUGAACUGUGGAGGGGAACAAAUUGAAGAGAGAGAGAGAGAGAGAGAGAGAGAGUUGAUCAUCCAAACACAAGAAGAUAAUAAGUCAGCUCCCACUAAGCCAAGUAAUCCCAAUUUCUGGACAGUGAAGACCAAAUCCAAAUUAGAAUUGUUGGAGGCUAAAAUUAAACGGUGGAGAGUAAGGGAUUAAAUAGAGAUAGGAGUAGUGAUAUUCAUCCAAACACAAAUCAGCCGAAGAUAGGUGGUCCCGCUAAGCCGUGUCAUCCCAUUUUCUGGAGAACCAUCAAGGAACGAAUCUAAAUCAGAUGAGUUGUAGAUUAACUGUGCUGUGCAAACCAAAUAAAUAAAUCGGGAGGGGUUGAAUUAUUAUUAUCAUCCAAUUGCAGACUGGUGAGAUCCAAAGCUUGAUCAUCUGUCCAUAUCAAUCAGAGUAACCGCUGAACCGUGACCAAUGAAUCAAAAUAACCAUAACAGAAACCAAACCUCCACCCUUUUUAUGUAUCAUCUCUUGCGAACUACCGAGCGUCCCUUGCCUCUGCUUCUGCUGCAUCUAGGAUGAGAGCACAAACACAUACCAAAAGCGGGAUCAGCCGGUAAAAUUUAGAAUCCACGAGGGCGUCGAAUCCACCUCGUAUUAUUAACCGAUGACGACGGAACCCGUGACGAGAGGGCUGGAUCGGGGGCAGGCCGCACGGGCGAGAGCCGGCCAACUGGAUCCAAAUCUGAAAUCGCCGAGGAAGGCAGGCAGGUGACGGAACCAAGGAACCGAUCUGACCGAUCGAGCACGGGAAACUGACCUUGCUUCGGCCCUCUCAUCACACAGAAAUCAGAGCAAAAUCGACGGAAUCCCCCGAUCGAUCGAUCGCUCGCUCCCCGAGGUCGCGCGGAGAUGGGCCGGAUCCCCUGCGAGCGCACAGGAAGCAAAGCCGCGAGGAGAUAAAUCAAACGCGAUUCGAAACGAAUCGAGAUUUGAUGGAUAAGGGGAAGGGAACAGUCGCGAAGACGCGAGGAGGCGACUCAGGCGAUCGACACCGGCGGCGCGGCCGGUCCGAACGAGAGCUCCAAGAGAGAGGGAGGAGGGCAGCGCGCGGGGUGGAAAGGGCGCACCUGGGCGCCUUUUAUAGCCGGAGGCGGAGGCGGUGGCCGGCCUGGCGCCCGCCAACCGGUUGCUUACCGGACACGGCUUCUUCGCCGCGGGUAAUGCUUUCCGUGGAGGAUACGUGUGGGCGGCGGAAAUCAAAAGCGAGUGGAAUUGCUGGGUCGGGGGGACCGGGUUUGGGUUGGUUUGGGUUGGGGCAACGGCAGGUCGGCAGCGCGGGUUGGGAGUUUUUUUUUUUUGAUAACGUGCGGGUUGGGAGUUGGGACCGACGGAGCCGGGAACUUUCUGGGGGCGCUUGAUAAUAUGCCUUCAGCUCGGGAGUGGCGAAGGGCCACUUGAGGUGCGAUGCCCGUGUCUGCGAGCACGAGCAACGACCAGCUCGUGGAUGAGAACGUGGAACAGGCGGGUGCGGUGGGGGUGGUUCGUUGUCCUGAUCCUAAACGUGAUCCGCCAAAUCAGCUGCCGUGUUUAAGAAAUCAAAAAUGUGCUCGUUAUUUUAUUUUUUAAUUUUUCAGAUCAACGUCGUCCGGUUGUUGAUAUUGGUUUGAGAACAGGCAUCUCCAACUAUCAAUCCGUAAUUAUUUUUUUCCUGCGUCCGUCUGCCAACAAAGGAUCAAUCCACGGACAUAUUUAUAAAAAAGACAUCCAACGCUAGCCGCAUGUCUAUGAAAGAAGGACAUCUAACGUUAGACGCACACAUCUACCGUGAAGAGGGAAUAUGCUUCUAAAUUCUUUCGUGCGAUUGACUCAUUUGACCUUUUUAAAUGGGAAUGGACUCCUUCUAAUAAUAGAUCUCGUGGGGUCCUAUGUGGUCUUAAGAAAGAUAGCUAAAAAAGGAAAUACAUCCUGCAGAUUUAUGUUCAUGAUAUUAACAAAAAAAAUUGACUGGGAUCUCCUAGUUGCUUAUGGUUCUCCUCAUGAGGAGUUCAAGGAGGAAUUCCUUGUUGAGAUGGUCUUAUUUUGUAGCAGCGUAAACGGUCUCUAUAUAAUCGGGGAACUUCAAUAUUCUGAGACACAGUAGAGAGAAAAUUAGAAAGUCCAUUUUCACAAACCCUCUAAGACAUCUAACUCUGUUAUUAACUCAUUGGGUCUGAGAGAUGUACGCAUCAAUGGAGGCAAAUUCACGUGGACUAAUAACCAGGCUCAUCCCACUCUUAAAAAAUUGGAUCGUAUCCCUAUUAAUUAUGACUGAGAAAAAUUAUUCCCCCUAGUAUCUGUUAGAGAAUUUGUCAAAGAGAUUUCUGAUCAUAACCCUUUGAUCGUUUCCUCGGGGAUGAUGAGAGGGAAGCCCCUAAAGCUCGUGACUUUCGCUUCGAACUUUCCUCGCUUAAAAAUGAGGAAUUCCUCGGACUGUCUAGGGGUAUUUGGAGUAGAAAGGUGAAUGCUAUAGACCCUAUUGAUGCUCUCAAUAUCAAAUUGAAAGAUUCAAAGCCUACUUCAAAGGACGGGGGUCCAACAAAUAUGGCCAUGAAAACGGAGGAGGGAAGAGCUUUGUUUGGAAUUGUCCAUGUUGGAAGAGCUUGAAGAAGAAGGCCUUCUACCCCGUGACACUAUAGGAAUCAGGAAAUUGUCAUCUGUCUGAUCUUUGUCGCCUGUUGGUUGAUGGCAAAUAGACUUUUUGCCAUUAGCUGUCGAAAAAUAGACGACAAAGAACUGGUUAAUGGAAAAGAUGCUUUUUGCCGUCAUUGCAUUCUUUGUCGUCUGCUGGCGGACGGCAAAGAUGGACCAGACACACGACAAAGAAAUAGCUGAGGACAAAGAUGGUCCGCACAAACGACAAAGAGUCACCGCAGCUUGAGCCGUCCCCUUUGCCAUCUGCAGCCUCUUUGUCGUUCGCCCAAACCCUCUUUGUCGUCUUCCUGAUCCCCAGGCGGACGACAAAGGGGACGGCGCCCCACCUCCCCACUAACGGCGGCUCGCCUAGGUCUCACCACCCCGAUCCCCACUCUUUCUCUCCCUCUCCCCCGACCCCCACCCUCAUCUCCACCUGCGUCGCCCCCCAUCACCGCGUGGCCCGCACCGCGCCCCUCAUCUCCACCUGCAUUUCCUCCCCGCGCUGCCACACCACCACCAUCGCGUUGCCCCCCUCCCGGUGGCUUCCCCUCCAUCGCGCCGCCCCCCACCACCGCACCGCCCUCACCCCGCACAGUCCCCCUCCCCACGCCGGCUCCCCGUGUCUCCCCCAUCAUCAUCACAGCUACCCCCUCCCGGCGCCACCCUCUCCUCGCAUCGGACCCUCACCGCGCCGCACCAACCACCGCACCGCCCCACCUCGUGCGCCCCCUCCCCACGACGGUUCCCCCGUGUCCCCCCCCCCACAAUUUGGGUUCUUAUUAUUUCAAAAAAAACUCGCUGUGGGGGUUCCCCUUACAGUUUUCCUUCAAAAAAAUAUAUAGCCAAUCAGUGGUUUGCUAGGUUGUGAACAGGUUGAAGGUUUUCAUGACAAUGUUGGGAGGCUGAUAUUUAACAUGUGGUAGGCAACGAGACAUAUUGAUAGAAACGGUAAUACUAGCAUGUCAAUGAUAGUAAUGGUAUCUGGGAAAAUGGUCAUCUUGCCUGAGAUCCCGCUGAGAAGAAGAUUGACUCCGUGAAGCAGACGACAGGUCCUCACAAUCCGACAUGCUUGCGGAACUCUAUCGAGACGAAGGAAACCGAAAACAAGAAUAAACACACGAUAUUCCCCACGGCAUAUGCACGACAAGAUGCAAUCCACAUAUGAUGCAUGAACAGGGAAUACAUGCAAGUCACGGCAUGUCAAGUCACAACAACCAAAUACUACACAUUAAAUGAAGUUCAAUAUGCAACGAGGUGCAUAUUGACGAAACUCCACAUACGAGUUAUUUACUUCUAUCCCGAUUUGGUACACGGCAAUAUUAAAUGUGGUUACACAUGGCAAGAGGUGAAGCGCAAUUACUCUACUUAUCUAGGCAUUUUAAAUGAGGUCGGAAAUGACAUAUAGCAUCUCCGAAAUGACCUCACAUAUUAAUUUACAAUUCUGUCCAGAUCUGAACUAACAUGUUUAAUUAGUUGUUAAACAGCAAAACAAAUAGUUUCACGUGAUUCUACGCGUCGGUACAAGCAAUUUACACAUAUAGAACAUCUCCAAUGGAGCUACGGGUCAAAAGAUACGAACACCGCAAGAUAUGAUGGCAUGAAUGCAAAAUGUGUGCAAAUGGCAUCCACAACAUUUCAAAACACACAACCAGCAAGAUAAAAUGAAACUGCACAAGAUUCUAAGCAAGUUUCAUAUAGGACACCAUCAAAAUGGAGCAACGGUUCAACAACUACGAGCAACACAAGAAAUCACUACAAUCUGCCAAAAUCAGCCACAUAGCAUUUUUUACACCCCACAACUACGAGCUACACAAUUCUAAUAUACUCAACCAAGACAUGACAUGAUAGAGGGAAAGAAGCACUACAAGAUACAACUAACAACAACUAGCAUGGAAGCAUGGAACACUAGGAAAAGAAGUCACAAAAAGGCAUCUCACACACAGUUUCAGACUUAGUGAAAAUAACACUUUAUGAAACUGCAGUUUUCGAUCUGAAGGCAUAUUGACAGCAGCAAAGCCAUAAGCUACAGGACUCCAAAUGGCAUGAAAAUUCACAGCAUGUUAGAGAAUCCUAAAGUCUACAACUAACUCCAUUUCAUCAACCUCAAAGGAGCUACAGAUCACAAGAUAAACUCAUGCAAAGACAACAACAAAAUAUAACAGAUUUCAGACUUAGAAAUAUUUCAGCAUCUCCAAAACAGCACUAUUUCCUAGCAACUUGAGAACAAACAAACCACACCUAAACAUGGAUUCCUAUUGCAACCAAAAUUACCAGGGGCUAGACUAAACAUCCAAAAGCAAAACUCUAAUUGACAACUAACCCAUAUCACGCAUGGAUUAAAUCCCACGAAAUAAACAAUAGGGCAUCAUGACAAAAUAUCACGUGAAAUAACUUGCUCCAAAGCUAAAACUAAAUACACAGUUAAAUCCUAUGGAUUUUUCUACCCCGAAAACGUAUAUAACAUGAAGGGUUGCAAAAGAAAAUCAACGCCACACGUAUAUGCGGGAUUAUGUCCACGACACGGUAAAACAACUAGCUACUAAACCCUACGUGCAAAAAUACCAACAACCACUCUAAAAUACAUGGCAAAGGGGUUCCUAAAACAUGAACAUUUCUACUAUGGAGUUCGAACAAAAAAAAGAUAACACGGGACACAAACAUAAUAGACAACACACGUUUCUAGGCAUUCGGCACGCUAAACUAUGUCAAACAAUUAUGCAAGUUGCAAAAUCGUAAUCUACGCGCAAAACUACACAAAUACAUAUGCUACACGCCACGAUCCGACUUACGGUUAAUAAACUACGGGCGAUUUAAUAUUUAGCUAAUUUCUGAAAUCUAACUAAUUCGAGAAACUCCAAUAAAACCUAUUGGGCCGAAUCCAUCUACGGGCCUAAACAGAGGCAUGGGCGCAUGGUAUAGAAAAGUGCCUAGGGCGGGGAAUAGAGGAUCACCUUGGGGGGCCUCUUGGGCCGGUUGGGAGGCUGCAACAGAGGGGAGGUGGCCGACUGGGCAUUGGGCCGGCCUGGUGCAGUGGGGCCCGGGUGGGGCUGGCCGAAGGAGGCCUCGGGGGAGCCGGGCCGAAGCAGGGGGGACGAGCUGGGCGGGGGCUUGCUGGGCCGCGGCGAGGCCGGUGAGGCCCAGGAGCGGGACGCGUCGCUGGAGCGGGGCUCCUCGUCGUGUCCGAGGGCACAGGGCCUGGCGGCGGCCGACGUAAGGCAGCGAAGGCGGCGGCGAGCACGGGAACCGGCGGCGGGGUGCAAGGGAGGCCAGAUCCCGGUGGCCUUGGGCGGAUCCGGGCACCGGGGAUCCGUUCCCGGCGGAGGGGACGGCGGAGCACAUGGCUGUCGGCGGCGAGCUCGCGGUGGGAGGACGACGCAGGGAGCUUGGGGCGGCGGGAUCCGGCCGGAACGGGCACGGGCGACGGUGCGGAAGGUGCAGGGCAAGGAGCUGCUCGGCUACCAGGAAGCGACGAGGGCUCCCGUCGGCGAAGGAGCUCGGGAGGAGGAGGCUGCAGGCUCGGGAGGAGCACCUCGGCAAGGGAGACGCAGGGCGCCGGCGGCGGCUCGGUUCGGGCCCGGGCGGGCUCCAGAUGGGCCUCGGCGGGCCCGCGACGGCUGGAGGCCGAGGGGAGGAGAGAGAGAGGUGGGAUUAGGGUUAGGCGAGGCACGGUUUUUGAGGCAGAGGGGGUGGGUGUCUAAAAAAAUGGCAUGGGAGGUCCUAUUUAUAGGCAAAGGGGGCUAGGUUUAGCGAAAUUCCGCCCCGGUUUCAACCGCGCGGUCGGAUUCGAAUAAUUCUGAACGAGGGACGGACUAAAUGCCCGUGUAGAGUAGUUAUCCGGAGACGAGAGGGAAAAUGGGCGGAGCGGCAACACGAUUUGAAAACACCGAUAACCGUCCGACGGUAGACCGAAUAGGGUGCCGCUACGGUCGACCGUUCUGGUACCAGACGGACUCCGAUUGCGACGAAACUUGACAGGCGGCCUAGUUACCACUAAUUACGACCGCACGCCAAGUUCCAACCCAAUCAGAUAAAGGUUUACACACACUUUAAAAACAGGGUUUUGACGAUGCCGCGGCGCGUGCGUGUGCGGUCGGGCUCAGAACGGACAACGAUGAGAACCGGCAACUAACAACGGAUGCAAGUUUUGAAAACUAGCGGCAACGGGAUGCCGAUGCAAUGCGGAUGAUGCGCAUGAUGCGAUGAUGAUGCGACAAAUAAAAAUAAUCACACGACGGAAACGGAAUAGAAGGGGAAUCUUCUGGAACGUCGGCAUCGGGUUGUCACACCGCCCCACCACCGCGCCGCCCCCUCCCCGUGCCGCCCCUACCCACGCCAGCUCCCCUGCGCCGCCCCACCACCACGCCGCCCCUCCCGUGCCGCCUCUACCCAUGCCAACUCCCCUACGUUGGCCCCACCACCACAGCUCCCCCGUUCCGGCGUCGCUCCCCACCACCACCACUAUUGGAAAUAUGCCCUAAAGGCAAUAAUAAAAUGGUUAUUAUCAUAUUUCCUUGUGGGCGGCGAAAAUCAAAUCAAAAUCGAGUGGAUCGGGUUGGAUCCGGACUUGGUUUGGUUCGGGUGGGCGGCUCGCAGUGGCAGGUCGGCAGCGACGGAGCCGAGAACUUUCUGGACUGCUCGGGAGUCGCGACGGGUCAUGUGAUGUGUGAUGUCGUGUGUGGCUUCCCGUGUUUGCGAGCGCGAGCCACGACCAGCUCGUGGAUGAGAACGUGGAAUCAGCUGAACGCGGUGCCGUGGGGUGGUUCGUUGUCCUGGUCCUAAACGUGAUCCGCCAAAUCAGUUGUCGUGUUUAAGAAAUCAAUGUGCUCGUUGUUUUUAAUUUUUAACUUUUCAGGUCAAGGUCGUCCGGUUGUUGAUAUUGGUUCGAGAACACGCAUCUCCAACUAUCAAUCCGUAAUUUUUUUCGUGCGUCCGUCUGCAAAUAAAGGAUCAAUCCAUGGACAUAUUUAUAAAAAAGACAUCCAAAGCUAGCCGUAUGUUUAUGAACGAAGGACAUCUAACGUUAGACGCAUACAUCUACCGUGAAGAGGGAAUAUCCUUCUAAAUUAUUUCGUACGAUUGACCCAUUUGACCUUUCAAAUGGGAAUGAAUUCUUUCUAAUGAUAGAUCUCGUGGGAUCGUAUGUGGUCUUAAGAAAGAUAGCUAAAGAAAGGAAAUAUAUCCUACAGGUUUAUGUUCAUGAUAUUAACAAGAAAACUAAAUGGGAUCUCGUAGUUUCUUAUGGUUCUCGUCAUGAGGAGUUCAAGAAGGAAAUCCUCGUUGAGAUGGAUGGCCUAUUUUUGUAGCAGUGUAAACUGUCCCUAUAUAAUCGAGGACUUCAAUAUUCUAAGACACAGCAAAGAGAAAAUAAAAAAUAUGUCCAUUUUUACAAAUCCUCUUAGCUAUUUAACUAUGUUAUUAAUUCAUUGGGUCUUAGAGAUGUACACAUCAAUGGAGACGAGUUCAUGUGGACUAAUAACCAGGCUCAUCCCACUCUUGAAAAACUGGAUCGUAUCCUUAUUAGUGAUGAGUCAGGAAAAAUUAUUCCCCUUAGUACGUGUUAGAGAACUUGUCAAAGAAAUUUCUAAUCAUAACCCUUUGGUCAUUUCCUCAAGGAUGAUGGGAGGGCAGCUUCUAAAGCUCGCGAGUUUCGUUUCGAACUCCUGGCUUAAAUAUGUGGAAUUCCUCGGACUGUCUAGGGGCAUUUGGAGUAGAAAGGUGAAUGCUAUGGACCCUAUUGAUGUUCUCAACAUCAAAUUCAAAAGAUUCAAAACCUACUUCAAAGGACGUGGGUCGAACAAAUAUGGCCAUGAAGAAUGAACGAGGGAAGAGCUCUGUUUGGAAUUGUGCAUGCUGGAAGAGCUUGAUCUUUGUCGUCUGCUAGGUAAUGGCAAAGAGACUUUUUGCCAUUAGCUGCCAAAAAAUAGACGGCAACGAAGUGGCUAAUGGGAAAGAUACUCUUUGCCGUUAGUGCAUUCUUUGUCGUCUGCUCGCGGACGACAAAGAUGGACCACACAGACGACAAAGAAAUAACUAAUGGCAAAGAUGGUCCGGACAAACGACAAAGAGUCACCGCAGCUUGAGCCGCCAACUUUGCCAUCUGCGGCCUCUUUGUCGUCUGCCCCAACCCUCAGGCGGAUGGCAAAGGGGAUGGCGCCCGACCUUCCCACUGACGAUACCUCACCUAGGUCUCCCUACCCGGAUCCCCACUCUUUCUCUCCCUCUCCCCCGAUCCCCAUCCUCAUCUCCACCUCCGUCGCACCCACCACCCCACCAUCGCGCCGCCCCCACCCCGCGCCUCAUCUACACCUGCCUCUCCUUCCCGCGUCGCCACACCACCACCAUUGUGUCGCCCCCUCCCGGUGGCUUCCCCUCUACCGCGCCGCCCCCACCACCGCAUCGCCCUACCCUGCGCAGCCCCCCUCCCCAUGCCGGAUUGUCACGCCCAAGAUGCGACCCUAUCCUCAAUUUGGCACGAAGGCCACGUCAGGGAUAGAAGCGCANNNNNNNNNNNNNNNNNNNNNNNNNNNNNNNNNNNNNNNNNNNNNNNNNNNNNNNNNNNNNNNNNNNNNNNNNNNNNNNNNNNNNNNNNNNNNNNNNNNNNNNNNNNNNNNNNNNNNNNNNNNNNNNNNNNNNNNNNNNNNNNNNNNNNNNNNNNNNNNNNNNNNNNNNNNNNNNNNNNNNNNNNNNNNNNNNNNNNNNNNNNNNNNNNNNNNNNNNNNNNNNNNNNNNNNNNNNNNNNNNNNNNNNNNNNNNNNNNNNNNNNNNNNNNNNNNNNNNNNNNNNNNNNNNNNNNNNNNNNNNNNNNNNNNNNNNNNNNNNNNNNNNNNNNNNNNNNNNNNNNNNNNNNNNNNNNNNNNNNNNNNNNNNNNNNNNNNNNNNNUGAAAAGAAGAGAUAUAUAAAGAGUUGGCUUACACUCGCCACAAGCUACAUCAGAGUCACAUCAGUACAUUACAUAAUCAUCAAGAGUAAGAGCAGGGUCCGUCUACGACGAAAACAAACGAGAAAAAUAAGAACGACGUCCAUCCUUGCUAUCCCAGGCUGCCGGCCUGGAACCCAUCCUAGAUCGACGACGAAGAAGAAGAAGAAGCAACUUCAAAUGAACAAUCAACGCGCUCGCGUCAAGUAACCUUUACUUGUACCUGCAACUGGUGUUGUAGUAAUCUGUGAGCCACAGGGGACUCAGCAAUCUCAUUUCCAAAGGUAUCAAGACUAGCAAAGCUUAAUGGGUGAGGUAUGGUUAAGUGGUGAGGUUGCAUCAGCGGCUAAGCAUAUAUUUGGUGGCUAACUUACGAGUACAAGAAAUAAGAGGGGGAACAUCUACGCAUAGCGGACGUGAACUACUGAUGAUCAAAUGAAUGAUCCUGAGCACCUACCUACGUCAGGCAUAACCCCACCGUGUCCUCGAUCGGAGAAGGAACUCACGAAAGAGACAGUCACGGUUACGCACACAGUUGGCAUAUCUUAAUUAAGUUAACUUCAAGUUAUCUAGAACCAGUGUUAAACAAAGUUUCCACGUUGCCACAUAACCGCGGGCAUGGCUUUCCGAAAGAUUUAACCCUGCAGGGGUGCUCCAACUAGUCCAUCACAAAUUACCACAAGCCGCAUAGAAAUCCUCAAUCACGAAGCUCGCGAUCUCGUCGGAUUCCCUAGUGGAAAACCUCAACUCUGAGAAUACCCAAAGCAUCACCGGAAUCCCGAUGCACAAGAUAUCUCGUCAAAGGUAAAACUAAUCCAGCAAGGCCGCCCGACGUGUCGACGAUCCCGAUAGGAGCCGCGUAUCUCGUUCUCAGGACACGACGGAUAAGCACAGCGUACGGUGGCCUGAUAGAAAUCUCCCGAGUUGCCCCGGGUUGGCCCCGCAAACGGCUCUAGUUUUUGGACCAACACUCAUGAUGAGCAUUGGCCCCGGGGGUUGAUUAAAUUAUCCUCGGGGUCCGAAAAGUCCCUAUGCAAUUUAUUAGGUGAUUAGGCAAAUGUAGUACCAAAGUUGGGCCUUGCCAGACCAGCUUUAAUCUAAAACGAAUUAUCAAGGGGGCCCCAUAACAACCCCGAUCGUGUUAGGAGCGCUCAUUUAUGGAAUAUAACACCGGAAGCCGAAAACUAAGGGGGCAAAGGUGGAACAAAACACCAGUCUAGAAAGACCGAGCCUUCCACCUUUUACCAAGUAUAUAGGUGCAUUAAAUUAAAUAGCAUUAAUAUGGUGAUAUAACAAGGAACCCAUGUUUUUCACAUGGAAGCAACUACAUCUACAACUAGCAACGCUAACAACAUGGAUAAGCAAGCAGUAACAUAGCCAAUCAGUGGUUUGCUAGGUCGAACAGGUUGAAGGUUAUCAUGGUAUUGUUGAGAGGCUGAUAUUUAACAUGUGGUAGGCAACGAGACAUAAUCGAUAGAAGCGAUAAAACUAGCAUGGCAAUGAUAGUAAUGGUAUUUGAGGAAAUGAUCAUCUUGCCUGAAAUCCCCCUUGGAAGAAGAAUGCCUCCGUGUAGCAGACGAACCGACGUAGUCGAACGGGUCCUCACAUCUGACACGCUUGCGGAACUCUAUCGAGACGAAGCAAACCAGAAACAUAAAUCAACACACGAUAUUCACCACACGAUGCACAACACAUAUGAUGCAUGAGCUACUGAAUACAUGCCACGGCAUGACAAUUCACACAGUCAAACACUACACAUUAAGUGAAGUUCAAUAUGCAACGAGUUGCAUAUUGACGAAACUCCACGUUUAUUAUUUAGUUCUAUCCCAAUUAGAUACACGACAAUAUUAAAUGUGGUUAAACAUGGCAAGAGGUGAAGCGCAAUUAAACUACCUAUCUAGGCAUUUUAAAUGAGGUCAGAAAUGUCAUAUAGCACCUCCGAAACGACCUCGCAUGUUAAUUUACAAUUCUGUCCAGAUCUGAAUUAACACCUUUAAUUAGUUGUUAAACAGCAAAACAAGUAGGUUCACGUGAUUCUACGCGUCAUUUCAAGCAAACUACACAUAGAGAACAUCUCCAACGGAGCUACGGACCAAAAGAUACAAGCACCGCAAGAUAUGAUGGCAUGAAUGCAAUAUGUGUGCAACGACGGCUACGAGCACUUCAAAACAUACAACCAGCAAGAGAAAAUGAAACUACACGAGAUUCUAAGCAAGUUUCAUGUAGUACACGAUCAAAUCGGAGCUACGGUUCAACAACUACGAGCAAAACAAGAAAUGACUACAAUAUGCCAAAAUCAGCCACAUAGCAUAUUUUACGCCCCACAACUACGAGCUACACAACUCCGAUAAACUCAAGCGAGGCAUGGCACGAAAGAGGGCAAGACGCACUACUACAAACAACUAACAACAACUAGCAUGACAGCAAGGAGCACUAGGAAAAGAAGACACAAAAUGGCUUCCCACACACUAUUUCAGACUUAGUGAAAAUAACACCUCAUGAAAGUGCAGUUUUCAGCCUGAAGGCAUAUUGACAGCAGCAAAACCAUGAGCUACAUGGCUCCAAAUGGCAUGAAAAUUUACAGCAUGCUAGAGAAACAUAAGGGCUACAACUAACGCCAUUGGACCAACCUCAAAAGAGCUACAUAUCACAAGAUGCAAGCAAGAUAAGACAGCAACAAAAUAUAACAGAUUCCAGACUUAGAAAUAUUUCAGCUACUCUAAAACAGCACUAUUUCUAGCAAGUUGAGAGCAAGCAAACAACACCUAAACAUGCAUUUCUAUUGCAACCAAAAAUACCAGGGGCUAAACAAAACAUCCAAGAUCAACUCUCUAGUUGACAACUCCGUCAAACGAAGCACGGAAUAAAUCCUAUGAAAUAAACAAAAGGGCAUCACGGCAAAAAUAUCGCACGAACUAACUUGCUCUAAUGCUAAAACUAAUUGCACAGAAAAAUCCAUGGGAUUUUUCUACCCCAGAAACAUAUAAAAUAUGUGGGGUUUGCAACACAAAAUAAAGCCACACAAAAAUGCGAGAUAAUAACCUAUACACGGAAAAAAAAACUACCGGUAAUUCCUACACGCAAAAAUACGAGUGACCGCUCUAAAAUGCAUGGAAAACUGGUCCCUAAAACAUAGGCAUUUCUAUACGGCACUCGAGCAAUCCGGACUUGCACGAAAAAUAGAUACGGGUCGAAACCUAUUAGGACAGCACGCAAACCUAGGCAUACGACACGCUAAAUGACCUCAAAUAAUUAUGCAAGUGUUAUAAUCGGGUUCUACUCGCAAAACUACCCCAAACCCAUAUAAGAUACGCCCCGUUCCGACUUACGGUUAAAAAGAUACGAACGUUUUAAAAUACGUCUAUUUUUCUGGAAAAGAGUUAAAUCCCAGGAAUUAUAAAAACCCUACACGGGCCGAAAGUGGCAGGCGCUUCAUAACAAAACAGCGCACGCGCAAGGGAUAGCUCACCUCGGGCCACAGGCCGACGGUUGGGGCGGAGGCCUCUUGGGCCGGCUCGAGGUGGGCCAGGGGUCAGUGGUUGGAGCGGGCCGGUCGCGCGGGGUAGGCCGAGCUGGGCCGAGGCGGCGCUGGCGCGGGAGGCCGGCCCACGUGGUGCUGGCGAGCGCUGCCCCUGGGGUCGUCGUCCUCCUCUGCUCCCGAUCUGGGCAGGAGGCGGCGCGGCUCAGGGACCUGGCGCGGGGGCUCGCGCCGGUGAGGGAGGCCAGAUCCGGCCGGCCUUGAGCGGAUCCGGGCACCGGGGACCCGUUCUCGGCGGCGGGGACGGCGGACACAAGGCGGCCAGCGCUCAGACGGCGGCGCAAGGAGCGGCUCGGUCCGGCGGCUCGCGGUUGCAGGCCUCGGGAACUUCGGGCAGGAGUGGCAGGGCUCGACGGGAGUAGGGACUCCGGCAGGCGGCCCUGGCAAAGGACGACGCGGGACUCUGGCGAGCUGCCGGAGACGGAGGGACGAGCCCCGGCGGCGAGGAGGCACGGGCUGUUGCGAGCAGGAGCAGCGGGGAGGCGGCGCGCAGAUGGGCCUCGGGCGGGCCGCGCGCGGGCUCGUGCGGGCCCGGCGGCUGGGGGAGGAGAGAGAGGUGGGAAAAUUAGGGUUAGGGGUAGGUGGGCGCGGAAAACAAGGAGGGAUUUGAGGGAGGCUGUCUAAAAUUAGGAGGGGGGUAUUUAUAGAGAAAAUGAGGGCUAGGUUACCCGGAAUCGCGUUCCGGAUCCAACCGCGGGGUCGGAUUCGGGCGAUUUCGAAUGCAGGAAUGGGUACGCGGCCGUGUAGAGGGUAUAUCCGGAGACGAGAGGGAGAACAGACGGCACAACAACAAUUUUUAAAACACCGAUGACCGUCCAACGGUAGACCGAAUACGGUGCCGCUACGGUCGACCGUUCGGGUACCAGACGGACUCCGAUCGCGACGAAAUUCGACAGGCGGCCUAGCUAGAACUAACUAUGACCGCACGUCAAAUCUCAACCCGAUUAGAGAAAUUUUUACGCACUCUUUUAAAAUAGGGUUUCGACGGUGCCGCGGGCGAGUGCGAGUGCGGUCGGGCUCAGAACGGACAACGACGAGAACCGGCAACUACUAACGGAUGCAAGUUUUGAAAACGGGCGGCAACGGAGAUGCCGAUGCAAUGCAGAUGAUGUGCAUGAUGCGAUGAUGAUGCGACAAAAGAAAAUAGACACACGACGAAAACGGAAAGAGAGGGGAAUCUUCUGGAANCGCCCCCUCCCCGUGCCGCCCCACCCCACAUCAGCUCGCCUACGCCGGCCCCACCACCGCGGCUCCCCCGUUCCGGCGCCGCUCCCCACCACCACCACCGGCCCUCAAGGUCAAAUUUUUUGCUUUUUCUGUUUUUUCUAUUUAGGUUUAGGGUAAUUAGUGUCUGGUUUAGGUUAGUGCUAGGUUUAGGUUUAGAUUUAGAUAAUUAGAAGAAGAAGAAGAAAGAUGAAAAAAAUAAGAAGAAAAGAAGAAUAAUUAAGUAUAAUAAAAGGAUAAAGGAAGAAAAGGAAGAAAAGGAAGAAGAAGAAGAAGAAGAAGAAGAAGAAGAGGAGGAGGAGGAGGAGGAGGAGGAGGAGAAAAGAACAACAACAACAAUAACAACAACAACAACAACAACAACAACAACAAUAACAACAACAACAACAAGAGAAGAUGAGGAGGAGGAGGAGGAGAAAAAAUAAUAAUAAGAAGAAGAAGGAUAAGAAGAAAAAGAGGAGAGGAGGAGAAGAAGAAGAGGGAAAAAGGAAAAGGAGAAGGAGAAGAAGAGGAGGAGAAGAAACAACAGCAACAACAACAACAACAACAACAACAAAACAACAACAACAACAACAACAACAACAAGAGUAAAAAGGAAAGGAAGAAGGAGAAGAAGAGGCCAACUGGAUCAUGGUUUUGUAAAUUACGAGUUAGGUCAUAUAUUUUCCAAUUUUUUUAUAAAAAAUAAAAAUAUUUCUGUUGAUUGGGUGGAUUUACAUGUGUAGUUGUUUCGCCGUUGCGAGGUCUGGUGUUUGAAGACCUUUCCAUGCGUUCGACGAGCUCUCCGCCCGUGCGUUCGUGGGUGAGCACAAAUGACACUCCUCCUCUCCCCUUCAUUUGCUCUGUUCCGGUCUUCGUGUUGAUGAAACUUGCUAGAUAUAUGUACAUUAAAUCAUCAGUAUGCGUGACCACUAUGCGUCUCCUGUUCGAAAGGGUUACAAUUAUAAAUAUGCAUGCAUUUGCAUAUAUUUAUAACCGUGAUUCUUUCGAAUUGUCCAACGUUAUCCAUGGACAUCCUGAGUAUGUGUAGAUUGCGUUCGUUUUCCCAUAUGCUCUGCUUUGAAUUCGAUGCAUAAUUUCGUCAGUGCCUCCCUGUUGUUCUCCAGGUACACAUCCUCUUUGUUUAUUGUUGAGACGUGUAUCAGGAGAACAACGGGGAGGUGCAGCCGAAAUUUUGCAUCGCAUCCGAAGCAGAGCAUGGGAAAACGAACCCAAUCUUCACAUAGUCGGAUGGGAUUAGGGUCAAUCUUUACCUAUUAGCAUGUAGGUUGCACGGACGUAAUAAAACUAAAAAACUUGAUUAACUGAUGAAUAUAUAAUGAAUUAUAUAUAUAUAUAUAUAUAUAUAUAUAUGGAAAAUCAAUACUACCACUAGGGGGUAGUUACCCCAUGCCCAACACCGUCUGAUCUGGUGUGGUGGACGCUUUGAUUAACGGGUUUGGUUCUAGUAAUACACCAUUUUUAUUUUCAUCCCAUAAAGCAACUAAUCGUGCAGUUCCUAUUUUCAUGUAUGGAUAUAACUACCACACGUCCAACAGAUAUCUAGCUUUCACAUCUGGCUACCAGCUGCAGCAGAUUUUAUGGCAAUCCCAGUCAAUUCGGAUUAUGAGCAUCGAUGCAUGUUGCAAGGUAUUCAUCCGGCGGACAAAAUCUUUCAAAUUGUUCCUGAUAGAUUUUAUUAUCUAAUUGAAUUCUUUGAUCAGCAGCCAUGGGCAUUGACUUUUUUAUCUAAUUGAAUUCUUUGAUAAGCAGCCAUGGCCGAUGUCAACCAUGCAUCAAAUUUUCAAGACCUUAUAAUUUUCAAGACACAGCCGCCGUCGAGUUGCGCGCUCCGAAUGACACAGCCGCCAGCCAUUGAGGAGCUCAACAUUGCUGCAUCGUCCUCAUGUUCUGGAAAGUUUCCAAACUAUCACUACAUUCAGCACUAUCAUGAAUUCCAAUCCAGUUCUCAUGUUACAGAUCAGUAUACGUACAUGCGUGGACAUGUAUCAUCACUUCGUGUUGAAUUGUAUCCCCAUAUUAUUUUUAGCUCAAUCAUGUUCUAGCUAGCACAUGUAAUUGAUUGAAGAUUUCAUAUCUUGGUGAAUUUUUUAUUUUGCAAUCUUAUUUUUGUACGUAAAAAAAUAUAACAAACACAUCCAUACUCUUGUACAUUUGUUCAGUAUAUAUUUAUUCCGGAGAUACUCCUCUUAUCUUCGAGUAUAUGUACAUUUUGUGUGGGAAGAUACUCCUUACUUUUGGAAAUUAUACUGCUUAUUUGGACGUACUCCAUACUUCAUUCACCUUUUCAAAUAUACUCCAUACUGUAGCACUAUAGUAGUAUGUAGACAUGUAGUACACACCAUACUUCUAUUACAAACUAUAUAUUACAUGCGAAGUACUACUUUUUUGGGAGACUUAUUUUGUAUGUCCAUGUAAGAAUCUUAAUACUCUAUACUCCAGCUUGUUGUUAAUACUUCAUACUUCAAUAAUCAAAUUCUUAUACUUCAUACUCCAAUUUUACGUUAGCAUUGCAUACUACAUACUAAUGAAAUUACAUGUCAAUACUUCAUACUACAAAAUUUACAUGUCAAUACUCCAUACUACACGUAUGACUAUACUCUAUGUGGUUCUAAAAGGGGAAUAUAUUUGGCACAAUAAUAGCAGAAUCCAAAAAGAGUUAUUUGUACCAUACUAUCUAUUUCCAACAAAAAUUACGGUGCGUAUAAAAUAACAGCAUCAUGUUCACAUGCUUAUAUUGUUGUACGCACCCUGGAUUAAGGAGGUAGUUGCAACAGCCUUUCAACGGCUUGCUGGAUUAUUUUAUUAUAUAAACUAAAUUAGUUUCUGCCUAUAAAAUUGCAUCGGCACCCGUUAACACAGUAUCCAUUACCCUGUUGACUUGAUGCCAUUAUUUGAGCGAGGGAAAGAGGGACACGUGGAGGCCAAAGAAAAUGGUGGUAACUACCACUCUUGUAGAUAAAGUUUGUCAUAUAUAUAUAUAUAUAUNNNNNNNNNNNNNNNNNNNNNNNNNNNNNNNNNNNNNNNNNNNNNNNNNNNNNNNNNNNNNNNNNNNNNNNNNNNNNNNNNNNNNNNNNNNNNNNNNNNNNNNNNNNNNNNNNNNNNNNNNNNNNNNNNNNNNNNNNNNNNNNNNNNNNNNNNNNNNNNNNNNNNNNNNNNNNNNNNNNNNNNNNNNNNNNNNNNNNNNNNNNNNNNNNNNNNNNNNNNNNNNNNNNNNNNNNNNNNNNNNNNNNNNNNNNNNNNNNNNNNNNNNNNNNNNNNNNNNNNNNNNNNNNNNNNNNNNNNNNNNNNNNNNNNNNNNNNNNNNNNNNNNNNNNNNNNNNNNNNNNNNNNNNNNNNNNNNNNNNNNNNNNNNNNNNNNNNNNNNNNNNNNNNNNNNNNNAUGAGUGAUCGUGCGUGGAUGUACACCGGUCAAUGGAAGUAGACAACGACAGUGAAUUCGACUUCACCCUUCAGUUGGAACCAGUAGAGCUGGAACUAGAAGAGGUUACUGCUGCGAAUGACCUGUUAAUGCUUGACCGAUUACAGAAAGGCCUUCAAUAUGUUGAUGUCGGUGAACCCGAUGAGCACGUCAUUCAUGAUGACACGCGUGAUAGUGAUGAUGAUGAUGCAUUUAAUAAUCCCGGAGCAUAUAUAGACGAUCGAGACUAUUAUUAGUUUGUAUGCAUCCCAACUUAAAUUAUAUAUGUACAUAUUAUUCUUCAUGUUAGGUAUUCAAAUUUUUUUAUGUUGUACUACUUUCUUUUACUCUUUGUCAUGGCAUGUGUUGAAAGAUGGUGGGCGCGGGUCCAGAUCGCUUGGCGGAUACUUCAUAGGCGGCCCGCAGGAGGGGUCCGUCCAUUCCACACCUAUCUCUCCAUAGAGUGUUGGCAGCCAGUCUGGGGACACCCGUUGGUGCUUCUUCGCCGGUUGUGUUGCCCACCGGGAGAGGAGGUCGGGUAGGGAAGAAGGCGAAGGGUACAUGACGUGGUCGUGGGAGAGUUCGCGGACUGCUACGCCAUCCUCGCCGCCACCCCCAGCUCAUUCACCUGAGCACAGAACUACUAGGGUGGAGCCAUUUGAGGUGGAGGCUAUGGGAACUCUGGACCACGAGCCUCGGGUCGACAGGCCUUCCGCCCAUGAGACUCCGGUUCCAGAGGCUUCGGCCCACGAGACUCUUGUACCAGGGGCUAUGUCCCAGGAGACUCUCGCCCAGAGGGUUCGUCCGGAUGGGGUACCUGGUCGGAUCGGACCGAGGGGCCAGGGUGGCACUAGUAGAAAAUGGUCCAUUUGUCCCGAUUUCAGAGGCCCAUUAGCCUCGGAUCUGGAACCGGGACUAAAGCGUGGGGACUAAAUCCCAAAACCUUUAGUCUCGGUUCGCUUACCAACCGGGACAGAAGGGUCUCCAUGUGGCCGCUGCGUGGAGCCCAUGCAAGAGGAUCUUUAGCCCCGGUUGGCCACACCAACCGGGACCAAAGGGCAUCCAUGCAUCAGCAUCUGGCAGGAGCUAGGUUUUUGGUUUUUAUGGGGGUGGGGGGUGGGGGUUUUGGAGAGUUAAUUUAGGGGUUUCAUAUUGUGUUAGCUAGCUAAUAGAGAGAAGUGUCCUCUCUUUCUCCGUGCUUGGUCGACGCUAGCUACUAUACAUAUAAAGAGAACUCGACGCUAGCUAAUAAGAAAAUGAAGGAAACCAUUAAUUACACAAGAUCGUCAUGCUGAACAUAUAUAGAGAGAAGUGACAUAUCUUUCUCUGUGCUUGGUCGAACAACAAGUUUUCGUAUACCUAUCUGAUGAUACUACAUAUAUACAAUAUAACAUCUUCUACAAUCCCUAACAUCAUCUACCUAAGAUCCAAUCACAAAUCCACAUGAUAUUCUCCGUCUUUAGGUAUGAUGUGGUCAAGAAAGAAUCCCGCCAAUUCCUCUUGAAUUGCUCGUAUGCGAUCAUAUGGUAGGAGUUCAUCCCGCAUCUGCGAGAUAUAAUUUAAAGAAGGGUCUCAAUACAUGCAUAUAUAUGAAUAAAACUCAACACAACUGAUGGUAAUAUAUAAAAUAAAAUUGUGAAUAUUAUUUACGUACUUCAAAUUGUUUCUCAGAGAAGCCCCACUCAGAGGUCGAGUGGCGAAUGAACUCACAUACGUAGUAUGCACAUAAAACAGUCCCUUCUUCCUGGUACAAGCACUUUACGAGAAUAGAGUUCAAUCAAACUGAUAAGCAAGCAUGGUAAUGAUAUAUUGAUGAAAAUUUGAAUCAAUUAUAGAUGCGUGGAACUAGCUAGUACUACUUACUAUGGGGUGCGUAAAUCGCAACUCUUUGUUUAGACCGGGAACCUACUUCGUGAUGAUCUAGUGUGAGUAAGGCUAGUCCUGUGUGGACGGAAACCAUGGUGGAAUAGACAAGGCCGCUUCUUCAUGGAUCCCUUGUGUAUGGAGCCCUCCAUGGACUCUCAUAGCCGUUACCAUCCGUGGGUUGAAGUCUACACUAACAUGGACGUACGAUAGCACCAUCUAUGAGAACCAUGCCAAAAAUCGUCAUGUCAACCUCAUGCGUUGGAUCUCCCUACCUUACUCCUUUACUUUACACUUGCAUGUUUUACUUCCCCCUGCUAUACUCUUAGAACUGUAUGUGUAGGGUGUACUUGACUUGCCAAAACUAUCAAAACUGGCCCUCAACUAAAACUGGGAAAAGGCUAAGGUUUUAUCUUGUCAAGUAGUCUAAUCACUCCCCCCCCCUCUAGACAUACUUUCCAUCCUACAUCAACGACAAACUACCUCAGCUUUGGUGCAUUAUCUAGACUCAUCAUGAAAUGUCCACACCGUAUAAUUAGGCUUAAAACCACUCCUCUGCAGGUGUUUAAUCAUUACAUCCUUUAUCCUAUUUUUAUAGUUGUUGCACCCAUGAUAAGGGCACCAGUUUGUUUCCUGGCCAUUUCCAAAUGCGGCUUUCACAAACUCCUUGGUUUUUAUAAACCAUUCUUUGGUCAUCUCUUUCUGACUAGUGUGACCGGAGUACAUCCACGCACAAUCACUCAUCUUGUCUGACUGCUAAAGACACUAUAUAUAUAUAUAAUUCAACAUGUAUAUUCAUUAGUUAAUCUAGUUUGUCAAUUUUAUUACAUCCAUGCAACCUACACGCUAAUAGGUAAAGGUAGGUCCUAAUUCCACCCGAGUAUGUGUAGAGUGAGUACGUUAUCCAUGCUCUACUCCAUUCCGAGACAAAAUUUCGGCACCACCUCCCCGUUGUUCUCCAAAUACACGUCUCGGAAAAAAGGUGAGAGAAUGUGCAUCACGAGAAUAAUGGGGAGGCGUUGUCGAAAUUUUGUCUUGGAAUAGGGUAGAGCAUGGAGACCAUACCCAAUCUACACAUCCUCGAACUGUCCGUGGAAGCGCUGGAAUAUCCGAAUAAGUUACAGUGAUAAAUAUGCAACUGAAUGCAUAUUUAUCGAUGCAACCCUUUCGGAUGGGAGACGCCUAGGUUACACGACUUAGCAUGAAAAUGAAAUCUAGUCACAUGAUUAAAACAACGUAGGAGGUGAAGGUGGAUUCAUAGAUCACCCUCAGCUGUAGAGGAAGUAGCCGAACAACGACGGGAUCACAUACCAAAAACUUCGACGACGAUGACUCCUGUAAAUUUUACCGAGUGAAAAAAAUAGAACAUCACAUCACAUAAAGCAUUGGCAGUUCAUACUAUGAGAAAAUCAUAUUGCUAAUUACAUCUCCUCUUCUCCUCCUCCUCUUCCUCUUCCUCUUCUUCUUCUUCUUCUUCUUCUUCUUUCCUUCUCUUCUUCUUCUUCUUCNNNNNNNNNNNNNNNNNNNNNNNNNNNNNNNNNNNNNNNNNNNUCUUCUUCUUCUUCCUCUUUCCUUGUCUUCUUCUUCUACUUCUUCUUCUUCUUCUUCNNNNNNNNNNNNNNNNNNNNNNNNNNNNNNNNNNNNNNCUUCUUCUUCUUCUUCUUAUUCUUAUUCUUCCUCCUCCUCCUCCUCCUUAUUUUCCUUUUUCCUCUUCUUUCUUCUCCACUUCUCCUCUCCUCCUCCUCCUCUUCUUCUUCUUCUUGUUCUUCUUCCUUCUACUUAUUCUUAUUUUGUUCUUCCUCUUUUUUCUUCUUUCUCUACUUCUUUUAAUUAUGACUAAUUAACUAAAACCUAUCACUAAUCUAAUUUAAUCUAGCACUAAACUACAUAUAUAAUCUAAUAUAACAAUUAAACAACAAAAAGGAAGAAAAAACAAAAACAAAAAGCUCAUCGGAGGGCGGUGGGUCGCCGGAGCGGCACGGUCAACACGAGGCCGAAGACGUGUCGGGGGUUGGGGUGAGUGGCGUCGGGGGCGGUGUAUUAACAGCUGCGUGGGGGAUUGUAAUAGCGAUCUAUCAAUGACAUCUUCCUGUCGCCACACGCAGGUGCAGGUGCCUGGUCUCGUGCCGGGAUGUCAUGUUGUGGUGUCAUCGGGGUGUAGUGUCGGGGUGUCACCGGGGUGUCGGGUCGGGGUGUCGUGAAGGGGNNNNNNNNNNNNNNNNNNNNNNNNNNNNNNNNNNNNNNNNNNNNNNNNNNNNNNNNNNNNNNNNNNNNNNNNNNNNNNNNNNNNNNNNNNNNNNNNNNNNNNNNNNNNNNNNNNNNNNNNNNNNNNNNNNNNNNNNNNNNNNNNNNNNNNNNNNNNNNNNNNNNNNNNNNNNNNNNNNNNNNNNNNNNNNNNNNNNNNNNNNNNNNNNNNNNNNNNNNNNNNNNNNNNNNNNNNNNNNNNNNNNNNNNNNNNNNNNNNNNNNNNNNNNNNNNNNNNNNNNNNNNNNNNNNNNNNNNNNNNNNNNNNNNNNNNNNNNNNNNNNNNNNNNNNNNNNNNNNNUCGGGGUGUCGUGAAGGGGGCUUGAUACGUGUCCAACGUAUCUAUAAUUUUUUAUGGUUCCAUGCUAUUAUCAUGUCAACUUUGGAUGUUUUGUAUGCAUGAAUAUGCUAUUUUAUAUCUUUUUUGGGACUAACCUAUUAACUCAGUGCCAAGUGCCAGUUUGUGUUUUUCCGUGUUUUUUACCUUUUUCAGAGAAGAAUAUUAAAUGGAGUCCAAACGGAAUAAANNNNNNNNNNNNNNNNNNNNNNNNNNNNNNNNNNNNNNNNNNNNNNNNNNNNNNNNNNNNNNNNNNNNNNNNNNNNNNNNNNNNNNNNNNNNNNNNNNNNNNNNNNNNNNNNNNNNNNNNNNNNNNNNNNNNNNNNNNNNNNNNNNNNNNNNNNNNNNNNNNNNNNNNNNNNNNNNNNNNNNNNNNNNNNNNNNNNNNNNNNNNNNNNNNNNNNNNNNNNNNNNNNNNNNNNNNNNNNNNNNNNNNNNNNNNNNNNNNNNNNNNNNNNNNNNNNNNNNNNNNNNNNNNNNNNNNNNNNNNNNNNNNNNNNNNNNNNNNNNNNNNNNNNNNNNNNNNNNNNNNNNNNNNNNNNNNNNNNNNNNNNNNNNNNNNNNNNNNNNNNNNNNNNNNNNNNNNNNNNNNNNNNNNNNNNNNNNCCGUGGCUCCUUUGCCCUACCUCUUCCGUCUAAAAAUUCUCUAAAAAUCCAAAACCACCAGAGAGAUCCACGAAAAUACUUUUCCGCCGCCUUACCUCCGUGGCUCCUUUGCCCUACCUCUUUCGCCUUAAAGCAUUACUCUGUUCGUUAUGAACUCAAUACACUCGAUGCAUGCUGGAUAGUGGUCGAUGUGUGGAGUAAUAGUAGUAGAUGCAGAAAGUAUCGGUCUACUUGUCUCGGACGUGAUGCCUAUAUGUAUGAUCAUUGCCUUAGAUAUUGUCAUGACUUUGCGCGAUUCUAUCAAUUGCUCGACAGUAAUUUGUUCACCCACCAUAAUACUUGCUAUCAUGAGAGAAGCCUCUAGUGAACACUAUGGCCCCCCGGGUCUACUUCACAUCAUAUUUUCAGAUCUACACUUUUACUUUGUUGCACUUUCCACUUUCAGAUCUCACCUUGCAAAUAAUCGCGAAGGGAUUGACAACCCCUUUAUAGCGUUGGGUGCAAGUUUGUUUGUUUUUGCGCAUAGACAUUGGUGCCUCAUCUUGAUACUCCUACUGGAUUGAUACCUUGGUUCUCAAACUGAGGGAAAUACUUAUCGCUACUGUGCUGCAUCACCCUUUCCUCUUCAAGGGAAAAACCAACGCAAGCUCAAGAGGUAGCAAGAAGAAUUUCUGGCGUCGUUGCCGGGGAGGAUCAAGUCAAGAAUAGUCUCCCGUCAACGUGCCAAUUUUUGGCGCCGUUGUCGGGGAGUAUUCAAAGUGAAGCAUAUCCAAGUAACUAUCGCAAACUCAUCUCUUGCAUUUGCUUUAUUUUCCUUUUGCCUCUCGUUUUCCUCUUCCCCACUUAUGAAAAAACCAAAAUUUACAAAAAUAUUUACCUUUUUCGUUCACCCUUUUCUUUCGCUUGCUUUCUGUUCCCUUGUGUGCUUGUCUGCUUGCUGAGUCACCAUGACUGAAAACACCAAAUUGUGUGACUUCUAGAAUACUAAUUGUCGUGGUUUUGUCACGGCAGAUGUCCUCGUACAAGGACUUAGGUGUGAGGCCAUCGCAACCAUGUGGCGGCUUGAAGGGGUUGGUCGGAAUCGAGAGACACGAGUUUACCCAGGUUCGGCCCCUUCGAUGGAGGUAAAAGCCUAUGUACUGCUUGUGUUUCAUUGAUGAAGAUGAUGAUCUCGAUUACAAGGGUGUGGAAUCGCUACCUCUAAUCUCGAGGGUGUCUAAUAUAUCUCUCUCUUGACUUAUUUGUCUAAGAUCUGACUAUUGAGACCUCUAAAAAACCUAACCCUCUUGGGGUGCCUCGUCCCUCCUUAUAUAAGCUGAAGGGGCGAGUUACAUAUAGAGUCCAAGCCGGAUUUAGGCUUAGCAUAUUAUGACUCCCCAUCACGGGACUCUCUUCGUGGGCUUCUGAGUCCCGGGCGACUUACGGACGGAUUGCUGAGUCCCGGGCGACUUACGGACGGAUUGCUGAGUCCCGGGCGGCUUACAAACGGAUUGCUGAGUCAGGGGCGGCUCAGGACCGGGCUGCUUAGGAUCAGGCUUCUAAGGACCGGACUUCUUAGGACCGGGCUGCUCAGGACCGGGCUUCUCAGGAUGGGGCUGCUCAGGACCGGGCUCCUCAGGACCGGGCUGCUCAGGACCGGGCUGCUAAGGACCAGGCUUCUCAGGACCGGGCUGCUCAGGACCGGGCUUCUUAGCAUCGGGCUACUUAGGACCGGGCUUCUCUUCGAGACUCAUCUUCAGGGAAUCCGUGUGCCGGGUCAUACCACGAGGUAUAUCCCCAACAUUAGCCCCCAGGUUAGCUUGAAUUUAUUCAUGGUAAGAUCCUGAAAUAAGAAUAGCAAAUAUGCGAAGUGACCGGUUCUCUCCAUUAAUCGGUUUAUAAAGUAGCUCCUCAGAAAUCCAGUUUCCUCAUAAAUCCGGCCUCUUCUUCAUAUGAAUGAGUCGUCUUCACAAUCAUCUUGCAGAUCCAUGUCCUUUGCAAAAUAAGUACAUAUGCCAUUGAGUCGGCCUCCAAUGCUUUGGAUUGAAAAAAUUUGGGGAAUAAGAAACCCACACAAUGUUGAACCAGCUUCUCUUGCUUCGUCGGGUUAUGAUUGACAAUGGCGAGUCAUGAUCGCUAAUGGCGGGUCAUGAUUAUUGGUAAUGCCCCGUCAAACAACUGAACUUCAAUUGACUAUUUCCAAUUAUUGGGAAUAAAGAAAAUCCGUGUGAUGUUGAGCCGGUCUCCCAAUACUCCACCUUCAUGAUGAAAUGAAAUGUGCUCUUUAAUUUUAUGAUAUAUCCAUAUUACCUGUAGCCCCCAAGUGCCGGGUUGUCUUGCCUGCAGCAACCUGGGACUUUUAGAAAUUUUGAUCUGAAUAGUGUAGCCCCCAAGUGAUGAGUUGAUUGCUUGCGACGACUCGGGACUUCCACGUUCUUCUCCUUUGAAAAUAAAACAUCAUAUGAUGUAGCCCCCAAAGGGUCGGGUCUUUAUGCAAUAUUGAGCAGGGACUUUGUAGAUCUGUCUAUGUAAACUUCAGCGGCAAUAUGUAGCCCCCAAAGGCCGGGUCAUUAUAAAAAUGAUGAGCCGGCUCUUCCUUGAAUCCAUACUUGAACAAAGAGCGAUAUGUAGCCCCCCAGGGCCGGGUUAUCUCCUUGAGGUAGCCGGGUCUGUUGAUGAUGUGAUGAUUUGAAAAGCGGAUUGCAUUAGCCCCCAAGUGUCAUGGUGCAUGCUUGCAGCAACAUGGGACUUCCAUACCUUGAUGUAAUCUUGAUUUGAAUAAUGUAGCCCCCAAGUGUCGGGUUGUGUGCCUGCAGUGACUCGGGGCUAUUCCUCCCAUUGUAGAAUAAAAUCAUAUCCACUCUGUGAGCUGAUGAUGCCUUUGUGAUAAAAGAAAUCCUUGACCAUGGUUUGCAAUGUAACCCGACAAAUAUAUCCUUGAGAAAUCCAUAUGUUUGAGAAAUCCAUAAGUGUUGUAGUUUACUACAGAGCACAAGUUGAAGAAAUCCAAGGGCCGGUCAAUUAAGUGACUCGGCAUUAUAUGUGAUGGGGCGGCUCUUCGACAAUAGUCAAUUCUUCUAAGCUGGCUUAAUACCCCAAUCACUUAACUCUGGUUAUGAUAAACCAUGAUGAAAAUCCAGCUAAACUGGCCAUUCAAAGAUUUAUUUGCACCUGCAAGAAUGUAUGCUUUAACCCGGUUUUGAAGACCGGCAUGAUAUGUAUGUAUGAUGUAUGAUGCAAUGCAAAAUGAUGCAUGUAUAUGACAAAAUAUUGCUGGUUUAUGAGAUUUGAAUCUUACUUCAAUGAAACUAGCUUGUUAGCCACUGGUUUAUCCUCGCUCUCUGUAAGCCGGCACUCGCGACCAAUCGAUGUUUUAACCUCGAUAGUUCAGGGUCCAACUGGAUUGACAUAUCGAGAGUACAUGGGAUUCGGAGUAGCAUCAUGCAGACAGGCAGGUUUAACCAAGUUUCAAAGAAGGCGGCUUAAUAGCCCAUGGAAUAUCCUCGCUUUCUGUAAGCCGGCACUCGCGACCAAUCGAUGUUUUAACCUCGAUAGUUCAGGGUCCAACUGGAUUGACAUAUCGAGAGUACCCGGGAUUCGGAGUAGCAUCAUGCAGACAGGCAGGUUUGACCAAGAAGGUGGCUUAAUGGCAAAUGGAGUAUCCUCGCUUUCUGUAAGCCGACACUCACGACCAAUCGAUGUUUUAACCCGGAUAAGUUCAGGGUCCAUAUGGAUUGACUUAUCAUGAAACGGAGUACACGGGAUUCGGAGUAGCAUCACGCAGAUAGGAAGGUUUAACCAUGAACUCUUGCCAUUAAGCCGGGCACCCAUGUUUGUACUGCGCAUCAUGGCGACUCGUCCUCUUGGGCGAUUUUAAAAUGCCCGCCAAUGAAGCAAUAGCCCUUGGAGCCGGGUUAUCUUGCCUGUAAUGACCUGAUGUUCUUGAAUUAUUCAGCCUGGUUGGAUCUGGCGAGCCAUGUAUUUAUAGCCCCCGAGUCUUAAGUCGACUCAAGGAGGCGGCUUGAGAGUCUUCAUACUUGACUGCGGCAUAAACCGGAGGAGAAAAAUGCUGGUACCCGCUCCAUCUGAUGUGUUGAUGUAGAUUGGACCGUGGGGACGACGGCUUGUGCACAUCUGUUGGGCGGCUUUAUAAGUGAGCACUGCACGAUAUGUUGAUGUAGACGUGGAAGUCAGCCGCGACGUUUGAAACCAGCUUGGUAACACAACCGAGAUAAUAGUUUGUGGCGUUGUAAGCCUUCUUAGUUGCGCUGACGUGAGUGUAAGUCGUCUCGGUUAUGCGGACGUGACAGUUGGCCGCAUCAUUUGUAAAUAGGUGCUCGCAGCGAGUUGUCCGUCAAUUAUGAACUGGCAUGGACGGCGAGUUGGCCGCGGUAUUGUAUGCCGGCGCAUGAGUCCGUUGAGCAAAGCCAGUAAUCUUAUAUCACAUUUGUAAUGAGUACUUGUCCUGCGUAGAAAAAUAAUGUAGACAAAGUAAUUGUCCUUUUGAAAGAAUUAGACAUACUGAUAAAAUAUACUGGAUGAAUAUCACGUGAUAUAUUUGACUUAGCCUGUUUAGCUGCCCCAUUCUAGAUGAACUACGGGUGGCACUUGAUGCACGCACAGGGCACGAUCCAUCCAUCAGCCAUCCACCAUCUAUCCAUGCACACAAUUUAUGCACGGGAAAGAUUCAUCAAGGACCCAAGUAGCCAAGGGAGCCGCACACAUCAGCCAGACACGAGGCGAGCGGGAAUAGCGCAGUAGCAGGAACUGGAUGAAGGUGAGGCCGUGAUGAUGUAGGGUGGAGUUGACUACGUCACGGCGGGUCAUGAUGUAUCGGGCCAGGCGAGGCAAAGCCGGCCGACUCGUCGCGCGGCGACGGUGGAUGGUGCAGCGGCGACUAUGGGCACAUCGGCGGCUCAUGGCAUGGCGGAGGAUGUAAGCGGACGGCGGCUCAAGGCACAUCGGCGUGUUGCGGCGGCAGCGAGGCAGAGCGUGGUGAAGCAGGGGCGAACGAGGCCGAGGUCGAAGUGGUGAGGAGUUGAUGAGGCGCGGUUGAUGCAACAUCUAUGGCGGAGGGUAGCAGCGGGAGCAGGGCAAGGCGACUUGAGGCGAAGCUGAGGUGGGUGGCUCGGAGACCGAGCCGACUGGGGCAUGACAGAGCAAGACAACGACACGACCAGCGCGGGCAUUAUGCUCACACGGGGGCGGCUCAAGCGACGAGUCUCGCGACGAGUGCGCGGCGCUGACGGCGAAGCAGCGGCUGAGCCGGCUAGGGGCGACUCGCGGCGAGGGCGAGAUGAGCCAGAAGGAGGCGACUCGGGUCGUGGCGUUGCCCGCCCGCAACAGAGGUGGAGCUCGUAACAACGACUCGGUCGGGGCGGCUCAGAGCUCUCAGCCAUGGUAGAGGCGAAGCGAAACCAUUGCAGAGGCAGAGCUCGCGGCGGUAGCUCAGGUGGGGCGGCUCGGCGGCGUUGGUUCGUGGCAGAGACGGAGCUCGCGACGGCGGUUCGUCCGGGACGCUCGGCGACGUCGUCCCGUGGUGGAGGCGAAGCUUACGACGGCGGUUCGUCCGGGACGCUCGGCGACGUCGUCCCGUGGUGGAGGCGAAGCUUACGACGGCGGCUCGGCCGGGACGGCUCAACAAUGUCAAUCCAUGAAGGAGGCAGAAACAGCGGCGGCGGCUCAGGGCGCGGACGACGGCUGGCAUCACCAGUUCUUCAAAGUGCAACGACGACUCGAGGCUGACGUCGAGCGGCAACACCCGCGGCCGAUCACAUCAGCCCAUUAACGAUUGAUUUGAGAUGACUCGGAGGCGGCGACUCGAGGCCACCUCAGACCGAAGAGCAGAUGACUCGCCCUUGCCGCUCCAGCCGGCCUCCGUACAGAUCGCUUUGGGUGGUGGCGAGCCGUCAAGCACGACAGCAAUAUAGGCGGGACGCAGUGGCGGCUCGGCCGGGGCGGUUGACAAGACGACAGCGGAGGACAGCGGCGGGUCGAGGCGAGGUGACCGGCGGCUUGGAAACGAGGCCGACCCUGAGCACAAUUGAGAGAGGCGCCCGCGGAGGCGGGGUGCGGCCAUGGCAACGAGAGCAGCAAACACGACGGAGUCAUCACGAUAAGGCGGAUCGAGGCAAAGGGGGCGACGUGUGAGGAGCUUGAUCCGCGUCGUCGCCCCAAAAUUCCUGACCACAGCCUUGCUCCGAGUGGGCAGAAGUAGCAGUAGUUUUACUGUAUAUGUGCUCCUUCUAAUUCUUUUUAUGCGCAUAACCUUCAUCCUCUAAUCCUUAUGAAGACCAGUACUUCUCAUCUCCUGCACCUUCUGAUUGGGGCCUGGGAAGCUUCUUCCUUAUCCUUCGUGUAUACCAGAAUCACAACAACAAGAAGCUAGUUAACACAUUGUAAGUAAACGCGUCAACAAGGGUGAGCGCGGCGAGGAGACAACUCGCGCAAAGCGAUGCACGGGUCGAGAAACGGCGCAACGAACGCGACGGGGCAGGUCGGCGAGGAUGCAGCUCGCGCGGGAACGGCUCAGGGUGCGGCGGGGGCGGCGAGGAUGCACCAGUUGAUCGUGUUGGAUGUUUCUGAUCCCCCAGGCUUGGACGGUUGUAUGUUGAGCAGCGACGAUGACUCAUAAAUUGCGUCGCUGUAAUCCGACUCGCACAAGGGCUGUUUUUGACGCGCCUGCUUCACUUGAUGGAAUCGAAUCAAACGGAAUAGAUCUGGGUCUCGGUGAGAAUUAGACAUCAAGCGCACAGUCCGCCAUGAAAAAGGAGUUGACGUAAAUCUUUCUGAGUCAGCUCUUCCUCGUUCGAUAAAUCGCGAACUCCUUAACCCUGAUAAUUUCCCUUCAAGAACACAAAAUCAUCGUGCGACAAGCCCCACGGUGGGCGUCAACUGUCGUGGUUUUGUCACGGCAGAUGUCCUUGUACAAGGACUUAGGUGUGAGGCCAUCGCAACCAUGUGACGGCUUGAAGGGGUUGGUCGGAAUCGAGAGACGCGAGUUGACCCACGUUCGGCCCCUCCGAUGGAGGUAAAAACCUACGUCCUGCUUGUGUUUCAUUGAUGAAGAUGAUGAUCUCGAUUACAAGGGUGCGGAAUCGCUACCUCUAAUCUCGAGGGUGUCUAAUCUAUCUCUCUGUUGACUUAUUUGUCUAAGAUCUCACUAUUGAGACCUCUAAAAAACCUAAACCUCUUGGGGUGCCUCGCCCCUCCUUAUAUAAGAUGAAGGGGCGAGUUGCAUAUAGAGUCCAAGCCGGAUUUAGGCUUAGCAUAUUAUGACUCCCCAUUACGGGCCUCUCUUCGUGGGCUUCUGAGUCCCGGGCGACUUACGGACGGAUUGUGAGUCCCGGGCGACUUACGUACGGAUUGCUGAGUCCCGCGCGACUUACAAACGGAUUGUUGAGUCCCGGGCGGCUCAGGACCGGGCGGCUUAGGACCGGGCUGCUUAGGACCGGGCUUCUCAAGACCGGGCUUCUUAGGGCCGGGCUGCUCAGGACCGGACUACUCAGGACCGGGCUUCUUAGGACCGGGCUGCUCAGGACCGGGUUUCUCAGGACCGGGCUGCUCAGGACCGGGCUUCUCAGGACCGGGCUGCUCAGGACCGGGCUACUUAGGACCGGGCUUCUCAAGACCGGGCUUCUUAGGACAGGGCUGCUCAGGACCGGGCUGCUCAGGACCGGGCUUCUCAGGACCGGGCUUCUCAGGACCGGGCUGCUCAGGACCGAGCUUCUCAGGACCGGGCUACUCAGGACCGGGCUUCUGAGGACCGGGCUGCUCAGGACUAGGUUACUCAGGACUGAGCUUCUCAGGACCGGGCUGCUCAGGACCGGGCUGCUCAGGACCGGGCUACUCAGGACCGGGCUUCUUAGCAUCGGUAUACUUAGGAUCGGGCUUCUCUUCGAGACUCAUCUUCAGGGAAUCCGUCUGCCGGGUCAUACCACGAGGUAUAUGCCCAACAUUAAUAAUAAUGAUUUUAUUAGUACUCCGAUUGCUCCCGUUACUAGUACGGAAUCAUAUGAAAUCAAUGCUGCCUUGCUGAAUCUUGUUAUGAAAGAGCAAUUUUCCGACCUUCCUAGUGAAGAUGCCGCAUGAUACGUCUCCAUCGUAUCUACUUUUCCAAACUCUUUUGCCCUUGUUUUGGACUCUAAUUUGCAUGAUUUGAAUGGAACUAACCCGGACUGAUGCUGUUUUCAGCAGAAUUGCCAUGGUGUUGUUUUUGCGCAGAAAUACAAGUUCUCGAAAUGACUUGGAAAUUUACGAGGAUUUUUUGUGGAAUAUAUAAAAAAUACUCGCGCAAGAAUCGCCUAGAGACGUGGAGCCAGGAGGCCACAAGCACAGGAGGCGUGACCCCCUUGGCCGCGCCUGGCAGGCUUGUGAGCCCCUCGUGGCUCUGCCGCCUCCAGUUCCAGCUCUAUAUAUUCUCUCUCGCCCGGAAAAAAAUCAGAGAGAAGAGUUCAUCGCGUCUUACGAUACGGAGGCGCCGCCACCACCUGUUCUUCCUCUGGAGGGCAGAUCUGGAGUCUGUUUUGGGCUCCGGAGAGGGGAAAUCGUCGUCGUCGUCAUCACCAACCUUCCUUCAUCGCCAAUUCCAUGAUGCUCUUUACCGUUCGUGAGUAAUCUCAUCGUAGGCUUGCUGGACGGUGAUGGGUUGGAUGAGAUCUAUCAUGUAAUCGAGUUAGUUUUGAUGGGGAUUGAUCCCUAGUAUCCACUAUGUUCUGAGAUUGAUGUUGCUACUACUUUGCUAAGCUUAAUGCUUGUCACUAGGGCCCGAGUGCCAUGAUUUCAGAUCUGAACCUAUUAUGUUUUCAUCAAUAUAUGUGUGUUCUUGAUCCUAUCUUGCAAGUUGUAGUCACCUACUAUGUGUUAUGACCCGGCAAUCCCGGAGUGACAAUAGCCGGAACCACUCCCGGAGAUGACCAUAGUAUGAGGAGUUCAUGUAUUCACAAAGUGCUAAUGCUUUGUUCCGGUUCUAUAUUAAAAGGAGAACCUUAAUAUCCCUUAGUUUCCAUUAGGACCCCGCUGCCACGGGAGGGAUGGAAAAUAGAUGUCAUGCAAGUCCUUUUCCAUAAGCACGUAUGACUAUAUACGGAAUGCAUGUCUAUAUUACAUUGAUGAACUGGAGCUAGUUACAUAUCUCCCCAUGUUAUAACUGUUACAUGAUGAAUGUCAUCCGGCAUAAUUAUCCAUCACCGAUACAAUGCCUACGAGUCUUUUCCUACUGGUCCUUGCUACGUUACUUUGCCGCUAUUGCUGUCGCUGCUCCAACUGUUACCGCUACUGAUGUCACUAUUGCUACUGUUACCAUUGCUACCGUUGCUAUCACACUACUUUGCCUCUGAAACUUUGUUGCAGAUACUAAGUCUUUCAGGUGUGGUUGAAUUGACAACUCAACUGCUAAUACUCUAGAAUAUUAUUUUGCUUCCCCUUGUGUCGAAUCAACAAAUUUGGGUUGAAUACUCUAUCCUCUAAAACUGUUGCGAUCCCCUAUACUUGUGGGUUAUCAAGACUAUUUUCUGGCGCCGUUGCCGGGGAGGCCUAGCUCUAUUCUCUGAGUCACUUGGGAUUUACGUCUCUUGAUCACUAUGAGGAAUCCGAGAGAUCCAAAAACUAAAGUCUUGCCCUCAACUAUGAGGACAGGUAAGGAACUGUCAUCUAGCUCUGCACUUGAUUCACCUUCAGUUAUGAGUAAGUUUGCGACACCAUCGCGUACUAGAAAUUUUGAUGUGUCGCUUGUGCUUGAUGAUGCAACUUCUGCUAUCCAUGAUGCUUGUGAUGAUGCUUUGCUUGAUACUGCUUUGCCACUAGGUGCAUUCCUUGAUGCAUAAAUUGCUAGAGUUGCUGCUGAAUGUGGUGAUACUUCUGAAACUGCUAAAAUUAUUGAAGUAGAACCUGUUGUUUCACCUGUUAUAACUAGCUCUCCUAGAUAUGAAUUGCCUGAUAUACCUGAGGGUUAUGUUAUGGAGGGAGAGGUAGCUGAGGACUUUCUUGCUUGUAAGGAUAGCUAUGAUCUUGAGAAUUUACUGCGCAAGUGGAAGGAAAAAUCUCUGAAUGCUAGAAUGAAAUACGAUCCUAAGUUUGCUACUUCACCCAUCUUUGUAACUGAUAAGGAUUAUGAAUUCUCUGUCGAUCCUGAGUUAAUCACUUUGGUCGAAUCUGAUCAUUUUCAUGGUUAUGACUCUGAAACGGUUGUAGCACAUCUUACCAAGCUGAAUGAUAUAGCCACCCUAUUCACGAGUGAGGAAAAGAUUCGCCAUUACUAUAUCCUUAAGUUGUUUCCUUUCUUGCUAAAGGGUGAGGCUAACACUUGGUUUACUUCUCUUGCUCUUGGUUGUGUGCGUAGUCCCCAGGAUAUGAUCUACUACUUCUUUGAGAAAUAUUUUCCUGCCCAUAAGAAACAAGCUGCCUUGCAGGAUAUAUAUAACUUUGUGCAGGUUGAAAAAGAGAGUCUCCCACAAGCUUGGGGGAGGCUUGUCCAGUUACUGAAUGCUUUGCCUGGUCACCCUCUUGAGAAGAAUGAAAUACUUGAUAUCUUUUAUAAUGGACUAACCGAUGCUUCUACGGACCACCUAGAUAGUUGUGCUGGUUGUGUUUUCAUGGAACGAACUGUGGAACAAGCUGAAACUCUAUUGAAUAAUAUCUUGAGCAAUGAUAAUGCUUGGACUAUUCCCGAACCACCACCGAAGCCAACUCCGAAGAAAAGAGGUAUUCUAUUCCUCAGUCCUGAAGAUAUGCAAGAAGCCAAGAAAUCUAUGCAAGAGAAGGCAUUAAAUCUAAAGAUGUUAAGAAUCUACCACCUAUCGAAGAGAUCCAUGGUCUUGAUAACCCGACACAGGUAGUAGAGGUAAAUUCUCUUCGUAGAUUCAAUGAGAGUGAUAUUCCCUUUGAUAAACCUGCUAGAUUAUGCUUAGAUGAUUUUGAUAACUUUGUUGUCAAACAACGAAGUUUCAAUGAUUAUGUUAGCAGACAAUUGGAACAGAAUGCUCGUAUGCUUAGUCAUUUAAGUGCUUGUGUGGAUAGAAACGUCAAUGAUCUUAAGCUUUUGAGUAAACACGCCUCUAUGGUCACUACUCAAGUAGAACAAGUACUUAAGGCUCAAAAUGACUUGCUCAAUGAGUUGAAUGACAAUUCUGUUAGAGUCGUCACUAGAGGUGGUAGAAUGACUUAGGAACCUUUGUAUCCUGAGGGCCAUCCUAAGAGAAGUGAACAAGAUUCUCAAGGAGUUAGCACGGAGGCACCUAGUCAUCCUAGUAAUAGGAAGAAAAGGAAAGAUGAUAGGAACUUGCAUUCUAGCAAACAUGCUGCCGUUACACCUGAGAAUCCAAAUGGUAUCUCUAAUUCUGAUGCCGAAACACAAACUGGUGAUGAACAUGAGCCUAAUGAUAAUAUCGAUAGUGAUGUUCAGGAUGAUGCUCAACCUAGUAAUGAUAAGGAUGUGGAGAUUGAACCUAGUGUUGAUCUUGAUAACCCACAACCUAAGAACAAGAGAUACGAUAAGAAUGACUUCAUUGCUAGGAAGCAUGGUAAAGAAAGAGAACCAUGGGUUCAGAAACCCAUGCCCUUUCCUCCCAAACCAUCCAAGAAAAAGGAUGAUGAGGAUUUUGAGCGCUUCGUUGAAAUGAUUAGACCUGUCUUUCUGCAAAUGCGUUUGACAGAUAUGCUCAAAAUGUCUCCUUAUGCUAAGUACAUGAAGGAUAUUGUGACUAACAAAAGGAAGAUACCCGAGGUUGAGAUUUCCACCAUGCUUGCCAAUUACACCUUCAAGGGUGGAACUCCUAAGAAACUAGGUGAUCCCGGAGUGCCCACUAUACCAUGCUCCAUUAAAGGAAAUUAUGUUAGAACCGCUUUAUGCGAUCUUGGAGCUGGUGUUAGUGUUAUGCCUCUCUCUCUCUUUAUCGUAGACUUGAAUUGGAUAAGUUGACACGCACUGAAAUCUCCUUGCAAAUGGCCGACAAAUCAACUGCUUCCCCUAUCGGCAUUUGCGAGGAUGUGCCUGUUGUGGUUGCUAACGUUACUAUCUUAACGGACUUUGUUAUUCUGGAUAUUCCCGAGGAUGAUGCCAUGGCGGUCAUCCUUGGAAGACCCUUUUUAAACACUGCAGGGGCUGUUAUUGAUUGCAACAAAGGCAAUGUCACUUUCCAUGUUAAUGGUAAUGAGCACACGGUGCACUUUUCAAAGAAACAAUAUCGAGUACAUUGCAUCAAUGCUAUUGAAAAAACUUCAUCGAUUCUUAUUAGGAGCUUUGAAAACCCUAUACCUACUGUCAAGAUGAAGUAUGACUUACUUGUUGGGGAUAUGCACAUCCCCGUUGAGGUAACAUAGUGAUUAUUCGAAAAUUCUCCGGUUUUAUGCGAUUCAAAAAAAGUUUGUCAAGGAGACUUGAUCAACCUCAUUGACAGAUUUCUUUUGAUGACCAUGAGAUGUAUGAAUCUAGGAGUCACAACCCUUUGUUCCGAACUUUUACUUUUUGUUGUUUAGAAGAAAAAUGAUAGAUUUAGCUUUAUUUUCCUGUUUUGUGCUUUUUGCGUCCCUUAGAAAAGUGUCCCAAAAAUAAAAGUUCUUCAAAUGCCCUAAAAAUCAAGUAUGAUUUUUUCUGGAUUUUUUGAAAAAUUCUGAGACACAGAGCUAGUCAGGGGGAUGCACCAGUGGGCCACAAGCCCAGGAGGCGUGGCCACCCCCUGGCCGUGCCUGGCAGGCUUGUGGGCCCCACGUGGCCCCCUCCACUUAUUCCAGCUCCCAUCUCCUUCUCCUACCUCCAGAAAAAAUCAUUCCACAACUCAAACCCGUGUUCUUGCUCUUCUUGCUGCGUUUUUCGAUCUCCUUGUGCAAAACCCCAUUCACCAAACUGUUUUGGGGGAAUUGUUCCUUGGUAUGUGACUCCUCCAUUGGUCCAAUUAGUUUUUUCUCUAGUUCUUUAUCCGUUGCAUAUUUUUGCUGCCUUGGUGACCCUGUUCUUGAGCUUUGCACGCUAAUUUUAGUUGGUCCCAAGUAGUUUUGAUGCAUGAUACGACCUCUAGGCACUUGAAGGAGUAGUUGCUAUGAGUUUUGUUGAGCCUUGUUCACUUUUCUUUUGUGUCACUAAAAAUUUCAGAAAAGGAAGAUGUUCAGGAGAAACUAUCAUGAUGGUUCCUCAAGGAAAAGGGGUCCCCGUCUCUCGAUUCGGGAGCCUGAUCCUUACCAACCAAGGAACGCACAUGUACAACCAUGUGAAUGGCCUUCUGAUGAAUUCAUGAUUGAUGCAGGUUUCAAAGACGAGUUUGAUACAUGUGUUCACAACGCCGGGCUCGAAGAAUUGAUCUCCAACAAAUGCGAACAUUAUACUACCCUCACUGCCUCUUUUGUUCGUAGAUUCAAAUUUUCAGUUGGCCAUGACGCAUCCAUACUGUUUGAUCUGUAUGACGAAUUGUAUACCAUGGAUUUAGAGGAUUUCAAUAGAAUUUGCAAGAUACCUGAUUGGGGUAGUCUCAGUGAUCCUCCUAAGUCUUCGGUUAGAGAUUUUAUCUCUAGUAUAACUGUUGGAGAAACUAGAGAUAUUACGCAGGCUACCAUGGGGAGCAUUCAUUUUCCUGCCUUGCAUUACUUUGCCCUCUCCAUAGGUAGAUGCAUUAACGGCAAGAUUGAGCAUUGUCACCUCUGCGCACCUGACCUUAGUAUUCUUAAGAGCGCAGUAACGGGUGAUAGAAGUUUCAACAUGGGAGCUAUAAUAGAGAGGAGGCUAAAUAAUAAUGCUAAUGAAGGGGAUUUCUUUGGUGGGAUCUAUGCCACUCGCAUAGCAAAUUUUCUUGGAGUACCCAUCCGCGAAGGAGAUCCCCGCUCCAUACAACUUUCCUUGAUCGCGCCGCUAUGACAUGUUAUUAGUUCCUUGAGAGGGAUAAUGAAUUCCUCCUAUACCGGUUAAUAUUUAACCGACAACGUAUUUUCCAUAUUACCCUUCCUGCUCCUGCCUUCUUUGACUUUCAGGUAAAACGGAGAUAUUACAUAACCAGAGGAGAGGCACAGGAGUAUGAGAGGGAGGCAAAGGCUGCUCGCCUCCGUGAGGCAGCUAUUCAGGCGGUAGCUGCCUGAUGACCCACAAGUAUAGGGUAUCUAUCGUAGUCCUUUCGAUAAGCAAGAGUGUUGAACCCAACGAGGAGCAGAAGGAUGUGACAAGUGGAUUUCAGCAAGGUAUUCUCUGCAAGCACUGAAAUUAUCGGUAACAGAUAGUUGUGUGAUAAGAUGAUUCGUAGCAAGUAGCAAGUAGCAAAAGUAAUAACGGUGCAGCAAAGUGGCCCAAUCCCUUUUGUAGCAAGGGACAAGCCUGGAGAAACUCUUAUAGGAGGUAAAAUGCUUCCGAGGACACAUGGGAAUUUCUGUCAAGCUAGUUUUCAUCAAGUUCAUAUGAUUCGCGUUCGCUACUUUGAUAGUUUGAUAUGUGGGUGGACCGGUGCUUGGGUGCUGCCCUUACUUGGAAAAACCUCCCACUUAUGAUUAACCCCUCUCGCAAUCAUCCACAACUACAAAAGAAGAAUUAAGAAAAAGUCUAACCAUAGCAUUAAACUAGUGGAUCCAAAUCAGCCCCUUACGAAGCAAUGCAUAAACUAGGGUUUAAGCUUCUGUCACUCUAGCAACCCAUCAUCUACUUACUACUUCCCAAUGCCUUCUUCUAGUCCCAAAUAAUGGUGAAGUGUUAUGUAUUCGACGUUCACAUAACACCACUAGAGGAAAAACAACAUGCAACACAUCAAAAUAUCGAACGAAUACCAUUUCACAUAACUACUUAUAGCAUGACUUAUCCCAUGUCCUGAGGAACAAAAGUGACUACUCACAAAACAUAAUAAUAUUCAUGACCAGAGAGGUAUUGAAUAGCAUCAAGGAUCUGAACAUAUAAUCUUCCACUGAGUAAUCCAACUAGCAUCAAGUACAAAGAGUAAUUAACACUACUAGCAACCUUACAAGUACCAAUCAGAGUCGCGAGACGGAGAUUGGUUACAAGAGAUGAAUAGGGUCUGGAGAUGAGAUGGUGCUGAUGAAGAUGUGGAUGGUGAUGAGUCCCCUCCGAUGAGAGGAGUGUUGGUGAUGAUGAUGGCGACGAUUUCCCCCUCCGGGAGGGAAGUUUCCCCGGCACGACGACCCUACCGGAACUCUAGAUUGGUUCUGCUCAAGUUCCGCCUCGUGGCAGCGGCGAUUCCUCCCGAAAGCCUCCUCUUGAUUUUUUUUGGAACGAAACCCUCCUUACAGCAAAAGAGGGGGGCCAGAGGGCCAACAGGGAGCCCACAAGCCCCCUAGGCGUGACCAGGGGGUAGGCCGCGCCUAGCAGGCUUGUGGCCUCCUACUGGCUCCCCUCUGGUACUUCUUCGACCCAGUAUUUUUUAUAAAUUCCAAAAUAAAUCCUCGUUGAUUUUCAUGGCUUUUGGAGUUGCACAGAAUAGGUAUCUCAAACUUGCUCCUUUUUCAGGCCAGAAUUCCAGCUGCCGACAUUCUCCCUCUUCAUGUAAACCUUGCAAAAUAAGAGAGAAAAGGCAUACGUAUUGUACCGUGAAGUGUAAUAACAGCCCAUAAAGCGAUAAAUAUCAACAUAAAAGCAUGAUGCAAAAUGGACGUAUCACUACCGCGCUCCCGUACAACCCCGAUUAUGAUUUUGGAUAUAGCCCGGACUAGCCGUGGGAGUAGUCCAACUUAGGCCAAAAGCCUAAGCUUGGGGGAGUACGUGUUUCUCACCGACUUUAUAUUCAUGCUUACACUUUCACUUUGUUAGUCAGUGUUCACACUUUGCCACUGUAUCAUCCAUGCUAGUUUAUUUCUUUUUCUCGCUUUCUUCUCAUGUGUUUGUUUAGUUUGAGAAAAACAAAUCAAAUUACUUGUAAGCUUGCUUUCCAGCUUGCUUAGUGGUGUUUAAAAAAAGGAAAACCCAAAAAGAUUUCCCGUUCUUCUUUUGCUUGUUGAGAGCUUUCCCGUGUAAAUAGUUUUCUUUGUCUUUGGGUCAAGGUAGAAGACCAUGGUUACAAUGUUUAGUGGCUCUCGCAUGCAUAUCUGUUUAUCCGUCAAAGAGCCAUAUUACUUUGUCUUCUUCUCUAUGUUUGCUUGCAGAUUCCAGCUUAGUCCAAUGCAUGGACACUCUCAUUAUGAUUCACAUCAUUCGGCCGUGCAAGUGAAAGGCAAUAAUGACGAUAUACGAUGAAGUGACUGAGCCUGGAAAAGCUGGUAUGAACUCGAUCUCUUUUGUUUUUGUAGAUAUGACUAGCUCAUCGUUCCUGAUUCAGCUUUUUUAUGAGAGAAACAUGUUUGCAAUGACAACUUAGAGAUCAUAGUUUCUGAUGCCAUGCUUAAUUAGCUAGGAGAUUAUAAUGGUUUGUCUUGGAUGCCAACAUGAAUUUCAAGAUGAUUAUGAUGUAGUAUGAUAGGAUGGUAUCCUCCUUUGAAUGAUUUAAGUGGCUUGACUUGGCACAUGUUUACGCAUGUAGUUGAAACAAAAUCAACAUAGCCUCUAUGAUAUUCAUGUUUAUGGUGAUUUAUGUCCUACUCAUGCUUGCACUCAAUGUUGGUUAAUUUCAAUGCGUAUUGAUAACUGUUGUCGCUCUCUAGUUGGUCGCUUCCCAAUCUUUUGCUAGCCUUCACUUGUACUAAGCGGGAAUACUGCUCGUGCAUCCACUUCCAUAAACCCAAAGUUGUUCCAUAUGAGUCCACCAUACCUACCUAUAUGCGGUAUCUACCUGCCGUUCCAAGUAAAUUUGCAUGUGCCACUCUCUUAACCUUCAAGUAAUUAUCUGUUUUGCAUUCCCGAACCGCUCAUGUGGUGACAAGGGGCGAUCAGUAUCUUCCAUGCUAGGCGUGUUAUCCUCGAUACGUGUUUAUUCACUAUCACUCACGAGAAAGGGGCCGGUAAUUGGAAUGCCCAGUUCCAUUCUCAAAUCGAAAAGAUAAUUGCAAACAAAACUCCCCCUGGAUUGUUGUUGGUAUGGACGACACCUUAGGAUUCGGCUAGUCGUGGAGUGUGAUUGGUCGGUGGUGGGGGAGUCAAAACUUUACUUUUUUCUUUGGGAACCGCCUAUAGUAUGUGUAGCAUGGAAGAUGGUGAAAACUCUUGGUCAUCGCGUUGACAAUGAAAGCAUGCCACCCAAAAUUAUUUAUCUCUGUCUUCAAAGCUUGCAUGCNNNNNNNNNNNNNNNNNNNNNNNNNNNNNNNNNNNNNNNNNNNNNNNNNNNNNNNNNNNNNNNNNNNNNNNNNNNNNNNNNNNNNNNNNNNNNNNNNNNNAUAUAUAUAUAUAUAUAAUUCAACAUAUAUAUUAAUCACUUAAUCAAGUUUUUCAAUUUUAUUAUGUCCAUGAAACCUGCAAGCUAAUAGGUAAAGAUAGGUCAUAAUCCCACCUGAUUAUGUGUAGAUUGGGUUCAUUUUCCUAUGCUCUGCUCCAGAUCCGACGCAAAAUUUCGGCAGCAUCUCCCCUCUGUUCUCCUAAUACACGUAUCAGCAAUAAACAGAGAGGAUGUGCACCUGGAGAACAACAGGGAGGCACUGAUGAAAUUAUGCAUCGGAUCCNNNNNNNNNNNNNNNNNNNNNNNNNNNNNNNNNNNNNNNNNNNNNNNNNNNNNNNNNNNNNNNNNNNNNNNNNNNNNNNNNNNNNNNNNNNNNNNNNNNNNNNNNNNNNNNNNNNNNNNNNNNNNNNNNNNNNNNNNNNNNNNNNNNNNNNNNNNNNNNNNNNNNNNNNNNNNNNNNNNNNNNNNNNNNNNNNNNNNNNNNNNNNNNNNNNNNNNNNNNNNNNNNNNNNNNNNNNNNNNNNNNNNNNNNNNNNNNNNNNNNNNNNNNNNNNNNNNNNNNNNNNNNNNNNNNNNNNNNNNNNNNNNNNNNNNNNNNNNNNNNNNNNNNNNNNNNNNNNNNNNNNNNNNNNNNNNNNNNNNNNNNNNNNNNNNNNNNNNNNNNNNNNNNNNNNNNNNNNNNNNNNNNNNNNNNNNNNNNNNNNNNNNNACCCUUUCGAACGGGAGACGCAACGCACGUCCUAGUUCACCUAGUCGAAGAGAUUACCAUUCUGGGUCCUAUAUUUCUACACAAUAUGUUCCCCUUUGAGAGGUUCAUGGGAGUCUUAAAUAAAUAUGUCCAUAAUCGUGCUAGGCCAGAAGGAAGCAUCUCCAAGGGCUAUGAAAUAGAGGAGGUUAUUGAGUUUUGUGUUGAAUUUAUUCCUGACCUUAAGUCGAUUGGUGUUCCUCAGUCGCGACAUGAGGGGAGAUUGAGUGGAAAAGGUACUCUAGGAAAGAAAGCAGUAAUAAGUAUGGAUGGGCAUUCUUUCACUCAAGCAAACUACACAGUUCUACAAAAUUCCACCUUGGUGGCUCGUGUAUCAAGGAACACAUGGAUAUUGUACGCUCCAAGAACCUGGAGCAGUCUGACUCCUGGAUUAAACAUACACACAUGGCGACUUUCGACGGUUGGUUGCAAACACAUCUCAUGAAUAACACCACUAUUGGAGAUGAGUUGUACUUGUUGGCCAAGUCACCACUUCGACUAUAUUUACUUUCAAAGGGUACGAGAUUAAUGGGAAUACAUUUUACACGAUCGCCCAAGAUAAAAAGAGCACCAAUCAAAAUUGUGGUGUUCGCUUUGAUGCAACAUACACCAAUGGGAAAAAGGACACAUAUUAUGGUUACAUAGAGGAGAUAUGGGAACUUGACUAUGGACGUUAUUUUAAGGUCUCUUUGUUUCGGUGCAAACGGGUCAAUCUGACACAAGGCGGGGUAAAGGUAGACCCGCAGUACGGAAUGACAACAGUGGAUCUCAACAAUCUUGGGUACACAGAUGAACCAUUCGUACUAGCCAAUAAUGUGGCUUAGUUUUAUAUGUGAAGGACAUGUCUACCAAACCGAGGAAAACAAAAGAUAAGGAAGCGAAUACAUCAUACAAUGAGCCAAAGUGUCACAUAGUUAUUUUAGGGAAAAGAACCAUCGUCGGAUUAGAGGCCGAGAUAUACAUGUCAGAAUAUUAUAAUAAGUUUGAUGAAAUUCCUCCCUUCAAAGUGAACACUGACCCGAGCAUCCUGUUAAAUGAUGAAUAUUCUUCAUGGUUAUGGCGCAAUCAUAAGCAAGGGACAUACGCGAAGACAAAAUCUUAUACCCCAAGAUCCCACUCUGGCUUCACCGUCAUCACUUUCUCUCUAAUGAGUUUCCGGACUUAUAGCUGGAAACUCCCACUUCGAACAAACCGGAGGGAAUCUUUGUAACAGUUAGGGUAUACAUGUGUUUUGGGUGUUCCUAGGGGUUACCCUAACACAAGCAAGCAAAAAAGUUUCGCUUUGCUACCCCCUUCCGACGUCGGAAUCUUUGAAAGAGCUAGGGCAUUUUGACAUUUGAAACAUGAUUUUUGAAUAAUUAUUUAUGAAGUUAUCAAUUUUCAAAAAUAGAAAUUAUUCCUAUCCUUUUAGUAUUUUAAUUAUACAAAGGAGUUAAUCAAUGCAAUUAUGUCCAAACAAAAUAUGAAUGUGUAGUUUAUGUUAAGACAAACAAUUUGACACCUUAUUUGCUUCAUUUGGCUUAACAGAACUGAAGAUAUGAAUUUUUAAAGUUUAAAACAAUGUCUUCAAUUACAAUAUUUAAUUAACAAGUACAAAAUUAAUUAUGAAACUUCAUGUCAAAAUGAUACUAGUUGAUAGAAAUCUUCAAGAUGAAUCCAAAGAAAUUUGAAUCAACUCAUUUGGUUUAGUUUUCAAUGUUAUGCAUUUUAGAAGAAUUAAUUUCAAUCUAUAAAACUGAAUCUGUCAAAUAAUGUUUUCAAAAUGAAAAUUAGAACUCCUCGUGUUGACUAACAAAAACAUAAUAUAAUUUGGCAAAAGAAUAACAAGAAAACAGAAACUAAAAUAAUUUAAACAAAGGAAAAAAGGUAUAAAACUAAAAGAGCUAAACAUAAUCUGUUUUUGGUUAAAACACCUAUUGAAAAUAUCAUAAAAAUUCACAAGUUGAACAUACUGAUAAAACACACUAAUAUUAAACAGCAGGAAAGAGAAUCACUCAAAAAUCUAUAUUCGAACUAAAGUUAUUCACACAAAUUUCAAAGAAUUUAAAUUUAAGCUAUUCAAAUUUGAAAACUACUCGCACUAAUAGAAAGUUUAUAAUUUUUGUUACCUAAAGCAAAAAAAUCACUCAAAACCUCUAAAUAUUCUAAGAGUUUUACCUAAAAUUUUCUACAUAAAAAAGAAUCACUUUAAAAUCUAUUAUCAAACUCUAAAUACGAAGAAAACCUUUAGUCCCGGUUGCAACCACUAGCCGGGACUAAAGGUUCCUUAUUCCGCGUGAAAUUUGGGCCACCGAAUAGGUAGUCCUUUAGUCCCGGUUUUUGGCUGGAGCCGGGAUUAAAGGACCUUUAGUCAUGGUUCGUGGCUAGAACCGGGACUAAAGGUCUUGUGUAUAUAUCUGUCCCGGUGCGAGCCACCGCCUAGGAGAAGGAUCAGAUCAAACCACCGCCCUCGAGCACCAUCGUCUUCACCAUCGAUCAUCAGAACUCCUCGUCGAUGAUUCGCCAUGUUUAGGAUCUCCCCGAGGAAGCCUGACCCUUCACUAACCCCCUCCCCCCCGGUGAGCUCCUUUUCUCUUCCCCUCGUCUUCAACGCUCGAUUUGGUAUGUAGGUGCCCUCUCCGCCAUGGACGAACCUCGGUGUCGUCGUGCCUCGUCACUGCCAUUGCCAGGGCCAGCGAAGCUCUUUUUCGAGCGUAUGAGCAUGCUUAAUUUGCGCCUAGGAGCCGAGCGCCCCUAGUAGCUUGUCGCGCUGCGCCUUGAAGUGUCGGUCGCUUCGAUCUCGUGGCCGCGCCACCGCCACUGUAGUCGCCGUCGGCGACUCCGGUCGUCCCCAGAGCCCCUCCUUGGCCCACUCGAUACGCGAGACCAAAGGCUACACCCUGGUUCUGUCCUUCAGCGUCCCCACGGCCUCUGGAGCGGACUUCGUCGCGUCGAGUAGUCGCCGGCGACGACCUCGCCAACCUAUGUCACUGGCUGAUGGGCCCCGUCGUGAGAUUUCACUUGGAGCACCCAGUUGACCCGGUGAUGUCAUGCACAUACCAUGAUGAUGCGGUAAAUGUUUUCUGGAAUCAAAAUAAAUCAGAAAUGAUUUAUUAUAUUUUAGAAAAUGUUUAAAACUUCAAAAAAUCAUAGAAAAUAGUCUAUAACUCGUAUAAAAAUAAUCUAUAUGUGAAAAAUGAUCAAAAAUCAAAGAAUCUGUUUAUGCAAUUAUCAUGCAUGUUUGAACAAGUUAACAACACCAACUAGGACAUUUUAUGAUUAGGGAAAUUUAUGAAAGAACAUUUGAAGUUGGAAUUUGAACUAGGUUUGAAUUCCACUUCAAUUAACUUGGACUAUUGUUGCAUUAGGCCAAUUCGGUACCUUAACGUGACACACCAUUCAUUAUGGUUGUGCAUUGCAUUGAAUGUGUUCAUUUCCUUGUUUGCCUAUGUUGUUUUCUCUCGGUAGACAUUAUUUCGGCGUUGAGAACGAUGUCACUAAUGAAGUGCAGUUCAUCUUAAUUAUAUGUGGGUUUAUUGAAUGGUAGUUUUUGCUUAUUGAAUACAUUCUAAUUUAAAUACUAAAUUGUUUUAUCUUUCUUCUGUAUUAGUUAAUCUAUGGAUGAUAGCGGCACAUACCAUGAAGAUGACAUCUUCGCCAUCAUACGCUCCUCCCGAAACGAGAAUGAACAAGAUGACGGCUCACAAUAUUUGAACGAGUCUGGUGAGGGACUUGAGCAAGAACCAAGAUACAAAGGGCAAACAAACGAUGACGGCAAAGAAAAUGUUAGAAAAUUAACAAAGUCCGACGAGGUAUAUACAUAUUAAGCCUCUAGUGAUCACUAGAUGUAUUAACUGAUUUGUGUAUAUAUUAACAAAUCUUCCUUCUUUUAGGCCUCCGGAUCGAGCCAAUCUCCUAGAAGGGUACGAGGCCAGGCCAAAAGUUGGGCGAUGACAUAAAUUUCAACAUUGAUGAAGUCGUAGAAGAUGGAAAACCGAUUGCUCGUGAACAGAAUGCCCAUAAAUUUAUAAAUCUAUGUGAAGUUAUUGUUAGGGACCAAAUCCCGGUCACGAUUCGAGAAUGGAAUAAGCCAAAGGUAGAUCCAGGAGUUAGUUAUGUCGACGAAAGAUCGAAAAAAUCACUUUGGGAUAUGCUCAUGUCACAUUUCAACCUACCAAGGGGUCUCACAAAUAGAAAACGGUUGAAAGUCAAGCAAUUUUCUCUUAAGAAGAUGGCCACACAAUUCCAGAGCUGGAAGAAAAGAUUAUACAUCGACUACAUCAAGGCAAAAAAGAAGACUCCGGAAUUCACUCGAGCACUAGAGAAGACAAAAGAUCAUUGGGACGCAUUUGUGGACUACAAGGAGCCGGUUGAAGCUCUGGAAAGGUCGAGAAAAAUAAGAUAAAUGCUGAAAAAAAGCAGUAUCACCAUGUUAUGGGGACAGUUGGCUACAAGAGAAGCGUGCCUAAGUGGGAAGCAGGUGAGGCCAAAAUGGUUGCAGAAGGGGUCAUUCCAGCUAUAAUGGAUUGGCCUGAGAGGUCCAAGACUGGGUUUUAUGUGUAUGGGGGAAAGUUAGACCCAGCGACGGGGAAAAUUAUUCUAAAGGCAGAUCUUAAAAUAGCCUUGGAUGCUUUACUUCAAGCAAUAGAAGAUGCUUGAAAGGGGUUGUUCCAGCCCGAGAGAGAGAACGACGAGCUUACACACACCCUCAAGAAUCUUGAACACGGAGGACGAACACGAGGCAAAGGCGUUGUUCCGUGGGUUCACGAGUUUUUGGAGUGGAACUACACUUAUAGAAGCCGUCGGAGAAAAAAGAAGCACGAUGCAAACCAGAUUUAAAGGAUAGAAACAAAGAAUGAGGAGUUGCACCGCAUGUUAAAGCGACAGCAGGAGCAACUGGACACAAUUAGCCAGCAAAGGGCAUCUCCGUGGCAGGAGCAAGAAGAUCCAUCAUUGGAUAGUAACGUCACAUCUAUGCGGAAAAGCAGCAUGGGUUCCACUGGGGUCCGGACCGAUGAUGCACUGUUGGCUCGCUACCCCGUGGAUGAUAUCAAAGAAAGGACAGAUUGUGAGCUACACCAGAAAAUGAAGAACAUAUCCAUGAAGGUGGCGGUCAGCGUUGCUUUACCUAAUGCACCUGAAGCAACCAAUCCAUGGUAAUCCGAUUCCACCUAACUAUGCUAAAGUGGGGUACAUGAAGUUCUGUCUGGAUGUGAGUCACUAUAGCUUGACAUUCCUGGAGGUGAAGGGGAGCAGACACUAGGAAAAGUCUAACAUGUGUCAUUUUAUGGAGAAAAGAAUGCAUCGUGUUUCCAAACUCGGCGCCAAGGUCACCGACUCCUUGGAGUAGCAAUACACCUCUAAGUCCACCCCACGUCAAGGAGCCCAGCGCAAGUCCUAUCGAUCUCCGCCGCGUUAGCCGACUCCACACCCCCUAUGUCCUAGCAGGGCCAAAAGCGGAAGACCACCGCUCCGUCAACUAGUCCUAUUCGCAAGAAAGCUACAAGAAAGAAAGCCAAAGGCGAGCCUCCUGCCGAAAAUAAGUUAGCUUACAAUAUGACUAGUGAGGAAAUCAAAAUGGUCAUGGAUUCUGAAGUGAAGUCUCAUUUUGCACUGAAACCGCCUCCGCCGCCAAAGGAGAUAAUACCUAACAAAACCAUAGAGCACUUUGUGAAAUUUCUUGGACGGCCCCCGACACAUGUGGAGGAUAGGCCAUCAGACUAUGACCAAUGUAUCAGGAAGUCAUAUAAUGAACAAACGCAGCAGUCAAAACAUAGUAAUAAAAGAGGGCAAGCAGUUCCCCAGCUCGGAGAACAGGCAAUGCAAUGCCCCCCCCCCUCAAGGUGAUUACCAAUAAGGUAACCGACGCUGCUAGAAAUAUUGGUAUCAGUGUUGACCAACUCCUAGGCAACGAGGAAGUCCCCGUGACUGAAGUAGCAUGGCAAUAUGCCCCGUGAAAGCUCUGGUCAGACCUGAGCAGGUCCCAAAUCUAUCAACACGAAUGCAAAGAUUGCAUGAGUGAUACAUGAAAGAAGUUGCCAACGGACGAGUGAUGCUCAUGGUGAAAGUCAAGAAAGGGCUUACUACUAUGAAAAUGAGCUAUGCAUAAUGUUUGACGAAUUGUUUCAGUUAUACAAUCAAGACUCACUCGAGAAAUAUAUAGUCAGUUGCUAUUUUGCCUAAGUGAUUUCUUUGUGUAAUUUAAGUCUCUAGCUCAGCUCGUUCAUUACGUGUAAUUAUCUUCACUAUAUUCUUUUGUAUACUAUUACGCAGAAUGAAGAUUCUCAAUGCAAAAGAGAUAGAAUCUAUGACAUUGGGUUAGUUUAACCAUAUAUUAUUAAUGAAAAAUUGAUAGAAGACCAUCCAAAGACUAAGAGAAGAACUUGCUAAGAAUUAGGCACAGAAUACCAAAAUAGAAAUAUUAUUUUUUUACAACUUCAAAAGAGUGUUACUAUCUUAUACUACAAGUUUUAUUUUGCUUACUCGAUGUUAAGUGUAAUUGAUAAGUUAUGCAUGUCUGCUUAUAUAAAUGUGUGCAUGUAUUGCUGGAUCCUGCUAAUCGUUAAAGUUAACGCUGAAACUGUUGAUGCCUUGGAUUCAUAGGUAAAAACCCUCAAGAAUACACCAACGUGGUUAAAAUGCUCGACGCGUAAUAUGAAUCAUUAUCACACUAUAUCGACCUUUUUCAUUCAUUUCCUGAUAUCAAAAAAUUAAUACCUAUUUUAUUCAUUUUCUCUGCCAGGCAGAGUUUGAAAACGGUUCAUCAAAGAUGUUGUCGGUGAAUAGAAACCGAAACUACGUUGACGACUGGUCAAGGUAAUUAAGUAGUACUAGCUAGGUCCGCGCAUUUCUUUAAUUCUACUUUCAAUAUCAUUAUCAUGCUUUAUUAUCUAAUUGAAUUCUAUUUUCAUAAAGUACAUGAGGCAGAAACAGAGACUAAUUUAUAUGCAUACUACGUUUAUGAAAACGUUUGCAUGUCGAUCAAAUGGCACAAAGAUGUACCACAACUUAUAUGUAAACAUUGUUCAUAAUAUUUUUUUAUGAUGAUGUAACAUAUAUACACACACAACUAAUAUGUCCAUAUUGGUCUUUUUCUUUAAAGAUUAAAGACAUGCGGGAGAACCUCCUACCAAAGAUCCGUCUACGAGCAGGAAAUUGCAGUAUUUUUGUUUACGAAGGUCAUAUCUGAAAACGAAGAAUACCAUUAUGAUCUUUAAAUUGUAGGAAAGAUUGUAUCAACAGCCUGACUAAACUUGCCCAGAUUUUUCAUAGCAUCCAAAGACGAUCCAGUAUUCAACUAGGACUGUUCUAAUGCAAACGAUACAGAGGAGCUAACAGCAGUUCCCUCCACAUUUUCUCAUCCGGGCUUGGGACCGGCAAAGGCAGUGUUAAACUACAAAACUACUAAACACAUAAAUAAGCAAACACAACAACCAAUUAUUCAGCUAAGCGUACAAGCCACACACAAUCAACCAGAGGCAGCAUUCACAACGCACGAUACGCUAUUGGCAAUAAAUAUUCACGCAACGUUUUCACAAGAUCACAAGACAGUAAUGGGUCACACAAAAAAAAGCUAUAAAUUCCAGAACAAGAAUGGGAAUUCUUAUGGGGUGAGGGUGAUUCAGAACUUCAAUCUUGAAAAUAAGAAUAUAUACCAGCAUAUAGAGGGUGAUCAUCUUCGUCUCUAGACACAGAGAAAGCUUUCCUAGUUUUGGCCCAUUAUAUAGAUAUAUAUGAACAAAUAUCUCCUUGUCUUUAAAAUCCAAUAUGUAUUAUAUGUAUUAUGCAACAUAAUGGUGACAUGUGUAUUUUUGCUAGUUGCCAACAAAUUAAAACUGGAAGUUACCAGAAAACUCAGAAUGUGUAUUGAAGAUUCAAUCCAGAUCAAAUUAGCAGUUCGCGAAAAAUAAAUUAACCAUUAGAGGACCAUAAGAUGUGUGAACGCUAUGUAAUUAUAAAUUUAACAGUAGAUAAUGAAAGAUUCCAUAAUCCAGAUCAAGUUAGCAAUUAGCAGUAAAGAGAUCAAAAUAGCCAUAGAAGACCAUAAGAUAGUUGAAGAUUCACAAUCGAGAACAAAUUAGCAGUUCGCCAAAAAAUAAAUUAGCCAUUAGAGGACAUAAGAUGUGUGAACGCAGUGUGGUAGUUAUAUAAAUUUAACAAUAGAGGAUUCCAUAAUCCAGAUCAAAUUAGCAGUUUGCCGUAAAGAGAUCAAAUUAGCCAUUAGAGGACCGUAAGAUAUGUGAGUACUUUCUGUCUAAGUCCAGGAUGAGCAAGUAUGAAACAAACUGCCAUAUGUUGAAAGUAAUCAGCAGGAAUCAUCAAAUUAGCCUGACUGUUCUGCUAGUUAUCAACUUAAAACUAGGAAGUUCCCAGCAAACCAAUAAGAAGCACUGAAGAAUCCAGAUCCCACUCGAGAAGCGCCAACGACAAGAACAUCACUUCUGAAAAUCAUAUCCAUACCAACAAACCAGAAUCAUAUUUAGUGGAGUUGACACUAAUCAAAGACAUGAGUAGAGUGUUAAGGGCAAAAUAUUCGUUCAAGCUUCCAGUUCAGAACCUUCAACUCUCCAUUGUUUUAGUAUAUAGCAAUCACUCCUAACCUCUUUUUGCUCAAAGUGGUCAACAUUACCCAAAUACAGGAGGCCACUGAUGUUAACAGUUAAACCAACACAAGUGGAUGGGUGGGAUCUUUCUUUAUCAUUAAAGUUAAAAAUAUGUGCACACCAAAAUUUGAUUUUGUGUCAGAAGUGCGAUCAUGGACAACAGUAUGAAGAACAGUAAACCCACAAAUCCAAGUAUGACCAAUUCAUACAUAAAUGUAUGAACAUUUUUACUGCAUUCAGAGCUCAUGUACAUGCGAUCUUUACUUCCUAUCAUAGGUGAUAAAUUUGCAAGUUCAAAGAUACAAGCAGCCAAAUGUCAAAGCCUAACUUCCUGAAACAGUAUGGUAACCAAGUAAUUUAUAGCCAAACCAAAAUUUGAUAAUCUGCUAUACAAACUGAGUAUGAACUGAUAUUUCCAUUCCGGACCCUUGUUUGAGACUUCUAGCAUUUUCUUGAUUCGGACCAAAAGAUGACAUCAUAUUCCAUCAAAACCACAUGCAAGUUGAAGCAGAUACCAUAAUCAGCAAGAUGUCACACAACAGAAACCAAGUAAGAUGCUUCAUGACAGUUGAAAGAAUCAGAUGUGCACACUACCAACUCCAAGCUGCGCCAAAGAGAUGAGGCCACCGAGUGCAAGUUCAAAUUGAAAACUACCACAAAGACCAAAUAACGUAAUAUGCUUCAGUAUCACUAAUCAGAAGUCCAAACCAAUUUGAUAGCUUCAGCAAGUCCCCGCACUAGCCGAAUUUCCAACUCUACAAUCUUGCAAUAAAACUUCCACCACUGCAAAUCAAUGAACAGCUCAAAAUAUAGUCGUCAUAUUUAAUAUUUCUUCAACGGAAGUCCAUAAUGAAAUCUUGGCAAUGAGUGGAAAUAAGUAUGGAAUCUAAGUGUAAGAUUAUGUGGUUGUAGAGGACUCCUUCAUCCAGAACGAAGCUUCCAAACUAGCCUUUAGAACUCUCCACUUCUGCGGAUCAGUUAGAAUACUCAAACUUAACAGCUCAGGUAAUUGGUUCUCUAACGGAAUAGAAAAUGUGAAAUAAGGUCUCUAAACAGAUUUUUCACGCAGCAUGACCUCAAAUAAAAUUGUCAAGUAGACCUGCAAUGAAUAAAAGACCUAGCCAGUUUGGAGAAAGCUGCUCGACAUCUUAGACAUUUAGUUAAGUUAUGCACAUUGGUUUGAAUUAUUGUCGCUGUAUAGUACUAACAAGAGAAGAACAAUGUUUGGAAUGUAUAAAAGUUACCAAAGAGAAGUUUGACAAGAUCGACUCAAGAAGAAUCUCCUAAAGCUCCUCUGUAUCAUUUUGUCCACGCAAGCCUUACUCUAAAAUGUUGGAGAACAACCAAAUAUCAAAUAUGCUUGGAACAGAAACGGAACUGCUCACAUGGAGAUAUCAAAUAGGAGGAGAAUAUAUCCAGACAGUUCAGUCACGCUUCGAGACACAUUUGAAUCCUCAACCGUGCAGGCCUGACCAACAACUCCGAUCCUGAACUUAAGAUAUCAUCUGAUGAGCUAAAGGGAACAGCCAAUACAAUCUCCGCUGGUUUGUCUCUAAAGGCGCAUAUACCAUGAAUGAGAUAAAAUUCACCUUGUACUACGUGACAAACAGAAUCAUUGAUUAGCCAUUGAAGAAGAGAGAACAGGGCUUAUUUUGCAAUGAAGGCAGACCAGACACUGACCUGACUCUAAAUACAGGGAACAUCCACUAAUUCCAACAUAUACUGCAAACAACAAACCUAGCAGGCCAACAAAACGGAAACACAUGGAUUGGGGAUAUAACAAAGUAAACCAGAGAGAUCACAAACCAAAAAGAUGACAGAUUUUGACUGGUUACCAGCAUGGCUUGCGCUAAACAAUCUGCAACUACAGGAAGGCGGAAGCAAAAAAUCACCAUCAAUGCUACAUGCGAAAAGGAACUUAGACAACAGAAGUUUCUUCAGGAGAUAAAAAUAGAGAGCACUGAGUUUUUUCGGUUGUAGGAUGUCCCAUCUACAUUGAAGCUCCAGAGCAACCUUCGAAUCUUGUACAUCCACCAAAUCAAUCUGAAUAUUCAAAUUUUGUCUUCAUAAGAUAGUUUAUAGGAGUAUGUUGGAACAAAUUACGAUGAAUUGGAAAGGUGUAGUGUUUAGAAGAUUUUCGAACAGAUAGCUCAGCAACAGGUUGGGCCUAAAUCAUCAAUUAGGAUCUGCAAUGACAGGAGACCUUCCUGUGAAUUUUUGCUUUGGGGAAACGAAGCUUCUUAAACAGCUAAAUAAUGCAUCAAACAGUGAGGGGAUAGGAUAAGCCUGCUUGGCCGGGAGAGAUCAGUUAGGCAACAACACCAGUUCCAGAUAGCAAACUAUAUUAUCUCUCGUCACAAUAUCUGCAAGGACACAUGGUUACCAAGGGAAGAGAAAACCAUGUCUUAGAAAUAUAACGUUCAAAGCGAAUCAGGAAAGAUGAAGUCAAUCUAAGAAACCGCCUGUAACAUGAUGUACCAAGAGGCACCUUCCGGGAAGUCCCAAAAGUCAAAUAGCUGGAGAACCAACAGUUGAUAUCAGAGAUGUUGUAAGCUAAAUUCGACCGUGCAAACAAAGAAACUAAAUUGAGGAGGGUCAAUAAUCCAAACACAGUUUGCAAAUUCUCUGAUCCCCAUUCCAUGGUUAACGAUCCAAUCCAACUUCAAUCCGAAACGAAAACUUCAGCACACAAGAUCCUGGCUUCUCAUAAGGCAUUGAGCCAUAACCAAUCAAAAUAACCACAAACAGUAAAGCAAACCUCCACCCUUCGAUUCAUCACUCCACAACCAUCGCCCUCCUACAUCUGAAGGAGAACAAACACAUACCACAAGCGAGAUCAGCUGUUACAGCGAGAACCAACAAGAAUCCACCUCGUAUUAAGGGAUAGCAGUACUCAUGUUGAGCCAUCAGACAAAGAUAAAUCGAAGAACUUAAAGGUAUAGCCACUCAAAUCUGACGUCACCGAGACCAGUGUGACCAAACAUGGGAAACUGACCUGCCUCAAGUCCCCUUCACAAUACUGUUCAUGUACCAUAGGGAGGUUCAUUUCCAGACCUGAUCCAGUCCUGCAAGCUAACUCACGGAGGUGGCCGAGAACAAAUGAAACAAACAGGACCGUCUACGAGACACUUACCUGACUCCAUGUACAGAGGUUGGGGCACCAAAUCCAAACUAUUAUAUCCUGCAACCCACACUCGGAGAAGACCAAAAGAACACGGGGAUCAAGAGUGCCGAAAACACCGAAUCAAAACAUUAAACAGAUUCUGCGUCAUUAGCCACAUGGCCUGGGCUAAAGAAAAAAUCUGCAACCAGAAGGAGGGCAGGAGCAAAAACUUGUAUCGAAGACAUGGCCAAGUAGCUAAAUGAAGUAAAAAAAAGGAGGAGUCUAUUUCAGUUGUAGGAUGUGCCAUUAGUUGAAAGCUUCGGAUUGUCCUUAGAUUCAUGCACCUUCGCAUAUCUGUAUUAUAAAAUAUUGCCUAGUAAGAUAAUUUGUAGGUUAUGUAAGUUAUGAUGAAUUGAAACAAUGCUCAUAGAUUUAGAAGAUCUGCAAACGAAUUCAUCAUCAGGUUGGACUUAAGUUCAUCAACUGCAACCUGCAACAAGCAAGAGGCCUUUCUAUAAAUUUUCAGUUAGGGGAAAAUGUUACUUUUAUAUAAAUAGCUAAAGCAUGGAUCAAACGAUGGGCUGGGAACAAGUAAGCAUGUGGCGGCUAGGAAGUUCAGCUAUGGUUGACGGACGACAACACCAGUUCCAAACUGCAGUUGUAUCAUUUCCAUGUCAGUAUCUACAAGAGCUGAGAAUUGCCGACUAAGGCGGAGAAGACAUAUAGCUGAAUGAAAUAGAAAUAAGAGGACAAGAGGUUUAAGUUUUUUCUGGUUGUAGGAUGUGCCACUAGUUUGAAGCUUCAUUAUUUCACCUUUGCAGCUAAAUCUUAGUUUGAAAUAUUACCUAGUAAGAGAUCUUAUUUUUAUUAUCUAAGUCAAGGAAUUUUAAGAAGAUGUUAGAUAUAGAAGAACUGCAAACUCAAUAUCAGGUUGGUGGCCUUGAAUUCGUAAACAAUGACCUGCAACGAGCAAAAUACAUCUCUAUAAAUGUUUCAGUAAGGGGAAAACUAGUAGGAUUAGAAAACUAAGUACAGACGAAUGAGAAGGUAAAGGAUGAGUAAGUCUGUCUCCACUGUGAAGGUCAGGUAGACAACACGGGUUCCAAUUUUUAUCCCUUGCAAGACACGAUCUGCAAGAGCUAAAAAUGGCUAAGGCAGGGAAAACUAGUGUCUGCUGAGUUCUAAUGAAUAUUGAAUAAGGAAGGUCCAAAAGGUUUAGCCACAGAAAAAGAACCGCCAUGCUGAGCCAAAAUAGGAGCAGCCGCUAGGCCCGUGUAAUUCCAGAUUCUGGAUAACCAGCAAACAAUCCGAAUCAGAAUCCUUGGGAGAAUAAUUGAAACUGUGGAGAAGAACGAAUUGAACAGAAUUUUGAUCAUCCAAACACAGGUCGGUCAGCAAGAAGAUAGUACGUCGUUCUCACUAAGCCAAGUAAUCCCAAUUUCUGACAAUCAGCAACAAAUCCAAAUCAAAGUUGUGAGGCUAAAACUGAACGAAUCCAAAGCAAAUGAAGUGAAAUUCAGAGGGAUCAUCUGAACAUGGAUAUCAAGUUCCAGGUUGAUGAGCGAUCCAAAACUUCAGUCCAACACCAAACAUAGACUCUGACCAUAUCAGAAACCAAACCUCCACCCUUUCGGUUCAUCUCUGAGGAACCACUUCCUGCUUCUGCUGAAUCUGAAGGAGCACAAACACAGACCACAAGCGAGAUCAACUGCUACAAUGAGAAUCCACCAAUACCCCAAAUCCACCUCAUAUUAGCUGAUUAUAUGAUGGAACUCAUGAUGAGAUCUAGAAGACCACACUGGCAACAUGCAUUUAAUCCUCAAAUCCCCUUCGACAUAUCAGAUACUAUCCAGCAACCAACCCAUGGAGGCCAACACAAAAUGAACCAACAGUUACUGACCUGAGUACCUGACACCGUGAAAUGCACACAGCAAAGGUUUGCAUAUGUAGGCCCAGACUUCGUAAAUAUAUCCUGCAGUGCAACCCACACACGUAUAGGAAGACCAACACAGGGAUCAAGAGUACAAAUAUAACCAAUCAAACAACAAAGAGAUGGAUAGCGAACCAGAAGUUUUUUGACUUGCUACAAGCAUUGUCUUAGGCAAAACAGAUCUGCAGCGACAUGGAGGGCAUAAGCAAAAACCUAAAUAAAAAACAUGAAAAUGUAGCUGAAUGAAAUAAAAAUAGGAGGGUAAGAGAUUAAGUUUUCCUCCGGUUGUAAGAUAUGCCACUAGUUUGAAACUUCAUUCUUGCACCUUUUGCAGCUAAAUCUGAAUUAAAAAUAUUGCCUGGUAAGAGACCUUAUUAACAUUAUCUCAGUUAAGGAAUUGAGUAGAUAGUGGUUUUAGAAGAACUGCAAACUUAGCAUCAGGUUGGUGGCCUUGAGUUCGUAAACCUGCAACGAGCAAGGUACCUUUCUAUAAAUGUUUCGGUCAGGGGAAAACUAGGAUUAGAAAACUAGGUACAAACGAGUGAGCAGGUAAUGGAUGAGUAAGCCUGUGUCAACUGGGAAGGUCAGGUAGACAACUACAGGUUCCAAUUAUAUCCCUUGCAAUCUGCAAGAGCUAAGAAUGACUAAGGCAGGGAAAACUAAUGUCUGAUGAGUUCUAAUUAAUGAUAUUGAGUAAUAAGAAAGUUCAAAAAAGUUGAGCCACGAAAUAGGAACCGCCAUGCUGGCAAGGGAUCAUAGGAGUACCCGCUAGGCCCGUGUAAUUCCAGUUUCUGGACAAGCAACAACCAAUCCAAAUCAGACUUGUUGUGAGAAUAAUUGAACAGUGGAGAAGAAGAAAUUAAAACAGAGUUGGGUCAUCCAAACACAGGUCAGCAAGAAGAUAGUAAGCCGCUCCCACUAGGCCAAGUAAUCCCAAUUUCUGGACAGUGAGAAGCAAAUCGAAAUCAGAAUUGCUGGGAGGCUAAAAUUGAACUCAGGAGAGGAAGUAAUUAAAUAGAGGUAGUAAUAUUAUUCAUCCAAACGCAAAUCAGCCAAAGAUAGGUCGCUCCGGUCCGGUCCGCUUAGCCGUGUAAUCCCAAUUUCUGGAGAACCAACAAUCAACGAACCAAAAUCAGAUAUGUUGCGCGCUGUGCAAACCAAAUAGAUGAAUUGGGAGGUUUUGAUUUAUAUUGUUAUCCAAGUGCAGAUCGAAGUUGCAGGUUGAUUGAGAUCCAAUUGAUAGCCCUGAGAAUCUGACCAUAACAGAGUAACCGCUGAACCGUAGCCAAUCAACCAAUCAAUCAAUCAAAAUAACCAUGAACAGAAAUCAAACCUCAACUCCGCCCUUCUAAAUAACCUACCAUCACUUCAGAACUACCGCUCGCCAUCUUGCUUGUGUAUCCAAGAUGAGAGCACACAUACCAAAAGCGGGAUCAGCUGGUGAAGCAGUAAGAAUCCACGAGGGCCUCAAAGAAUCGACCUCGUGUUAACUGAUACAUACUCGAUCGGGAACCUAGAACCGGAAGACCGCACGGGCGACAGCCGUUGAAUCCAAAUCUUCUGAAAUCACCGAGGGACGCAGGCAGGCGACGGAACCAAGGAACCGACCCGACCCGACCCGACCGAUGGAGUUCGAGAAACUGACCUCGGGUCGCACGGAAUCAGACGCGGGAAGCGAAAUCGAUGGAAUCCCCCAUCGAUCGAUCGAUCGGAUCGCUACCCCCGGAAGCGGGCCGAAUCCCCUGCGAGCACAGGAAGCAAAGCCGGCGAGGAGCGGAGCAAAAAUCAAAGGCGAUUCGAAACGAAUCGAGAUGAGGGACGAGAAAGAAAGAGGAAGGAAACAGUCGCGGAGACGCGAGGAGGCGACUCGGGCGGAGGCGCGGCCCGAAACGAGAGCUCCGAAGAGAGAGGGAGGAGGCGAGAGCGCGGGGUGGAGAGGGCGCACCUGGGCGCCUUUUAUAGCCGGAGGCGGAGGCGGAGGCGGUGGGCGGCCUGGCGCCAACCGGAUCCUUACCGGACACGGCUUCGUCUUCGCCGCGCUGGCGGUGGUUUUCCGUGGACGGGUGGGCGGCGGAAAUCAAAAGCGAGCGGAAUUGGUGGAUCGGGCUGGAUCAUGACUUGCGACUUGGUUCGGUUCGGGUGGACGGGCGGCUGGCAGGUCGGCAACGCGACGCGGGAGAUAGCUGCGCUGCGCGUCGACCUUGGGUUGGGACUUGGGACGUGGGUCGCACCGACGGACCGGGAAAUUUCCAGGCUGCUCGGGGGUCGCGACGGGCCAUGUCCUCGCGCGCGAGCCACGACUAACUCGUGGAUGAGAACGUGGAAACCAACCCAUCAAACGGAAGACUAUGGUUUUCCUCUGUCCACUAAAGUUUAAAUUUCAGAUUUAACAUUGAUGGUUGCAUUUUUAUUUAUUUAUUUCAGAUCUUUCGAUGAUAUGCAUUUAUUAGGAGAAGACGUUUCCGUCGACUACGAAGUCGUCUAUGACAACUUUGUCAAUCUUAAGAUGAUGUGUCGGCUUAGCCUUUCGAAGAUACUUAUAGGGAUAUGGUAUGCGUGUGUGCGUUCAUAGCAAUAAAUGUAUGCUCGUGUAUGUGUACGUGAACAACUUUGAUUGUAUUCUGCUAAAUAAAACUCAUGGAUGAGAACGUGCAAACAUGCGGUGAGGUGGCCCGUUGGGGUUGUCCUAAACGUAAACGUGUGGUACAUGGAAUCAGCUGCCGUGUUUACGCAAUGACGGCUACAACAAAACUACCGGAUGAGAACGUGCAAACAGGCGGUGAGGUGGCCCUUGGGGGUGGUCCUAAUUCCUAAACGUGUGGUACAUGGAAUCAGCUGUCGUGUUUACGCAAUCAACGUGCUCAGAAACUUUCCUAAUUUUAUUCAAGUCAAAAAACUUAUUUUAUUUUAUUUGUGGAUAAGAGCAUCUACAACCGAACCCCUCGUACUGUUAAAACUAAUUACAUAAAUUAGGGGAAAAUCUCCUCUUGAUGUAACCGUUCGAGCGGUUUCCUCCCGCACGGGCGUCUCUCUCCCGACUCCCUGGAACCGACGCAUCUCCUCUCUGUCGUCGCGUCUCUCCAGGAGUUAUAUAUACUCCAUGUAAUCAUCGACAAUGAUAGAAGAAUCACUUUGAUUCGUUUCACGUUAUCAGCACUUGCGCUACCAGAAAGAGCGAGAGCAAACAGAGAAGGAGAGAAGGGAAGGGGAACUUGCCGCCGGUGAGAUGCCAGGCCUCGUCUCCUUUUUCCUUCGCCUCAUCCGUGAGGAUGGUCGCCGCUACCGCCUCAUAGCCCGUCGCCUCCAUGGAGUAGGUGGACUCCGGCGCUUCCGUCGCAGGAUGCAAGCCAUCCGCCGCUUCGGUCGCGAUGCCGCUGGACGCGGUUACCAUGGCACUCGAAGGGAUGCGCGUGGAGGUUACUACGCCUCUGGAAGCGGCCUCCACGCCGCCGGAUGCGCCCACCGCGGUGCUCCUCGCGCCCAUGGCCCGACGCCGAUGGGGUUCGACCCCUCGCUAGUGGCCGACCCGAGCGCCCCUGCGGUGCACGGGGAUGCUGCCGCGCCUGCCCCGUCCCCCGGAUCUCCGCCUCCACCACCUCCUCCACCAACGGCUUGGAUGGCGCCGCCGACGCCCACGCCGGCCGCCGAGACCGCCGGCCCGAGCCGUGCCCCCCUGGCUAUGCGCCCGUCCCGAUGCGGGUCAAGGUGGACGAGGAGGCCGCACUCGGCUUCGUCUCUGCACCAACCGGCGUCUCUGGCGUCGUCCGCCUCGGAGUGGGGAUGGAUGGUGCGGACACCAACGCCUCGCCACCGCGGGAAAUGACCGCGGGCACGAGAAGCCGCGCGAAGCGGCGCUUCGGCCGCCUCUUUGGGCGCGCCGUCGCUGCCCUCGACCGCCAGCCCGGCCACCGCGCCGGCUCGUGGGCUCCGGCGAGCCUUGGCCUCGGAGCAGCCUCCCAUGCCCCCGUCGUCGUCCCCUCCUCUUCCGACGAGGAGGGGUCCUCCGUGAGGCGUCGGUGAUCACCGGAGAGUACAUCGGCCCUCACUCCCGUCGCCAGGUCUCCUCUGGCUGGGCGCUGGUGGUGGGCUGGCUCGCACAGGAGGUGGGGAGCGAGGGGAUGCGGAUGGAUCUGAUCCAAACCGAUCCCACCUCCUCCUCUCUCUUAUGUGCUAGUGUGUGGGGCACGUGGUGCUAGUGUGUGGUUGUGUGGUGUCGAGCCUAGGCCACGUAUUGGAUAUUUGAUCAUAUCCAUCCUAGGCCAUGUAGUGGGAUGGCUAUCACGUGGUGCCGGCUGGCUGUUGUUUCAGUUUUUUUUUAUUAGUCUAGCACCAAUUACUGUAUAUAGUAUAGUUUUAGACUAUGUUUAGUACUACUAUUUAUAUUUAGUCCAGUUCUAGAUUUAUUCUAGUAUAAGAUUUGUGUAAUUAUAAGUGUGUUUAUAUUAUGCAAUGGAUUGAUGAUAUAAAUAAAAGUACCGGAUUUCAUCUGGGAAAAACGACAUUUUCUUAUUGCGAUUGAGAUCAACUUCUCUCGUAUCUCAAACUUGCAAAUUUUGAAAAUUUCUCCCUCAUCUUAUUUGAAAUCACAAGGUAAUGAGUUGUGAUCUACUGCACAUAUGUAGACUAUCCCCUCUUACUGUAAGGUAUACGUGUUGGGGAACGUUGCAUGAGAAACAAAAAAUUUCCUACGCGCACGAAGACCUAUCAUGGUAAUGUCCAUCUACGAGAGGGGAUGAGUGAUCUAUGUACCCUUGUAGAUCGUACAUCAGAAGCGUUAGUGAACGCGGUUGAUGUAGUGGAACGUCCUCACGUCCCUCGAUCCGCCCCGCGAACAAUCCCGCGAUCAGUCCCACGAUCUAGUACCGAACGGACGGCACCUCCGCGUUCAGCACACGUACAGCUCGACGAUGAUCUCGGCCUUCUUGAUCCAGCAAGAGAGACGGAGAGGUAGAAGAGUUCUCCGGCAGCGUGACGGCGCUCUGGAGGUUGGUGAUGACCUUGUCUCAGCAGGGCUCCGCCCGAG